UUCCUCCAACUAUCAAUCAUCUUUGCCUGUUGCAGCAUCUGUGGCUUGUUUCUGUCCACUCGUGCACCUUCCGUCCGCAGCUGAUCAAUGGCGUCCAUCAUGUCCAUGAGCUCCUUCCCCGGUGCGGCCGUCGUGCUGCGCGGCUCGGCUUGCAGCUUCGGCGCCCGGUCUCUGCCAGCGCUGGGCCGACGCGCCCUCGUCGUCAGGGCACAGACCGAGGGGCCGAGCUCACCACCGCCAAACAAACCCAAGGCGAGCACCUCGAUCUGGGACGCGAUGGCGUUCAGCGGCCCUGCGCCGGAGCGCAUCAACGGGCGGCUGGCCAUGGUGGGCUUCGUGACGGCGCUGGCGAUGGAGGCAGGCCGCGGCGACGGGCUCCUCUCGCAGCUCGGCAGCGGCACCGGGCAGGCGUGGUUCGCCUACACCGUGGCGGUGCUGUCCAUGGCGUCGCUGGUGCCGCUUCUCCAGGGCGAGAGCGCCGAGGGCAGAGCCGGAGCCAUCAUGAACGCCAACGCGGAGCUCUGGAACGGCCGCUUCGCCAUGCUCGGACUCGUCGCGCUCGCCGCCACCGAGAUCAUCACCGGCACCCCCUUCAUCAACGUGUAGAAGAAAAUAGCUUUGCUGUCGACCGGAUAACACAACCUGUGCUUAGCUAGUACUCCCUCCGUUCCUAAAUAUAAACCUUUUAAAGGUUGCACUAUGAACUACAUACGGAUGUAUAAAGACAUAUUUUAUUUUAAAGUAGAGAUUUACUCAUUUUGCUUUGUAUGUAGUCUUUUAGUGUAAUUUCUAAAAGAUCUUAUAUUUUGGAACGUAGGGAGCAGGACAUAAAUGGUCAGAACUGGUCAUUCUCGUAUUCUUUGUUGUAUUUUGCUAACUAAAGGCGGUACACCUUUCUUUUUUCGCACUCGAAAUACGUUGACAUGAUCGAAUUCAUCUUUACAUUGGAAUGUUUUUAUCACAAAAAAGUUAAAACAUGUAAUUUCACAAUUCGAACAUGAAAAUAUAUUACAACACUAAGCUUCCUAGUUUUAAAGAGUCUAUAUUUAGUUGAGGUCUUCAAUUGAUAUAGCGCCAUCCGAUUUUAAUCGGGUCAAUAACUUUCCAAUGUUCUCUCGUACAGCCGCGCAUAUUGCAAAAAACAUUUUAAAACAACAUAAAAAAAUUAUACAUAUCCAUAAUAUCAAAUUGUUACAUAGUUUUUCAAAUCCACGAUAUCAGAUGCAACAUAAAUAGAACAUAGUUUUGCACAAUACAACAUAGUUUUUCACAAACAAAUAAUGAACCUAUACGGCUCUUUCGCCAUGCCAUUUCUAAAGGUUUUUCAUUAAAUCUUUCUGAAGUUAAUCAUGCACAUCGGUGUCUCUAAACUCGCUGUACACCUUCAUAAACGUCUGAUGCACUGUUCUUUUUUGCAUGAGACUUAACAUGAGUGCCCUUCAAGUAAUAGAAGUUGUAAUCUAAAUGUUCUCCACAUUCGUUCUUAAUGAUCAUAUUAUGCAUAAUCACGCGAGCAGUCAUUAUGUAUCAAAAGAUCUUUUGAUCCCAGAAUCUAGAUGGUCCUCGCACAAUAGCAACUUGAGAUUGCAAAAUCCGGAAAACCCUCUCAAUAUCUUUUCUAGCGGGCGCUUGUGCAUUGUGAAAGAUGAGUUCUUUCUUACCUUUGGGUUUUGCAACCAGCUUGCCAAAUAUGCUCCACCUUGGGUAGAUCACAUCUGCAAGAUAGUACUCAUAGUUGUAUGUGCGACAAGUCACUGGUGGUGCUUCUCCAUUUGCUAACUUGGCAAACAGAGGUAAUCGGUCGAGCACGUUGAUGUCGUUGCAAGAUCCAGGCAUCCCAAAAUAUGCAUGUUAAAUCCAUGUUUCAAGAUCGACAACUGCCUCAAGAAUGAUAGUGACAUCCUUCCCACGACCCUUGAAUUGUCCAUGCCAUGCUUUUAGACGGUUCUUCCAUUCCAAUGCAUGCACAACUCUUUCGACAUUCUGAAACGGCGUCGAAAGUAAUUCUCCUGGAAAACAGGUGGUGAUCGAAAGUAGUUGUGCAUCAACCGUUUGUGUGCAUCAAUCCGUUCUCUCUGAUUGAACGCACGAUCAUAGACGGAACCACCGUGCUUUGGCUUCUUCCCCUUGUGCAUGGUCACUAGCAUAGCAAUGUCCUCUUCUUCAUGCAAAUCAAAUUCCUCGUUGUUAGAGCAUAUAUCUCCAUAUGUGGUUUUUGUAAUUGAUGACAAUUCCUAUGGACUAAUGGUUGCCUUAAGUUAUAUUUAUAGGAUUUGUCCAUAGGCACUUCUUGAAGUCCAUUUGUUGGGUUCAAGGAGUUUAUAUGAUGACCAAGAUGGUAUUCAAGGUAUUAUCCAAAGAAUGGUCAUAGAGACACAAGGUUGAUCAAGAUCUCAGACAAAGAGUAAAUCAAGAUGAUCAACACACAAAGCGUACAAGAUGUACCGAGAGGGAUCAAGUGAUCCCAUGGUAUGGUAAGCAUUGUCCAUUACGUGUUUGUGUACUAACCCAUGGUCUUCGUGAGAGUUCUAUGUGGGGUUAGGUGUGUCUCCAUGGGCUUGCGUCUAGAGGAAGAUCUCAUACAAAGCGUACAAGAUGUAUCGAGAGGGAUCAAGUGAUCCCAUGGUAUGGUAAGCAUUGUCCAUUACGUGUUUGUGUACUAACCCAUGGUCUUCGUGAGAGUUCUAUGUGGGGUUAGGUGUGUCUCCAUGGGCUUGCGUCUAGAGGAAGAUCUCAUACAACCCAUGAAGGAUGACGUCAAGUGGUGAUCGUCAUCAGGAUUGCGGUGUGCAAGUUCAAGUGGAUCAGCACGAAGAUAUCAUGCUUGAAGCCUACCGUCCAUUGUGGUGGCAAUGGACUUGUGAAUAUAUACUGAAGAGCGGCUCAUCCAUGUUCUGUAUGGGGGAGAAAUCAACUAGUCUUCAUCAAGCCAACUCAAUCAAGAAGGUGGUCCAUCUUGAGGAAGCCAAGAUCAUCGUCAUCUAGCUCAAAAGGACGAGGUGCAAGGUAUAGGUUUGCCCUUGAUAGGUUUUCUGUUUUAGGAUAGAUUGCCGUUCUGUCAAGGGGGGGCUCUCAAAUGAGUAGCUCGAUCGUAUCGUUCGUUGAGAUCUCAAACCAUUUUCAUCCUUGCAUCAUACUUCUUGGUUCUUAUUUGGUGUUUCUCUUUGUGAGUUUUAGAGCUUAUGGCCAUCUUCAUGGCAAGCUCGAGUUCAUCAAAAACGGAGUCCAUAUGCAUCUACUAUGAUGUUUUCAAUGUUGGAGUUCUUGCCGGUUCUUCAUUCAUAGAGGUCUCACAUCUCUAUAUCAUUGACAUUUUUGAUAUCUGCAUGAUCUUAAGAUUUCAGUGGCGAGCGGUAGUACCGCUCCAGUCCUAGCGGUUUAUAUAGUUCUUGUCGUCCUGAAUCCAACAAGCUUGGGGUUGCUCGAUUCGGAGCUCGUAUGCGAAAGUUAUGGCUGUUUCAGUGGCGAGCGGUAGUACUGCUCCAGUCCUAGCGCUAGUACCGCCAGGGCCAGCGGUAGUACCGCUCCGGGUGGGAGGUAGUACCGCUUCGGGACGGUAGUACCUCUCUCUGAACGGUUGUUCUCCGUCGGAUUUUUUGCGAAGACUUUCUCUAACGGUAGUACCGCCACGUGCUCGCGGUAGUACCGCCAGGGCUAGCGGUAGUACCGCCAGGGGCUAGCGGUAGUACCGCUCCUCGCCAGCGGUAGUAUCGUUGUGCGCGGCCUGUAAGUGGGGGUAACGGUCUGAUUCCUUCCCCACUAUAUAAAAGGGGUCUUCUUCCCCCUUGGUCUUAUCUAUCCGUUGAGCUCGUGUUCUGCCCCAUUGUUGACCUUCUUAGAGCUUGCUAACUCUUAAUCCCUCCAAUGAUUCUUACUAGUUCUUGAGGGAAAAGGGAGAGGAGAUCUAGAUCCACAUCUCCACCAAUCACUUUCUCCUCUAUGUGAGGGGAACCCCUUGGAUCUAGAUCUUGGAGUUCUUUGUGAGCUCCUUGCUCUUCCUCUCAUAUUUCUUCAUAGCUUUCGUUGUUGUGGAGGGAUUUGAGUGCGAGGGACUUGACCACUUCGUGUGUUCUUGCCAUUGCAUUAGUUGCAUCGGUUUGAAUUCUCCACGGUGAUACGUGGAAGUGAGAAGUUGAGAAGCUUAUUACCCUUUGAUACUUAGUACCCUAGAGAUUGUUCUUCGUGGGUGCUUUGGCGUCCUAAAAGCUUGAUGGUGUCUCGAAGCUCAAUCAUUGUGGUGUAAAGCUCCGGGCAAGCGUCGGGGUCUCCAAUUAGGUUGUGGAGAUUGCCCCGAGCAAUUUGUACGGGUACCGGUGACUGUCCCCAAGGGUUGCCAUUUGUACGGAUUCAGUGACCGCCCUCAAGGGUCCCUUAGUGGAAUCACGACAUCUUGCAUUGUGCGAGGGCGUGAGAAGAUUACGGUGGCCUUAGUGGCAUCUUGGAGAGCAUUGUGCCUCCACACCGCUCCAACGGAGAUUAGCAUCCGUAAGGGUGUGAACUUCGGAAUACAUCAUCGUCUCCGCGUGCCUCGGUUAUCUCUUACCCGAACCCUUUACUUAUGCACUUUACUUUGUGAUAGCCAUAUUGUUUAUUGUCAUAUAUCUUGCUAUCUCUUAAUUGUUUAUUUUGCUUAGCAUAAGUUGUUGUAGGUUUUGUGCUUGACAAAUUAAACAUUAGUUUUAUUCCGCAUUUGUUCAAGCCUAAACUGUAAUUAUUUUAAAGCACCUAUUCACCCUCUAGGCGACAUCCACGUCCUUUCACUCGUCCCAAUCGUCCACGAAUGAGGCGUCAACCGAGAUCAUUUACAAUGCAGACAACCACCGUCAAAUAUACUAUCCAAUCCCAAUUUAAAUCAUCAAGUUUCGUCAUUUUUUUACCUUGGGGAAUUUCGUCGAAGACCUUAUGCGCCAGGUGGAAAAAGAUGACCGGCGGUUGGAUUGGUCGCUGCUGCGGACGGCUGCGGACGGCGAUGCAGAGGAGAAGGGAGCAUGACGGCCGGCGGAGCGGAGCUAUAUGGGCUGUCGGACCGCCGGAGUCGGCGAAUCCAGCCGCUACUGCUUCCCGAAAUGACGGCGCAGGGGCGGCUGCGAGACGCCCUCCGGCGAGAGAGGCGACGCGGGCUAGGGCGGCGGCGACGAUUUGGGGCGGUGGCGGCGACGGCGACGACUUUCGACGGCUGGUGCUCGGUCGUGGGCGGGCGGUCGCGAGGCAGAAGGGAAAUGAACUAACGGUCGGUCCUUUGGCGGGCGGCCGCGGUUUUACAUCAGUUGUAUCUCGUGAUGUAAAUUUGCAUCACGGAGUUUUCAUUUUUAAUCUGCGGGACCCGGUGGUUCAAUUUUUUUUACCCAUCUGUUCGAGCAGCAAUUUUUGCUCCUAAAGAUCUAAAAAUAGGUAUUUUUAUAUAUAAACCGUUUAUUGGAGAUGCUCUUAUUACUUGUGGUGGGGCAUGUGCGCUAUCUUCCUUUACAAAAGCCCAAGCCCACACUCCCCAUCGACGUAACCAGCAGUGGAGCCAGGAAUUGAGUUUAGCCGAAAUGAAUAUGCAAGUCUCAGUAUAUAUAUUUUUGAGCACCGUAGACAUUACAUCAAGAAAGAAACGUAUGCAUGAUGGCAGUCCUCGGACGAUUCGCAACUUGCCUGUCUGUCUGGCGUUUCCUGAAGCUCUCCGCACGAUGACCUCCACGUCCGCGUGGUCGCUGGGUCGCUCCACGUAGAGGCUCGCGACGUGGGCACCGCCGUGGCCACCGCGCGCAGCUCCUCACGGGUUGGCCCUCGCGGAGCACGGCCUAUAAAUUUGUGUCCACUCUGUCGGAACAAUACAUCAGCAAACACCUUCCGUCCAACAACUAGCAGCACUGUAGUAGCAAUCAUCUUUACCCUGUUGCAGCAUCUGUAGCUUUUUUCUGCUCUUUCGUGCACCUUCCAUCCGCAGUUGAUUAAUGGCGACCAUGAUGGCCAUGAGCUCCUUCGCCGGUGCGGCCGUCUUGCCGCGCGGCUCGGCCAGGUCUCUGCCAGCGCUGGGCCGACGUACCCUCGUCGUCAGGGCACAGACCGAGGGCCCGAACGCACCACCGCCAAACAAACCCAAGGCGAGCACCUCCAUCUGGGACGCGAUGGCGUUCAGCGGCCCUGCGCCGGAGCGCAUCAACGGGCGGCUAGCCAUGGUGGGCUUCGUGACGGCGCUGGCUGUGGAGGCAGGCCGCGGCGACGGGCUCCUCUCGCAGCUCGGCAGCGGCACCGGGCAGGCGUGGUUCGCCUACACCGUGGCGAUGCUGUCCAUGGCGUCGCUGGUGCCGCUGCUCCAGGGCGAGAGCGCCGAGGGCAGAGCCGGCGCCAUCAUGAACGCCAACGCGGAGCUCUGGAACGGCCGCUUCGCCAUGAUCGGACUCGUCGCGCUCGCCGCCACCGAGAUCAUCACCGGCACCCCCUUCAUCAACGUGUAGAAGAAAAUAGCUUUGCUGUCGACCGGAUAACACAACCUGUACUUAGCUAGUAGGACAUGUAAAUGAUCAGAAUUGAUCAUUCUCGUAUUCUUUGUAGUAUUGCUGAUUAAAGACGGUUAUCUUUCUUUUUUUCUCACUCGAAAUAUGUUGACAUGAUUCCGGGAGAAAUCCUUGCUCCGGUCUUCAUCGGAGCUGCGACGCCCGCGGGUGCCGCUAUCUUUCUUGAAAGUGUCGUUGUGGAGGUGUGAUGUUCCCCUUCGUCGGCUGCUGCCCGCAUCGCCACCUAUGCCCACCAGGUCCUGAUCUGUGGGCCUCUCUCCUGCGGAUUCUUGACGGUGCCGACGUGGUUGCCGGGACCCUUCCUGCGGGUGAAGCCGGUGGAGGAGAUUCGGAUUGGGGGAAACCCUUUGGUUGGCCCAGGCCGGCCCCGACGACGACGCUCAAGGACGCCGUUAUUCUUUUUGAAGACGUCGGUAUACAUCUGCUCACCUUCUUUGCCUCUCGGGUGAAAACCCUAACUCCGGUGGGCGGCGGCGACGGCCUUGACGUCGUGACCUUCCUGAAGGCGUCGCCUUGAGGGCUGAGUGGUGGUGGACACUGUGUGGGUCCUGAACGGUUGCUGGUGGUGGGCACAGCUUCGGGGGAAACCCUAGGAUCUGGUCUUUCAGAUCGGACGAGGCGGUACUGCAGUGCCGUUUCUCUCUUGGGAGCAUCGUUUGUGGAGCAGCGCUGGCAGACUGAGGCAGGAGGUGCAGCGGUUCGUCUUGCACGGAAUUUUGGUGGAGCUGUUAAGUCAUGCCUGACCGACAGGUGCUACACUGAGUCAUGCCUGGUUGGCAGGUGCUACGCACGACAGAUCUUUCGGAGUCUUCGCAUCUGGAAGGAUGAGCGCAGGGCGGUGGCGCCGUUGGGCGCCGUGAUGGCGUCGACGGAUGAUUGGACUGGCAAGGAUGAUGCAUAUCUCUUUCCUGAAGAUGGGUCAGUGGUUCGAGGAUGAUGGCGGCUGGUAAAACGUGUGCGUGAGGUGUGCGUUUUAGGUGUGCUGCACCGGCUGUUGUUCCCGAUACGUUAUGUGGAUGGAUUAGAAACAACACUGGUCUUAGAUAUGUGGAGUGAGAUCACUCCACAUUAUCGAGCUUGUAGGUGUGAGUGGUGGCUUUGGAUGGAUUGAUGUGUAUUCUUGUUAUACCUUUGUGGAAUAAUUAAUAAGAUGGAUGCAUAUGCAUCGAUUGAUGCAGAGGCCGGGGGUUUAACCUCCUCCUCUAAAAAAAAAUCUUUCUACCACAUUAAGACAUCUCGAUUCCUUUGAAUCUUUAUCACAACAAACCUGUUAAGACAUGCAGUUUCACAAUUCGGACAUGAAAAUUCUACACUAUAGCAAAGCUGCACAUGGAGGGGAACAAAUAUGGAACCUGGGUGAGGAUGCACCUGUUUCUCAAAAUAGAAAAAAUAAUUUUAAAAAUGAUUAUAAAACCGUGAAAUAUUUGGCAACCAAUUUGAUGAAUUGUUACACUCAUAAAUAAAUUCAGGACGAAGUGACUUUCGUGGUAUUGUUGGCGCAAAAAACAAAGUCACCAUUAUAUUAGAGGUACUGUUUACUAUGUAUUGUCCUGGACAACUUGUAUUUUAGGUUCACAUUUUUUACGGUAGUUUUUCUUUAUCGAUUUUUUUUAUAUGAGUAUGUCAGUCGGAUAAGUUUUCGGCCGAGGAAAAACUUUUUUUCCUGAAUUGUUAAAAAGAAACGCAUGCAGAAGUUACUUUAUGACUAACUUGUGCUUGCACCUAAAUUGAGCAACAUAGAUUAUACAGAAAAAUCAACUACCCUAAGGUGCAUGAUUCAGACUCGAGGUUACACAUAAAGAUGAUAUCGAGUGGAUGAACAAGCAGCUUGGGGACUUCAAAGAAUAGAACCGUGUACGAUGUUUGAUCCAUCGCGCACUAUUUGAGUAAAGGAACUAUGCGCGUUGUGUUAUACAUGUUUUCUUUGGGCUGGAUGUAUGCGGCGAGGGAUGAUAUCGAGCGGAUGAACAAGCAUCUUGGGGACUUCAAAGUGACUUCUAUACUUUAUCUUGCUAAAUUUUUUAAAUAUUAUUUUUUUAAUUCUUUUUGAAAAAUAUUGCUCAAAUUACAAAUCUUUCAAAAAUAUUACAGCCUCGGCCCAGUCGUGAUCGAUUGGAACCAUUCGGCCCACGUGCGGCCGAUAAGGACCCACUCGGCCACGUGACGGCCGACUACUGGCCAGGCCACGUCGUUGCUAUCCUUUUGGCCGGUGGGCAGGCCAAUCGGCUUCGGCCAGGCCGAUAAGGCCCAAUCGGCUGCGGCCAGGCCGAUUAGUGUCCGGCCACCCAACCAGCCGCUCGGCUCGCCCCCGAGCCCCUUCUUCCUCCUUCCUCCUUCUCCCAUUCUUCCUUAUCUCCUUUCUCUCUUUCUCCUCCUUCCUUCUCUCCCCACACAAAAAAUCUCUAAACUCUACACCAAAUCUUACCCGGUUUUUCCCAUAUUUUGCAUCAUAGUUUUAUUGUGUAAGGUUAGGGCAGCCAACCAUCUGUCUCACUCGCGAUGUGAUAGUUCGUGGUGGUUGUGUUCAAGCUUUUUUUGGUGGUGGUGGUGGUGGAGGUGGAGGUUGUAGUGGUGGUGGUGGUGGUGGUGGUGGUGGUGUGGGUGAAGGUGGUUGUUGGGGUGGAGUUGAAGGUGGUGGUGGCAGUUGCUCGUUCGUCAUUAUUCUCUCGUUCGUCGUUUCUGCGCACACUUCAAGGGUAAAAUAUUUUUAGUUUAUGGAAGUAAGUAGUUUAGUGAAGUAAGUAGUUUAGGACAUAUUUAGUUUAAUGAAGUAAGUAGUUUAAAAAUUUGUAGGUGCUCCUGUAGAUUAGGACAUAUUUAGUUUAGUGAAGUAAGUAGUUUAGUGAAUUAAGUAGUUUAAAUAUUUGUAGGUGGUCCGGUAGAUUUGUAUAUAUUUAGUUUAGUGAAUUAAGUAGUUUAAAUAUUUUUAGGUCAUACGGUAGAUUUGUAUAUAUUUAGUUUAGUGAAUUAAGUAGUUUAAAAAAAUAGGUGCUCCGAUAGAUUUGUAUAUAUUUAGUUUAGUGACUUAAGUAGUUUUAAAAAAUUAGGUGCUCCGAUAGAUUUGUAUAUUUUUAGUUUCUCCGGUUAGAUUCGGAUAUAUUUAGGUCUGUCAAUUAAGUAGUUUAAAUAUUUUUAGGUUCUCUGAUAGAUUUGGGAAAUAUAUUUAGGUUUGUCCUUCUUCUAAAUUUUUUCCUUGUGGAAUAAUUUGUUAGGUCAUUAGAGAUGUCUGAUUUAAUGAAGUUAUGUUUGCACUAUGGUCCCGAUACUGUUCAAACAAAUGAGAUGGGAGCUGAUCUUAGUGAAUUUCAGUACAUUGAGGUGCCAGUGUCUUCCCCUGAAACAUGGUCUGUUAGUCAGUUGACAGAAUGGCUGGCCCGAUGUUUAGGUUUCAAUAUUGAAACACACACCGUCGGUGUUCAUGCAUUAUGGACCCGGACCAGUGCAAAUAUUUUCUGGUAUUUGAAGCAUAUAGGGCGGGACGACUAGUGGGUGCACUGGUUAAAAGCUUGCGGGCGUAGGGGAUGUAAUCCUGUGACCUUACUGCUCCCCGUGCUAAAGCCGGUGAGUGAACCUCAAGCCGAGUGCAGCUACGAGUAUGGUCAGAGCAGUGUAGGGAUGCAUGAUUCAGAAUCAAUUCAUGCGUCCCAUGCUGGAGAUGAUGUUUACGAAGUAGACUAGAGUAGUUAGGCAGAAGGGGGAGAUGCAGAUGAUUAUGUCAGCAGCGAGGCAGAUGCUGACGAGAUAGAUGGGCACAUGCAAAACCAGAUGCAUGAAGAAGAUAUAGAAGGUGAUAUUUCCGAUGAUUCCUCCGAGUCAGAUGAAGAAGAGAACGCACAUGAAGUGCAUAUUCCUGCAUCAUGGAAUCAAGACUUCUCAUCUGCAAUGUUGGUGAACGAUGGUCAUGAUUCUGCCUGGCAGUAUCACCAGAACAACAAUGCGAUAGGUGCCCUCUACCCGAACAAACAAGCUCUGAAGGAUGCCAUCCUUGAUUGGGCAAUGUCCACUCAAAGGGUUUUUGUAGCUCAAGUUUCUUGCACGAAAAACUUGACAAUGGUAUGCAGAAACCAGGGUUGUCCCGCAAGGGUGCAUGGCUAUCUCCCUAAGUAUGGCACAAGUUGGGUCAUAAGUGACAUAGUUAGUCAUAAUUGUGUUAUUCCGUGUAUCCCUCAAGAUCAUCCUAACCUUACUUCCACGGUGAUUGCUCGCUUGCUUUACAUCGAGAUAGUGGAGAGCAAGGCGAUGGAAGUGAAGGCUAUCCAGACAAAAGUCUUCGUGAGGUUAAAGUACAACAUAUCAUACGGCAAGGCUUGGAGGGCUAAGCAGAAGGCACUUGAGACCAGAUUCGGUUCGUAUUUCGAUGCAUAUGACUCUGUUGUUCAGCUCCUCCACACACUGCAGAACCGAAAUCCUGGCACCUAUGUUGACAUCCAAGACUUGUACCUGCCAGAGUUCCCAACGGUUAGGGUGUUGCAUCGGUUGUUCUUCUCUUUUGGUGUCUGCAUCGAAGAUUUGAGACAUUGUCAAACUGUGAUAUGUGUAGAUGACACUUUUCUCACUGGCAAGUACAAGGGUCAGAUCCUCACAGCCAUAGGUCAAGAUGGACAAAAUCAAGUCGUCCCACUUGCAUUUUCUUUUGUGGAGAGCGAGAACAUCGAGAGUUGGACAUGGUUCUUCAGGCAGUUGAAAAUAGCAGUUGUGCAUAAUAAGCAGAAUGUGUGCAUCCUUCAUGACAGGCAUGCAGGUAUACUCAGCGCGAUCAAGACAUUGUCAAACCCUGCUCCUGAUGAACAAACUCCUUGGCGGGACAUUCAGAGCCGUUGGUGCAUGCGCCAUCUAGGGGCAAAUUUCUUCUCACAGUUCAGAAAUAAGAACCUCGUGAAUCUAUUCAAGAAACUCUGCAAGCAGAACCAACAAUGGAAGUAUGAGCUGAUACGUAACAGACUAAAUGUUUGCACACAGAAAUAUGUUAGGGACAUGAGAGCUGCAAGAGAUGCUACUGUCAGGGCACAUGUUGAAGCAGUAGCUGCACAACUAGCUAUUGGAUCUGCUACCGUGGAGGAAGAGCAGGUUGGGCUUUGUGACUUGCCAGGAUUUGACCCACCUAGUGCAAGGAGAUCGAAGGCUUGCGAGGACGAUUAAAACUUUUGAUCAGUGGAUAGAGCAUGAGCCGUUGGAGAGGUGGUCUCUGUUGCAUGACAUACAUGGAGCGAGGUACGGUGUCAUGACUACCAAUCUUGCUGAAACAUAUAAUUUCGUCCUCACAGGAAACAGAGCUUUGCCACUUACAGUGAUCGUUGAGGGAAUUUUCUAUGGCACAGUGAAGUAUUUCAAAGAAAGACGUAAAAAUGUUGCGGAGCAUAUCACAAACAAUCUGAACACACGUUACUGUGAAAGGGUUAUGAAGUGCAUGGAUGAAAAGAUGAAGAAAGCCCGGUCACAUAGUGUUGUCGCCAUUGGAAAUCUAGAGCAAAGGUUUGAGGUCCGCUUAGCUAACAACAAAUUCGGAUGUGGAAAUGAGAUGAGAACACAUGAGGUGAAAAUUGGAAAUGAAUUGUGGCCAACGUGCGAGUGCACAUGCAAAAAACCGAAGUUGCUUCACCUACCUUGCUCGCAUGUACUUGCUGCUUGCGGACUGAUAGGCCUUGAUGCAAUAUCGUUUGUGUCUCCAUAUUUUUUGAAAGAGGCGGUCCUCAAUACCUAGACAGGUGAGUUGAGGGGUUUCCGAUCAAUGGGUAACUUCAACACUAUUGAGCCUGCUGAAAGGCGAUACAUUCCAAACCCUGGGAAUAUGCGUACAAGUAGAGGGAGACGGCAGUGUCAGCGCAUCCGGAAUGACAUGGAUGAAUCUGAGGCCGGCGGGCGCACCGUGCAAUGCAUUCUAUGUAAUGAAUUUGGACAUAGGAAUUUUCAAGUGUGGCUGGAUGAUGGAGGAAGGCAGUCCAAUGCCUCCUUUUAUAGACCCAGAUGACAAGGGCGAUGGCGGAAAAACGAGGAGGGAAAUGAGGUGGGAAAAAUUUGGCAGGAAAGGAGGCGGGAAAAAUUUGGCGGGAAAGGAGGCGGGAAAAUUUUGGCAGGAAAGUAGUGGGGAUAAAUUGGUGGGAAACGAGACGGUAAAUGCAAUGGCGCGAAAGUCUAGCGGGAAAUGGUGCGUGGAAAAUAUUACAUGAAAAAGAAUUCAUGCACCUAUUGGCCUAGCUAACACCAAUUAGUCAUUAUUGGCCUAAGCCAAGGCUGAUAAGGGACUUAUUGGCCUAGCCAAGGAUGACAGGAGCUUAUUGGCUUAGCCAAGGCCGAUAGGCUGCUGAAAGCCAGUCCGAGAGGCUUAUCAGCCUAGCCAAGGUCGAGUGGGACUUACUGGUCUUGGCUAGGCUGAAAGGUUCCAAUCGGCCACACCUCGGCCGAGGCUGCAAUAUUUUUGAAAUAUUUGUAAUUUGCGCCAUAUUUUUUAGAAAGAAUAAAAAAGUAAUAUUUUAAAAAAUAGGCUUUAUCUUAGGAUGGCUAAAUGUUAGUUGACUGAAUUUCAAAUUUGAGCCAGCCGAUUUUGAGAAGGAAGAAGGAUGCGCCGGCGGAGGUAAAGGAGACUCUGAGGCUGCUGGCAAGGGGAAAGAACACCCCCACUAUCUAUCUUAGGAUGGAGGGUACAUGUUCACCGGGGAAGCAACCCCACCUUCUAUCUUAGGGUGGCGGUGCAAGCUCGUUCAGGAUUUUAGGGUAGUCGCUAGCCUUAGAGGGAUGGACGAGGGGUCAUACUGACGGUUGAGGGUAGGGUGAGGCUUGCGCGGGAGUGUCACUCGGUGUGGGGGCAGCUGCAGGCGGCGGCUAGUUUGUUCUAAGGAAGAAGCUGGACAUGAGGACAACAGAAGGUUGCACAAAGAUAUCUAGCCCUUCAUUUCACAUUUGAUGGUUGGGAAAAUUGAUUGACCCAAUUUAUUUUCACGCGACUAACAUAUAGCUAGUCCUUUAGAUAAUUAAUUGUUUUCUUCCAUCAUUUUUUACUUCUCUAACCAUACUGCCCAACAAAAAUAUUAAUAUAUAAAUAACCAAUGGCCAAUGAAGUUGUCCACUUCAAGUUCUCGGAGAUCUGAUCAUUCUCCUCACAUUAAUUUGGCAUUGGCAUUAGAAAUCAAAGCAAAACCUGGCAAAUCAUCUAAGGCAAUAUAAAAUGAGGAAAAUGGUUGGGCAGCUCACCCCCCCUUCACACCCACCCACCCACCACCACCACCACCACUACACACACAUGCCGAAUUUCAAUGUACUCUCACAACAAAUUUCUGGAGAGAAAAGGCUAAAACAUUUCUCCAACACAAGGAGAGAACACAUCAAUGAUUCAUUUCCGCAACACAAAAACAAAAAACAACGGAGCGUUAAGAGUCUAAAAUCAUCUGUUCAGAGACAAAACCGUUGCCGCACUUGUAUGUAUUUUAAAUACGACACACAUGUAGUAAAGAAAAACAAGGUCAUUAUUCAGGAAUCAUUUUUCUUUUGGUUUGCUAGAGAGGUUGCGCCUAUCUUUUCCCCUCGACCCAAGGGCACUCGUGGGUUCCCCUCGCCUCUGCCGGUCAUUAUGGUUGUUGAAGGACGAGGAAACACGGAUCCGAGGCUCUUGGUUCGUGUUUAAUAGGGUUUUCGAGUUUUUCAUCAUGGUAAGCUGGGGCGACAACGACAAUGGUAAUAAUGGUAUUUAGACUUUCCCCAUAUCGAUGUCCAUCUUCAAGGCUGCAUCGAUGAGUCUUGUCAAUUACCACACACUCAGUUUGAUCUGCUUAGCGUUUGUUCAUGGCGACAAUGCCUGAUGGAAUUUUGUCAAAAACUAUUUUAGGCCAGCCCAAUAACAAUUUUAGAAAUUUCUAAUAAAUCAUAGAGGCCCACGCAGCCCAUUCGUACAAGACAAGAGGUGUAAUCAAAGUUUAGUCCCACAUUGCUAGUUUAGUGGGAGUUGGACCUCCUUAUAAGGGAGGUUCUUUCCCCCACAUGUAUGAGCAUGAGAAAAAGUGGGACAUUCACGCGCGCUCCUCCUCCGCCGCCCGCCUCACCACGCCUCGUCGUGACAUGCUACGUCGACAGAAAUCCCCGGCAACGGCGCCAGAAAUCCUUCUGCUGCCUCUUGAGCUUGCGUUGGUUUUCCCUUGAAGAGGAAAGGGUGAUGCAGCACAGGAGCAGUAAGUAUUUCCCUCAGUUUGAGAACCAAGGGGUAUCAAUCCAAUAGGAGAAUCAAGCCAAGUGUCCAGAGUACCUGCGCAAACACAACGAGCUUGCACCCAACGCUAUAAAGGGAUUGUCAAUCCCUUCAAGAUUGAUUGCAAAGUGAGAUCUGAAGGCGGAAAGUGCAACAAAGUAAAAGUGUAAGGCUGAAAAUAUGAUGUGAAGUAGACCCGAGGGCCAUAGUGUUCACUAGAGGCUUUGUUGGGGAACGUCGCAUGGGAAACAAAAAUUUUCCUACGCGCACGAAGACCUAUCAUGGUGAUGUCCAUCUACGAGAGGGGAUGUUUGAUCUACGUACCCUUGUAGACCGUACAGCAGAAGCAUUAGUGAACGCGGUUGAUGUAGUGGAACGUCCUCACGUCCCUCGAUCCGCCCCGCGAACCGUCCCGCGAUCAGUCCCACGAUCUAGUGCCGAACGGACGGCACCUCCGCGUUCAGCACACGUACAGCUCGACGAUGAUCUCGGCCUUCUUGAUCCAGAAAGAGAGACGGAGAGGUAGAAGAGUUCUCCGGCAGCGUGACGGCGCUCCGGAGGUUGGUGAUGAUCUCGUCUCAGCAGGGCUCCGCCCGAGCUCCGCAGAAACGCGAUCUAGAGGUAAAACCGUAGAGAUAUGUGGUCGGGCUGCCGUGGCAAAGUCGUGGCAAAUCAGCCCUAAAACCUCCGUAUAUAUAGGGGGAAGAGGGGGAGCCUUGCCUUGGNNNNNNNNNNNNNNNNNNNNNNNNNNNNNNNNNNNNNNNNNNNNNNNNNNNNNNNNNNNNNNNNNNNNNNNNNNNNNNNNNNNNNNNNNNNNNNNNNNNNNNNNNNNNNNNNNNNNNNNNNNNNNNNNNNNNNNNNNNNNNNNNNNNNNNNNNNNNNNNNNNNNNNNNNNNNNNNNNNNNNNNNNNNNNNNNNNNNNNNNNNNNNNNNNNNNNNNNNNNNNNNNNNNNNNNNNNNNNNNNNNNNNNNNNNNNNNNNNNNNNNNNNNNNNNNNNNNNNNNNNNNNNNNNNNNNNNNNNNNNNNNNNNNNNNNNNNNNNNNNNNNNNNNNNNNNNNNNNNNNNNNNNNNNNNNNNNNNNNNNNNNNNNNNNNNNNNNNNNNNNNNNNNNNNNNNNNNNNNNNNNNNNNNNNNNNNNNNNNNNNNNNNNNNNNNNNNNNNNNNNNNNNNNNNNNNNNNNNNNNNNNNNNNNNNNNNNNNNNNNNNNNNNNNNNNNNNNNNNNNNNNNNNNNNNNNNNNNNNNNNNNNNNNNNNNNNNNNNNNNNNNNNNNNNNNNNNNNNNNNNNNNNNNNNNNNNNNNNNNNNNNNNNNNNNNNNNNNNNNNNNNNNNNNNNNNNNNNNNNNNNNNNUUUACUCGUUCCGUAAUACAAGAUCCCGCAACUUACACUAAGUCACAUUGCUUGCAAGGCUUGUGUGUGAUAUUGUAUUAGCGAGUGGGCCCCGAGAUACCUCUCCGUCACACGGAGUGACAAAUCCCAGUCUCGAUCCAUACUAACUCAACGAACACCUUCGGAGAUACCUGUAGAGCAUCUUUAUAGUCACCCAGUUACGUUGCGACGUUUGAUACACACAAAGUAUUCCUCCGGUGUUAGGGAGUUAUGAUCUCAUGGUCAUAGGAACAAAUACUUGACACGCAGAAAACAGUAGCAACAAAAUGACACGAUCAACAUGCUACGUCUAUUAGUUUGGGUCUAGUCCAUCACGUGAUUCUCCUAAUGACGUGAUCCAGUUAUCAAGCAACAACACCUUGUCCAUAAUUAGAAGACACUGACUAUGAUUGAUCAACUGGCUAGCCAACUAGAGGCUUGCUAGGGACAGUGUUUUGUCUAUGUAUCCACACAUGUAUAUAAGUCUUCAUUCAAUACAAUUAUAGCAUGGACAAUAAACGAUUAUCUUGAUACAGGAAUUAUAAUAAUAACUAUAUUUAUUAUUGCCUCUAGGGCAUAAUUCCUACAGGCUUCUCUCAAAAUAGCAAAGGUUACGGUGGGUGAACAAAUUACUGUCGAGCAAUUGAUAGAACCGCGCAAAGUCAUGACGAUAUCUAAGGCAAUGAUCAUACAUAUAGGCAUCAUGUCCGAGACAAGUAGACCGAUACUUUCUGCAUCUACUACUAUUACUCCACACAUCGACCGCUAUCUAGCAUGCAUCUAGUGUAUUGAGUUCAUGAAGAACAGAGUAACGCCUUAAACAAGAUGACAUGAUGUAGAAGGAUAAACUCAAACCAAUGAUGUAAACCCCAUCUUUUUACCCUUGAUGGCAACAACACGAUGCGUGCCUCGCUACCCCUUCUGUCACUGGGUGAGGUCACCGCACGAUAUGAAACCAAAACCAAGCACUUCUCCCAUUGCAAGAAUCAUAGAUCAAGUUGGCCAAACAAAACCCACAACUCGAAGAGAAUUACAAGGAUAUGAAAUCAUGCAUAUAAGAGAUCAGAAGAAACUCAAAUAAGAUUCAUAGAUAAUCGGAUCAUAAAUCCACAAUUCAUCGGAUCUCGACAAACACACCACAAAAGAAGAUUACAUCAGAUAGAUCUCCAUGAAGAUCAUGGAGAACUUUGUAUUGAAGAUCCAAGAGAGAUAAGAAGCCAUCUAGCUACUAGCUAUGGACCCGAAGAUCUAUGGUGAACUACUCACGCAUCAUCAGAGAGGCUGCUACUGCGACAACAUACCUUCUUUGACAACGGUGCCAGGAAUCCUGCUCCUACGGGCUACGCCUUUAGGGACUUCCUUGGAAAGUAUGCAAAGGAUUUCCCCGCGGCCUUGGACCCUUGCGUUGGUGUUUCCUUGAAGAGGAAAUGGUGAUGUAGCACAGCGGCGGUAAGUAUUUCCCUCAGUCUGAGAACCAAGGUAUCGAUCCAGUGGGAGGAUCACGUCGAGUCACAAGUACCUGCACAAACACAAAGAGCUUGCACCGAACGCUAUGAAGGGGUUGUCAAUCCCUUAUAGAUUGUUUGCCAAGUGAGAACGGAAAGCAAAAAGUAAACAAAGCAAAGUAAAAGUGAAAGCGGAGACGAUAGUUGUGAAUAGACCCGGGGGCCGUAGUGUUCACUAGUGGCUUCUCUCAUGAAAGCAAGUAGAUGGUGGGUGAACGAAUUACUGUCGAGCAAUUGAUAGAACCGCGCAAAGUCAUGACGUUAUCUAUGGCAAUGAUUAUAUCUAUAGGCAUCACGUCCAAAACAAGUAGACCGAUACUUUCUGCAUCUACUACUAUUACUCCACACGUCGACCGCUAUCCAGCAUGCAUCUAGUGUAUUAAGUUCAUAAGAACAGAGUAACGCCUUAAGCAAGAUGACAUGAUGUAGAUGGACAAUCUCAUAUCUACGAUAAAAGCCCAUCUUGUUACCCUUGAUGGCAACAACACGAUGCGUGCCUUGCUGCCCCUUCUGUCACUGGGAAAGGUCACCACACGAUAUGAACCCAAAACCAAGCACUUCUCCCAUUGCAAGAAUCAUAGAUCUAGUUGGCCAAACAAAACCCAAGACUCGGAGAGACUUACAAGGAUAUCAAAUCAUGCAUAUAAGAAAUCAGCAAAGACUCAAAUAUAAUUCAUAGAUAAUCUGAUCACAAAUCCACAAUUCAUCGGAUCUCGACAAACACACCGCCAAAGAGGAUUACAUCGGAUAGAUCUCCAUGAAGAUCAUGGAGAACUUUGUAUUGAAGAUCCAAGAGAGAGAAGAAGCCAUCUAGGUACUAACUAAAGACCCAUAGGUCUGAAGUGGACUACUCACGAGUCAUUGGAGAGGCGAUCAUGUUGAUGUAGAAGCCCUCCAACUCCAAAGUCCACUCUGGCAGGGCACCGGGAAGGGUCUCCAGAUGAGAUCUCGUGGAAAAGGAAGCUUGCGGCGGCGGAAAAGUGUUUUCGUGGAUGCCCUGAUUUUUUCUGGGAUUUUAGAGAAUUUAUAGGCGAAAGAGCUAGGGCAGGGGUGCUCCAGGAGGGCCACAAGCCUGGUAGCCGCCGACCCCCUGGUGGCGGCUACAGGGCCUGUGGGCCCCGUGUGGCGCUCCUGCCUUGGCCCUCAAGUCCCCUGAUCUUCUUCUGUUCUGGAAAAAUUUAUUCCGGGGAUUUUAUUCCAUUUGGACUCCGUUCCAAAAUCAGAUCUGAAAAGAGUAAAAAACACAGAAAAAAUAGGAACUGGCACUUGGCACUAAGUUAAUAAGUUAGUCCAAAAAAGAUAUAAAAGGUAUAUUAAACAUCCAAAGUUGACAAGAUAACAACAUGAAACCAUAAAAAAUUAUAGAUACGUUUGAGACGUAUCAAGCAUCCCCAAGCUUAACUCCUGCUCUUUCUCGAGUAGGGAAGUGAUAAAGAAUGAAUUUUUGAUGCUUUCAUGCUACCUAGCAUAUAUGUCCUUUGUAACUCCUCUUAUGUGACGUGAAUGUUCACAUCCAUUAGAUUCAAAACAAUAGUUUGCUAUUGAUGUGGAGACAAUAGUACUUCAAGCAAACUAGCAAGGUAAUCAUGAACUUUCAAAAUAACAAGGCCAAAAGAAAGUUAUCCCUACAAAAUCAUAUGGUCUGGCUAUGCUCUAUCAUCCUUGCACAACGAAUUUAAAUCAUGCACAACCCCGGUAUUGGCCAAGUAAUUGUUUUCACACCUUUACUUUCUCAAACUUUUUCAACUCUCACGCAAUACAUGAGCGUGAGCCAUGGUUUUAGCACUAUAAGUGGAAUGGAGUGUGGUGGAGGUUGCAAGACAAACAAGGAGAAGAUGAUCACAUUAACUAGGCAUAUCAAUGAGCUAUGGAGAUGCUCAUCAAUAGGUAUCAAUGUUAAUGAGUAGGGAUUGCCAUACAAUUGAUGCACUAGAGCUAAGAGUAUGUGAAAGCUCUUAAAGAAAACUAGUGGGUGUGCAUCCAACUUGCUUGCUCACGAAGACCUAAGGCNNNNNNNNNNNNNNNNNNNNNNNNNNNNNNNNNNNNNNNNNNNNNNNNNNNNNNNNNNNNNNNNNNNNNNNNNNNNNNNNNNNNNNNNNNNNNNNNNNNNAUAAUAAUAACUAUAUUUAUUAUUGCCUCUAGGGCAUAAUUCCAACACCGCGCUCUCUUCCUCCCUGCGCCAGGAGAGAAAGAGCUUGCAUCCUUCGUCUUCUUCGUCUUCGUCGCCGCGAAAUCGUCCACUCGCCGUCCCCUUUGGGUCCCCGUCCUCCGCGGUCAUGGCCGAUGGUUCUUCUUCGAAGAGGUCCUCGGCGCAGAAGGCAUCCUCGCAGGGAGCCUGGCUAGGUAGUGACGUCGGCGAGGGGCACAUCGAAGCGCUCCUUCACCACCGACUACUGCCCCCGGCCUCCCAAGUGUUGGUGUGCCUCCCUGGCGCCGAGACCGCUCCCGCACCCGCCGCGGGAGAGGUCGUGGUAUUCGUCGAGCAUUUCUACCAAGGUUUCGGGCUCCCGGCUAGCGCUUUCUUCGCUGAAUGGCUCCACUUCUUCGGCCUGCAGCCGCAUCACUUGGCGCCGAACGCCAUUCUGCAGUUGUCAGCCAUCGUGGUCCUCCGCGAGGGCUUCGUGGGGAUCGAGCCCCGCGUCGACCUGUGGCACAACCUGUUUUUCUUCAAGCAGCAGUCUAUCGUCAUGGAGAAAUCCGAGGUGGAGAAGCUCCAGGGGCCGCGCCCGAUGACUCCGUGCGGGGCCGCGUUGGUGCACCACCGCUCAAAGUCAGGCUUCCCACAGAUGCCUUUGCAAGAGUCCAUCAAGCAUUGGCAAAAGGGUUUCUUCUAUGUGAAGAGCGCCGACCUGGCCUAGGACGCCCUCAACAUGCCCCCGUUCGACAUCGCCCCGCCGACGCGGCGGAACUGGGAUGCGAAGACCCCCAAGCCAAUUCCUGAGGUGGCGCUGAUCUGUGCCCACCUCGACAUUUUGGAGAAGAGCGGCCUCCUCGACCGCGACCUUCUCACCACCAUGGUGGUCCGCCGGAUCCUGCCCCUGCAGAGGCGGCCGCAUCUGGUCUGCCAGAUGAGCGGCCGGCAUGAUCCAUGCCGGCUAUCCACCAAGAGGUUCACCCCCGGCGCUGUAGCGCGAAGGGUGAACCUGAUCUCCAUCGCCCGCAUGGAUGAGAGCAGGGAAUGGACGUGGGGAUUGUCCCCUUUCAACAGGGCCCAUCCGCCUCUGAUGGUAGGUGGCGUCUUUCUUCUUUGUUGUUUGCCUUGAAGCCGGUUGUGUUGCUGAACUGGAAGCCGGUUGUGUUGCUGAACCGUUGAUUGAAUCCUUUUCCGUAGCUGUUCGAGAAUCUGCAGGGGUCCCUCCGUCCGCCCGCUCCCGAUGUGGAUGUGUCCGACGCCUCAGAGAUUGAGGACGAGGGCGUGAUUGAAUCCCGCUCGGACUCCUCCGCUGGCUCGGAGAAUCCCCUGGAGUCGGAAGGGACAGAGCUUCUGGUGAGUACGCACGGCCCGCCGUUGCAGACUGGACGGACGACGACAAGAUAGCCUCAUUCUGUUCUGGUGCAGCCUUCGAGGAGGACUCUGAUGGGGUGGAGGAGGUCACCAGCCCGCCACUGACGCGCGGCAGGCGCCAAUGGGGCGGAGCGACCGCUGCUGACGAGGCAGCCGGGAAGAAGGGCAAGGGUGCCACAGCUUCUCGGCCGGCCUCUAAGCGGCCGGCGCCGGGUCCUCCAGCCGGACAGCGAGCAGGUGGCGUCAAGAGACGUCGCGGUGCUGGCCGGAGGUAGGUCCCUGUGGUAGCGGGGUAAGAUUUCCUCCUCUUUUUCUUCGUCCAUCUUGUGAUGAGCUUUGUUCCUUAGGAGUUUUGCUUGACAGGGAGGCGGAGGAUGUGGAUGAAGACACUGCCUCCGCAGCCGAGCGGGCUAGCUAGGCAGCAGCUGAUGCUGCCCAAAGGGAGCUUGAUACGGAGUCCAAGCACCGGUGGGACACGACUGCGGGGAAGGACGCCGUGGGCCAGCCUCGCCCCGGCCGUGUCGAGAGGCCGGUGGAGAAGCGUGCGAAGGCUAGACAUGACCCCUGCGCACAUGCUCGUGCGGAGGAGCCAGCUAGCGAGGCCGCCUCAAGGCUGGCCCCAAGGGCUGAGGGGGCCCAGCCAUCAGGGUCGGAAGCCUCGGCGCAGGUGGACCUGGAAACGGUCCCUGACUCUACCAGGGCCGAGGCGGCACCCGACGCGCCGGAGCUGGACCUAGCUGCGCCGGACACGGUCCCUGACGCCCCAGGGGCGACCAUGGAUGCACCGGAUGUGGCCCAUCCGCCUCCCGCGGAGGAGGUAGUGCCAGCCGGGAUGGCGCUAGAGCCGUCUGCCGAGCCGGCACCAGGAGCCGGUGCCAUCGUCAUUCCCCAGCAUUGCCCUGUUGCACCGGGAGCUGAGGGCCGGGCUGGGAGCCGUCCCAUGAGGACAUGGCGGGUGGCAAACCUGGCUCGCCUGCGACUGCCCGCUGGCACCGUGCUUUCCGGCGUACCGGAGCUGGUGACGAUGUUUUCCAGCAGCCGGUCCAAGGUGGAGCAGUCGGCCCGCGUGGUGUGCAGCGACAUGGAGCGCCUGGAGGCCCGCACCCAGGUAGGUGUUUCCUUUUUGGCUUUUUGUACUUUUUUGUCUUCCUUUGGCGUUAGUGGGAGCGCGACAGUGCACCCACUGGGUGUAGCCCCCGAGAAUUGGGCCGGUCGAUCGUCGAUCGGUCCGAAUCUCUUGGAGGCCCUUUUCCCUGUAUGGUUUCUUUAGUGGGGGCGCGCUAGCGCACCCAGUGGGUGUAGCCCCCGAGAAUCAGGUUGGUUAGGUUUUAACCAGGCCGAAUCUUAAUCAUGUUCCUUUUUCGCUCUUUUGGCAGGAGCUUUAUGAUGCUCAGGCGCAAGCCUAUAAUGAGCUACGGACUCAGCACCUGGGGGCCGAUAGCCGGAUCGCCGAGCUCGAAGUCCGGCUGGGCGAAGCUGCCACGGAGCGGGACGCCCUGCAUAACACAGACAACCAGCUCCAGGAGCAGCUGGACCUUCUUCAGACGGAGAAGAAGGAGCUCGAGGCGGCCGGCCGGGUCGAGCUGGAGCGACUGCGUGCCACGUUGCAGGAGAAGGAGGCCUCCUACUCCGCCGACGUGGAUCGCCUCGCGUCGCUUCAUCUCAAGGAGAUGGACCUCAAGGACGCCGCCUUGAGGGAGAAGGAGGAGGCCCUUGUCCAGAAGCAAACGCAGCUGGCCAAGGCCUUGGAGUUUGCGGCGACUCUCCAGGAGGAGGUUGCCCGCCUUACUCAUGCGAGUAAGGUGCGGGAGCGCGAGGUCCUCGAGGUCUCCCAUGAGACCGAUGGCACCUUCCAUCGUGAGUCUUUCUUCCUUGUCUUGUUUUUGAUCUUUUCGGCCGUCUCCUCUUUUUGGUUGUGCUCUUACGUCCUGGCUGCUGCCACUCCAGGUCUCUUUCCUGAGACCCAGAUCACGGCCGACACCGCCGUCGAGGUGAGCCGUCAGGAGCGCCGCGCGGCCGGGUAGGAGGUAGACACUACCUCCGGCUGGAGCGUGGAGGAGAUCGGGACGGGCCUUUGGGCCCGCAUGCGCGCCCUGGGUGAGUCUGUGGCUCAGCUCCAAGUCGCAGGCUCGUUGAUGGUGGCGGCCUUGUGGCUGGACGGUGUGGAGCCGGCGUCCAUGAGUCGGCUUGCCCGCUGGCUUGCAGCAGGCGGAGAACGCCUGGAUGCCUGGCGCGCCUCUGCCGCGCGGGCUGGGGCUUACAUGGCCCUACGCUUGGCCAGGUCCUUGUAUCGGAACCUGGACUUGAGCAAGCUUGUCGCCCAGCGUGAUGGCUCGGAGGCGGAGCUGCAAGGUAUGGAGGAGGCGCUUCGUGUGAGGGCCAGCGCCGUCGCCGAGUACGCAGCCUGGGACGACUUUGUUUUGGAGCGGGGUGAAGAUGGCGGUGUGAUCGCUGAAGAUCUGCACGGCCUUUGAUACGUCUCAAUCGUAUCUAUAAUUUUUGAUGGUUUCACGUUGUUAUCUUGUCUUCUUUGAUUGUUUUAUGUACCUUUCAUAUCUUUUUUUAGACUAACUUAUUAAUUCAGUGCCAAGUGCCAGUUCCUGUUUUUUCCGUGUUUUUGACUCUUUUCAGAUCUGAUUUUGGAACGGAGUCCAAACGUAAGAAAAACCCUGAAAUGAUUUUUUCCCGAACGGAAGAAGACCAGGGGGCUUUUGGCCCAAGCCAGGUGGGCUCUAGGGAGCCCAAAAGCCCCCACUCCGCCACCAGGGGAGGCAGCGGUGGGCAGGCUUGUGGCCUCCCUGGACGCCCCCUGACCUAGGUCUUUGGCCUAUAAAUUCCCAAAUAUUCCGCAAAAAAUCAGGAGAGCCUCAAAAAUACUUUUCCGCCGCCGCAAGCUUCCGUUUCCGCAAGAUCUCAUCUGGAGACCCUUCCCGGCGCCCUGCCAGAGGGGACUUUGGAGUUGGAGGGCUUCUUCAUCAUCAUCAUCGCCCCUCCAAUGACUCGUGAGUAGUUCACUUCAGACCAACGGGUCCGUAGUUAGUAGCUAGAUGGCUUCUUCUCUCUCUUGGAUCUUCAAUACAAAGUUCUCCAUGAUCUUCAUGGAGAUCUAUCCGAUGUAAUCUUCUUUGGCGGUGUGUUUGUCGAGAUCCGAUGAAUUGUGGAUUUGUGAUCAGAUUAUCUAUGAUAUAUAUUUGAGUCUUUGCUGAUUUCUUAUAUGCAUGAUUUGAUAUCCUUGUAAGUCUCUCCGAGUCUUGGGUUUUGUUUGGCCAACUAGAACUAUGAUUCUUGCAAUGGGAGAAGUGCUUGGUUUUGGGUUCUACCAUGUGGUGACCUUUCCCAGUGACAGUAGGGGCAGCAAGGCACACAACAAGUAGUUGCCAUCAAGGGUAAAAAGAUGGGGUUUUUAUCAUUGGUUUGAGAUUAUCCCUCUACAUCAUGUCAUCUUGCUUAAGGCGUUACUCUGUUCUUAUGGACUUAAUACACUAGAUGCAUGUUGGAUAGCGGUCGACGUGUGGAGUAAUAGUAGUAGAUGCAGAAAGUAUCGGUCUACUUGUUUCGGACGUGAUGCCUAUAGAAAUAAUCAUUGCAUAGAUAUCGUCAUGACUACUUGAUUUUAUGAGAGAAGCCACUAGUAAUUUGUUCACCCACCGUCUACUUGCUUUUAUGAGAGAAGCCACCAGUAAACACUAUGGCCCCCGGGUCUAUUCACAUCCAUCGUUUACACCUCCGCUUUUACUUUGCUUUGUUACUUUGUUGCUUCCAGUUCUCACUUGGCAAACAAUCUAUAAGGGAUUGACAACCCCUUCAUAGCGUUGGGAGCAAGUUUUGUGUUUGUGCAGGAUCUUGAGAUACUCCUCCACUGGAUUGAUACCUUGGUUCUCAAACUGAGGGAAAUACUUCCCACCGCUACGCUACAUCACCCUUUCCACUUCGAGGGAACACCAACGCAAGGCUCCAAGGCCACGGGGGAAAUCCUUUGCAUACUUUACUAGGAAUUCCCUUAAGGCGUAGCCGUAGCAGAAGGAUUCCUGGUGUCGUCGACACACCUAUUUCUGGCGCCGUUGGAAGGUCUUUUGUUGCAGUAGCAGAAGUAUUUCUGGGGCCAUUGUCAGGGAUACACAACAAACAUCAGAAGUAUUUCUGGCGCCGUUGCCGAGGAGGAGAAAUCAAGAUCUAUCCAAGUAGGUCUCACAAACUCAUCUCCUGCAUUUACUUUUGUUGCUAGUUGUCUCUCGUUUUCCUCUCCCCCACUUCACAUUUGCCGUUUUCAUUCGCCUUUCUCCUUCGCCGUUUUCUUUUGCCCUUGACGUUUUCCUUUGCCGGUUUCUUGCUUGCUGGUGUGCUUGUUUGUUUGUUGAAGACAUCAGGUCUGAAAACACCAAACUUUGCGACUUCUCGAGCAAGAAUAAUAAUGAUUUUAUUAGUACUCCGAUUGCUCCCGCCACUAGUGCGGAAUCGUAUGAAAUCAACGCAGCUUUGGUGAAUCUUGUUAUGAAAGAGCAAUUCUCUGGCCUUCCUAGUGAAGAUGUCGCAUCCCAUCUCAAUACCUUCAUUGAGCUUUGCGAUAUGCAAAAGAAAAGAGAUGUGGAUAAUGACGUGAUUAAGUUGAAACUUUUUCCUUUCUCGUUGCGAGAUCGCGCAAAAACUUAGUUUUCUUCUUUGCCUAAAAAUAGUAUCGAUUCUUGGGAUAGGUGCAAAGAUGCUUACAUAACCAAGUAUUUUCUGCCGGCUAAGAUCAUCUCCUUACGUAACGAUAUCAUGAAUUUAAAGCAACUUGAUCAUGAACAUGUUGCACAAUCUUGGGAGAGGAUGAAGCUUAUGAUUAGAAAUUGUCCCACUCAUGGCUUGAGUUUGUGGAUGAUUAUACAAAUCUUUUACGCUGGCUUGAAUUUCGUUUCUCGCAAUAUCUUGGACUCCGCCUAAGGUGGAAGGUUCAUGGAAAUCACGUUAGGGGACGCUACAAAACUCCUAGACAAUAUCAUGACCAACUACUCUCAGUGGCACACUGAAAGGUUGCCUCCUAGCAAAAAGGUGCACGCUAUAGAAGAGAUUAACUCGCUCAGUGCUAAGAUGGACGAGUUGAUGAAUUUGGUUGCUAGUAGAAACGCUACCGUAGAUCCUAAUGACAUGCCACUAUCUUCUUUGAUUCAGAGUAGCAACGCUAGUUUGGACGUGAAUUUUGUUGGUAGGAAUAAUUUUGGCAACAACAAUGCUUUUAGAGGAAACUAUGUUCCUAGGCCCUUUCCUAGUAACUCCUCUAACAAUUAUGGCAAUUCCUACGGCAACACUUAUGGAAAUCACAACAAAUUACCCUCUGAUCUAGAGAGUAAUAUCAAAGAGUUCAUCAACUCUCAAAAGAAUUUCAAUGCGUCCAUAGAGGAAAAACUACUCAAAAUAGACGAUUUGGCUAAGAGCGUUGACAGGAUGUCUUGUGAUAUUGAUGCUUUCAAAGUUAGAUGCGCUCCUCCCAAGAUCAACUUGGAUGAAACUUUGAAAUCUAUGUGUAUCUCCAUGAAUGAGAGCAAAGAAAUAACCGCCCAAAUUCGCGCUAGACAUGAAUGGUUUAAAAGGGUGCGUUCUAGUGAUGCAAAUCACGAAGAUCUUAAAGUGCUUGGUCUGUGUCCUCUUGAAUCUUUGUUUUCGUGUGUCUAACCUACUUAUGGAGGGGCUGGAUAUGAAUUCACUUUGGUUGAAAAACGCCCCAAUGAUUCGGAGUCCACCUAUCUUGAUGAUAAAGGUGUGGAGAGUGGAGUAGAAGAAGUCAAAAUUUUGGGUAGUAAUGAAACUCCCACUUUGGAUUUCAAGGAAUUCAAUUAUGAUAAUUGCUCCUUGUUUGAAUGCAUUUCUUUGAUGCAAUCCAUUGCAAACUCUCCACAUGCUUAUAGCCAAAGCAAAGCCUUUACCGCGCAUAUCGUAGAUGCUAUGAUGAAAUCUCUUGAAGAGAAGCUUGAACUAGAAGUCUCUAUACCUAGAAAACUUCAUGAUGAGUGGGAACCUACUAUCAAAAUCAAGAUCAAAAACUAUGAGUGCAAUGCUUUGUGUGAUUUGGGUGCUAGUGUUUCCGCGAUUCCAAAGUCUUUAUGAGAUAUUCUUGGUUUUCAUGAGAUUGAAGAGUGUUCUCUUAAUUUGCAUCUUGCGGAUUCUACUGGCAAGAAACCCAUGGGGAGGAUCGAUGAUGUUCUUAUUGUUGCAAAUAAGAACUAUGUACCCGUGGAUUUCAUUGUACUUGACAUAGAUUGCAAUCCUUCAUGUCCCAUUAUUCUUGGUGGACCUUUCCUAAGGACUAUUAGUGCUAUCAUCGAUAUGAAGGAAGGGAAUAUUAGAUUUCAAUUUCCUUUAAAGAAGGGCAUGGAGCACUUUCCUAGAAAGAAAAUAAGAUUGCCUUAUGAAUCUAUGAUGAGGGCUACUUAUGGUUUGAGCACCAAAGAUGACUAUACGUGAUUCCAUCACUUUCGCCUAGCUAAGGGCGUUAAACAAAAGUGCUUGUUGGGAGGCAACCAAACGAAGCUAUCCUUUUUCUUUCUAUUUUGUGUUUUCCACACUUUCAUAAUUCUAUUAUGAUUGUGUUUUUUUUGUUUCUUUUUGCGUUUGUGCCAAGCAAAACCGUUAUGAUUAGUCCUGGGGAUGAUCGUUUGGUCAUGCUGGAAAAGACAGAAACUUUCUUCUCACGAAACGAAUUUUCAUUUUUUUCUGUAAGAGCUUUUGAGUUGAUUCGUUUUUAUGGUGAUUGUUACGCAAAUUCUAUAGACUGUCGUAAUUUUUCAGAAUUGUUGAAGUACCAGAGCUAUACGAAAUAUACAGAUUGCUACAGACUGGUCUGCUGUUAACAGAUUCUGUUUUUGUUGUGUUGGUUGCUUAUUUUGAUGAAACUAUGGAUAGUAUCGGGGGGUAUUAGCCAUGGAAGAUUGAAAGUACAGUAACCCAACAUCAGCACAAGUAGAAUUUAAGUUUUCUACAGUACCUAAGGAAGUGGUGGUUUUCUUUCUUGUACUAAUGUUAUCACGAGAUUCUGUUUAAGUUUCGUGUUGUGAAGUUUUCAAGUUUUGGGUGAAGUUAUUAUAGACAAAGAGAUAAAGAGUGGCAAGAGCUCAAGCUUGGGGAUGCCCAAGGCACCCCAAGAGAUUCAAGGAUGCCAUAAAAGCCUAAGCUUGGGGAUGCCCCGGGCUAUAUUUUUAUUCACCACAUGUUAUGUGUUUUUGCUUGGAGCGUCUUGUAUCGUAGGAGUCUUUUAUUUUUGUUGUGUCACAAUCAUCCUUGCUGCACACCUAGAGAGAGAUACAUGCACACACCGUGAUUUUUUCGAGCUUCACUUAUGUCUUUUGGUAGACAAUUCAGCUCACAUGUGCUUCACUUAUAUCUUUUGAGCUAGAUACUUUUGCUCUAUGUGCUUCACUUAUAUCUUUUAGAGCACAGAGGUGUGUGGCUUGGUAGUUGAUCUAUGCUUUCAAAGUAGUCUCAAAAGUGGUAGUUAUCCAAAGGGAUACGAAAACUUCCACCUUCAUGUGCAUUGAAUAGUUAGAGAAGUUUGAUUCAUCUCAAUUAGUUUUGAGUUGUGGUUAUGGUAAUAUUGAAGUUAUGCUAGUAAGGUGUUGUGGAUCUAGAAAUACUUGUGUUGAAGUUAAUGAUUCCCGUAGCAUGCACGUAUGAUGAACCGCUAUGUGAUGAAGUCUGAGCAUGAUUAGUAUAUUGAUUGUCAUCCUUUGCGUGGCGGUCGGGAUCGCGCGAUGGUUUAUACCUACCAACCCUUCCCCUAGGAGUAUGCGUUGAAUGCUUUGUUUCGAUUACUAAUAAAACUUUUGCAACAAGUAUAUGAAUUCUUCAUGACUAAUGUUGAGUCCAUGGUUUAGAUGCACUUUCAACUUCCACCAUCACUAUCUUCUUAGUGUCGUGCAACUUUCGCCGGUGCACAAAACCCACCAUUAGCCUCCCUCAAAACAGCCACCAUACCUACCUAUUAUGGCUUUUUCAAAGUCAUUCUGAGAUAUAUUGCCAUGCAACUACCACCAUCACAUGUGCCACCACGUCUACUUUUCCUUUGCAUGAUCGUGAGAUAGCUAGCAUGAUGUUUCCAUUGAUGUAUAUGCCAUGCUAGAUCAUUGCCACGGUACACUACCGAAGGCAUUCCAUAUAGAGUCAUAGUUGCUCUAAGUUUUGAGUUGAAAGUGUGAUGAUCAUCAUUAAUGGAGCAUUGUCCCAUGUGAGGAAAUAAAAGAGUCCAAAGAAGCCCACCAAAAUUAAAAAAAAGGCCAAAUAGCCCACCCCAAAAAAAUGAGAGAAAAAGAGAGAAGGGACAAUGCUACCACUUUUUCCACACUUGUGCAUAUUAAGCACCAUGAUCUUCAUGAUUGAGAGUCUCUCGUUUUGUCACCACCAUAUAGCUAGUGGGAAAUCUUCAUUAUAUAACUUGGCUUGUCUAUUCCAAUGAUAGGCUUCCUCAAAAUUGCCUUAGGUCUUCGUGAGCAAGCAAGUUGGAUGCACACCCACUAGUUCUCUUUAAGAGCUUUCACAUACUCGUAGCUCUAGUGCAUCAUUUGUAUGGCAAUCCCUACUCAUUCACAUUGAUAUCUAUUGAUGAGCAUCUCCACAGCUCAUUGAUAUGCCUAGUUAAUGUGACUAUCUUCUCCUUUUUGUCUUGCAACCUCCACUACACUCCACACCAUCUAUAGUGCUAUAACCAUGGCUCACGCUCAUGUAUUGCGUGAGAGUUAAAAAUGUUUGAGAAAGUAAAGGUGUGAAACAAUUACUUGGCCAAUAUCGGGGUUGUGCAUGAUUUAAAUUCGUUGUGCAAUGAUGAUAGAGCAUAGCCAGACUAUAUGCUUUUGUAGGGAUAACUUUCUUUUGGCCUUGUUAUUUUGAAAGUUCAUGGUUACUUUGCUAGUUUGCUUGAAUUAUUAUUGUUUCCACGUCAAUAGAAAACUAUUGUUUUGAAUCUAAUGGAUCUGAACAUUCACAUCACAUAAGAGGAAUUACAAAGGACACCUAUGCUAGGUAGCAUGAAAGCAUCAAAAAUUCAUUCUUAUCACUUCCCUACUCGAGGACGAGCAGGAGUUAAGCUUGGGGAUGCUUGAUACGUCUCAAACGUAUCUAUAAUUUUGAUGGUUUCACGCUGUUAUCUUGUCUUCUUUGGUUGUUUCAUGUACCUUUUAUAUCCAUUUUGGGACUAACUUAUUAAUUCAGUGCCAAGUGCCAGUUCCUGUUUUUUCCGUGUUUUUUGACUCUUUUCAUAUGUGAUUUUGGAAAGGAGUCCAAACGGAAGAAAAACCCCGAAAUGAUUUUUUUUUCCCGAACGGAAGAAGACCAGGGGGCUUUUGGGCCAAGCCAGGUGGGCUCCAGGGAGCCCACAAGCCCCCACUCCGCCACCAGGGGGAGGCGGCGGUGGGCAGGCUUGUGGCCUCCCUGGCCGCCCCCUGACCUAGGUCUUUAGCCUAUAAAUCCCCAAAUAUUCCGCAAAAAAUCAGGGGAGCCUCGAAAAUACUUUUCCGCGGCCGCAAGCUUUCGCUUCCGCGAGAUCUCAUCUGGAGACCCUUCCCGGCGCCCUGCCAGAGGGGACUUUGGAGUUGGAGGGCUUCUUCAUCAUCAUCAUCGCCCCUCCAAUGACUCGUGAGUAGUUCACUUCAGACCUACGGGUCCGUAGUUAGUAGCUAGAUGGCUUCUUCUCUCUCUUGGAUCUUCAAUACAAAGUUCUCCAUGAUCUUCAUGGAGAUCUAUCCGAUGUAAUCUUCUUUGGCGAUGUGUUUGUCGAGAUCCGAUGAAUUGUGGAUUUGUGAUGAGAUUAUCUAUGAUAUAUAUUUGAGUCUUUGCUGAUUUCUUAUAUGCAUGAUUUGAUAUCCUUGUAAGUCUCUCCGAGUCUUGGGUUUUGUUUGGCCAAAUAGAUCUAUGAUUCUUGCAAUGGGAGAAGUGCUUUGUUUUGGGUUCUACCAUGUGGUGACCUUUCCCAGUGACAAUAGGGGAGCAAGGCACACAUCAAGUAGUUGCCAUCAAGGGUAAAAAGAUGGGGUUUUAUCAUUGGUUUGAGAUUAUCCCUCUACAUCAUGUCAUCUUUCUUAAGGCGUUACUCUGUUCUUAUGGACUUAAUACACUAGAUGCAUGUUGGAUAGCAGUCGACGUGUGGAGUAAUAGUAGUAGAUGUAGAAAGUAUCGGUCUACUUGUUUCGGACGUGAUGCCUAUAGAAAUAAUCAUUGCAUAGAUAUCGUCACGACUUUGCGCGGUUCUAGCAAUUUCUCGACGGUAAUUUGUUCACCCACCGUCUACUUGCUUUUUUGAGAGAAGCCACUAGUAAACACUACGGCCCCCGGGUCUAUUCACAUCCAUCGUUUACACCUCCGCUUUUACUUUGCUUUGUUACUUUGUUGCUUUCAGUUCUCACUUGGCAAACAAUCUAUAAGGGAUUGACAACCCCUUCAUAGCGUUGGGAGUAAGUUUUGUGUUUGUGCAGGAUCUUGAGAUACUCCUCCACUGGUUUGAUACCUUGGUUCUCAAACUGAGGGAAAUACUUCCCACCGCUAAGCUACAUCACCCUUUCCGCUUCGAGGGAACACCAACGCAAGGCUCCAAGGCCACGGGGGAAAUCCUUUGCAUACUUACCUAGGAAGUCCCUUAAGGCGUAGCCGUAGCAGAAGGAUUCCUGGUGCCGUCGACACACCUAUUUCUGGCACCGUUGGAAAGUCUUUUGUUGCAGUAGCAGAAGUAUUUAUCGCGCCAUUGCCAAGGAUACACAGCAAACAUCAGCCUUUAGCCCUAUGACUCUGACGGCAGCUCCGACGAGGCGGCUCGGGCUAUGGAAUCUGCUGCCGCCUCCAGCGGUGCGGCGUACGCCGACUUUGGUGCGGACGGAGCCGGGAGCCCUCGCGAGGGAGAUGGCGCAACCGCCUCAGGAGCAGCCGGAGAUGGUGAUGCUACCACAUCAGGAGCAGCGGCCGGGGCGACCGAUGAGGCCGCAGCCCCGUAGCCGGUGUCCUUUUUUGGUUUGUUCUACCCCCGAAGGGAUGUAAUGAACGUGGGCCAUGGGCCAAUGCUUUUGUGAAUGUAUGUAUUCAGCAUUAUAUUCGUAUUGCCAAGCGUGUUGUCUUAUGAUUUUGUCUUUUGAUUCCUGGUUGACUCCUUUUUCGAAACCAUCACGACUUAAAGAACAAUACAGAAGCCAAUCAGAGGCCGGCUUGAAUGAGAUCGUAUAUAUGAUCGAGCCAGCCCAAGCCGGCAACCCUUUGUAGCCGAACUUUGCAUGUAUCCGACCUGACCUGGCGUCACCUCGCAAACCAGGCGGCCGGAGCCAGCCCGCAGGCUCGUACGAGGUGCCCAGGGUCAGUCGGUUACACUAUGUGUUCUUUUACAAUAGGGAAGGCGUCCGAGCGGCUAGCGAGCCCCCGAGCUUGUUAAAGCCAGCAAGGGGUGUGUGCUGCGUAGCCUCCGAGCUUGAUAAAGGCAGCAAGAGGUGUAUGCGGUGUAGCCCCCGAGCUUACUGAAGCCAGUCAGAGGGCGUACACUGAGUGAAAACUCUCAAAAAAGAAACAUGAAGCAUGCUCUUUUUAUUGCAUUUGUUGUUGUUCCCUGAAGAGGGAGAAAGAUACGUGUGCAUGCUCUUUCAGAAAGAUACGUGUGCAUGCUAUUUCCCUUGCUUGACUCUUGCCUUUUAGCAAUAGAACGGGCGAAGCAACGCCGCGUUCCAUGGACGUUCCGUUUCUUGGCCGGAGUCGUCCCUCUUACGCUUCCUUGGCUUUUGGGCGUCGAUCGGGUAGUAAGCGUUGUUGUGCAAUGCCCUACUGAUGAUGAAGGGUCCCUCCCAUGGGGAUGAGAGCUUGUGCUGGCCGGCAGUAUGCUGGAUUCUUCUGAGGACCAAGUAUCCCUCCCUGAAAGAGAGAGGCUUGAUCUUUUUGCUGUGGUAGUAUCUCAGCUUCUGUUGAUAGAUGGCCGUACGGCUCAAGGCCAAGUCACUUGCUUCUUCGAGGAGAUCCACAGCGUCUUCUCUUUCCUCCUUCGCCUCCGUUUCUGUGUAUAGGGUGACCCGGGACGAGUCGAACUCGACAUCCAUGGGAAUAAUAGCCUCGGACCCAUAUACCAGAAAGAAUGGAGUGAAGCCGGUCGACCGGUUGGGCGUGGUGCGGAGGCUCCAUAGCACAGCCGGCAGUGCUUCAAUCCAGCAGCCGGCUAAUCUGACCAGUGGUGCCACCAGUCUUGGCUUGAUGUCGGCCAGAAUCAGGCCGUUGGCCCUCUCUGCUUGGCCGUUCGACUGAGGGUGUACCACUGAGGCCAAAUCGAGCCGGAUGCCUACCUUGGAACAGUAGAGCGCUAGAGCGCCCUUGGCGGAGUUGGUGCCAUUGUCGGUGAUGAUGCUGUGGGGAACGCCAUAUCGGAUAGAGAUGUCUGUGAUGAACUUGACAGCGGUGGGGCCGUCAAGCUUUUUGAUAGGUCUGGCUUCGAUCCACUUGGUGAACAUGUCGACGGCCACCAAAAGAUGUGUCAUCCCUCCGCCAGCCAUCUUGAAGGGCCCUACCAUGUCCAGUCCCCAGACGGCGAAUGGCCAUGACAGGGGAAUGGUUUUGAGGGCCGAAGGCGGCAUGUGGCUCUGCGUGCUGAAGCGCUGGCAACCUUCGCACUUGUCAACCAGAUCCACGGCCUCCUCGAGGGCCGUGGGCCAGUAGAAUCCAUGGCGGAAUGCUUUGGCCACCAGGGUUCUGGAGGCGGCGUGAUGCCCACACUCCCCCUGGUGGAUGUCUCUGAGGAUCUCCUACCCCUUUUCUGAUUCGACGCAGCAUUGGAACACGCCGGUCACGCUGCGUCGUACCAGUUCAUGAUUGAUGAUGGCGUAGGCGGCGGACCUGCGUUGGAUCUGUCUCGCCUCCGCCUCGUCCUGAGGAAGUUCGCCGCGAAGAAGGAAGGCCAGAAUAGUUUGAGCCCAUGAUGGGGCCGACACAAGGGUCGCCUCUGCUUCGUCUUGACUGUUGGGGGCUUCCGCAGCCCCCGGGCUUGAUGGUGUCGUGGUUGUGGGCUCGAGACAUGGUGUCUCUGGUGCUGCCGCGGUAGCCAGCUCACCGUCUACCUCCAUGACGUCCACCCACUGGGAGGGUUCGAGUCCAGGCAGAGCCGGGGUUGUUGUCGUAGCCGGCGCUGCCAUUGGAGUCGGUGGGACCAAUGGAGCCGGCAUAGGAACUGUAGCCAGCGUAGUUGGCGGAGCCGACGGUGUUUGUACCAUGGAGUUAGUCGGUGCCGCUUUUGGAGUCGGCGUAGUCGGCGCAACCGGCGUGGGAACCGCAGCCGGCGUAACUGACUGAGCCGACGACGCUUGCACCGUAGAGUCAUCCGGCACAAAGAUUGAUGCCGACUCGGGAGACGACUUGAUAGACGGCUUAUGGAGUUGCUCGAGGGAGACACCGGCUGGAAUGGUCUGUCUCAUGGACCCGAUCUUCGCCAGUGUAUCGGCCGCCUCAUUUUCUGCCCUGGGAACGUGGUGAAACUCACAGCCCUCAAAAGGACCGCUGAGCUGUUGGAUGAGGAAGCGGUAACUCGCCAUGUUGGCGUCCCUAGCACCCAUUCGCCAGAGACCUGCUCCACCACUAAGUCUGAAUCGCCGAAGCAUAUGAGCCGCCGGAUGCCGAUCUCCUUGGCGAGCCGGAGGCCAUGAGCCAGUGCUUCGUACUCGGCGACAUUGUUGGAGGCGGCGAAAUGGAUCUGGAGAGCGUACUUGAGUUGGUCCCCUUUCGGAGACGUCAGCACGAUGCCAGCUCCCAGUCCUGUCCACAUCUUCGAGCCGUUGAAGUGCAUUCGCCAAUGCAUGGAGUCUGGAGGCGGUGGCUCAAACUGGGUCUCGGCCCAGUCGACUAAGAAGUCGGCCACCACCUGAGAUUUGAUGUCGAUGCGAGGCUCGUACCAAAUAUCAUGGUCCGCCAUGGCGAUGGACCAUUUGGCAAUCCUGCCCGUGGCAUCAUGGUUGCCCAUGAUCUCUGAAAGCGGAGUAGUGCUCACCACAGUGAUGGCAUGCUCUUGGAAGUAUUGCUUCAACUUCUUUGCAGCAAAGUAAAUAGCAUAACACAUUUUUUGAUAAUGUGGAUAGUUCUGCUUAGAGGCGGACACAACCUCGCUAAGGUAAUAGACAGGGCGCUGCACUGGCAGGGCCUUGCCUUCCUCUUUACGCUGAACUACCAACACUACGCUAACCACGCGAGUGGUCGCCGCAAUGUAUAUGAGUAUGGGUUCCCUUUCAGACGGUGCUGCCAAGAUCGGCAGGCUCGAGAUUACCCGCUUGAGGUCGCGGAAGGCUUCGUCCGCCUAGUCGUUCCACUCGAACUUCGUUGUCUUCUUCAUGAGCUGGUAGAGUGGAAGGGCCUUCUCGCCAAGCCGGCUGACGAACCGGCUAAGGGACGCCAAGCAGCCAGCGAACUUCUGGACGUCGAGGAUUCGAGUCGGCCGCACCAUCCGCCCGAUGGUGCCGAUCUUCUUGGGGUUCGCCUCGAUGCCGCGGGCGGACACGAAGAACCCCAAGAGUUUGCCGCCUUGAACCCCAAAGACGCACUUCUCAGGGUUGAGCCGGAUCUUGUACUCGUGCAGAUUGGCGAACGUUUCCCGCAGGUCGUCGAGGAGGCUGAAGUGCUGCUUCGUCUUGACGACGAUGUCAUCCACAUAGACGUGGAUGUUUCUGCCAAUCUAUGGCAGUAGGCACUGCUGCAUGCAGCGUUGGAAUGUCGCACCUGCGUUCUUCAAACCGAACGUCAUGGUGGUGUAGCAGUAGGCCCCGAAGGGCGUGAUGAAGGAGGUCUUCAGGCGAUCAGCUGGAUCCAGCUUGAUUUGAUGGUAGCCCGAAUAAGCAUCCAGAAACGACAGCAGCUCGUAGCGUGCAGUGGAGUCGAUCACUUGAUCUACCCUAGGCAACACGAAAGGGUCUUUCGGACAGGCCUUAUUCAGGCUAGUGUAUUCAAUACACAUUCGCCAUGUGUUGUUCUUCUUCAACACCAGGACUGGGUUAGCCAGCCAGUUCGGGUGGAAAACCUCCAUGAUGAAGCUGGUUGCAAGGAGCCGGGUGAUUUCUUCUCCGAUCGUGCGCCGCUUCCCCUCGGCGAAGCGGCGCAGGGGUUGUUUCACCGGCUUCGCAUCCGGUCGCACGUGAAGUUUGUGCUCAGCGUACUUCCUCGGAACACCCGACAUGUCCUUGGGGGACCAUGCAAAGAUGUCCCAAUUCUCAAGGAGGAAGUCGACGAGCUCGCCUUCCUAUUUGGGGUUGAGGCCAGCCCCGAUGGUGACGCACUGCUUCGGGUUGGCAGGGUCGAGCGGGACCUGCUUGGUCUCUUUAGCCGUCUUGAAAGAGCCCUCGCCGGCCGAUUGGGACGGAGGAGAAGGAAUCGCCGGCUGCUCGGUAGCCUGGGCCACGAGCCGGUCAAUCUGCCGCUUCUCAUCAGCAAUCACCAAGGCGUCGGCGAGACGGCUGCUAUCUUGGGCACACUCGAGCGACUUCUUGUAGUCGCCAACAACAGUGAUGAUGCCCUUGGGACCCGGCAUCUUCAUCUUCAGGUAGGCGUAAUGUGGAAUAGCCAUAAAUUUGGUCAGAGUCGGUCUUCCCAGCAGCGCGUGAUACGGGCUACUGAGAUCCACUACCUCGAACCAUAUGGACUCUCGGCGGAAGUGGGCUUUGUCGCCGAAGAAGACGUCCAACUGGAUCUUGCCGAUGGGCGAGCAGGACUGCCCAAGCACGAUGCCAUGGAAGACAGUACUGGUCGGUAGGACGUCCGUCUCCUUGAGUCCGAGCUUGAGGAGAGUGUCGAGGUAGAGGAUGUUGAUGCUGCUGUCGCCAUCGACCAGCACCCGGGAGAAUCGGCAGGUGAGCCUCUUGGAGGCGAAGGUGGGGUCGAGGACGAGUGCGUAUGAUCCCGGGUUGGGCAUCACCGCAGGAUGGUCCACCCGGCUCCAUGUGAUUGGUUUGUCAGACCAAUGCAUGUACUAGGGAACCGGGGAGACACUGGCGUUUACCUCGUGCCACCUCUGGCGCAGGCUGUGCUUGUCGUCGCCUUCGCUGGUGAAGACGAUGAAACGCUCCAUCUUGAUGAGGGUAGUCGUCUUGGUGGUCACCGUCGUCGCGAGGAGGCGGCGGCGGAGCCGGAGCAUGGUUGGGAACCGGUGCACGAGGGGCCGCCUGCGCACCCGGAGGAGCCGACAGGCCAUCCCCUUGCGACAGCCGGCACGCAAAGCUGCACUGUCGAAGGGUGUGGGAAGACGGUUGCGCCCUAGAAUGUAUCUUGUAGGGGGCAUCAAGCAGCUGCUCGAAGGACUGCUUGGGUAGCCGAUUGGUGUUGCUUCUGUUGGGACGCUUUCGUGGAGGGCCGGCUUGAGGAGCCGAUGCUUCGCCCUCCACGCUGGCCACCAACUUGCUGUUGGAACGGGGAUCCAUCUGAUCUGCCUUGCGCUUGUAGUAGUUCUGGCCGCCUCGGUUGUCCCCAACCAGCUUGGGAGUAGCCGGCGUAGGCACAACCUUGUCCGAGGCGGUCACCUUGAGGCGCAUCGCUGAGUCGGACGUGGCGUAUUUGUCCACCUUGGCCAUGAGCACCGCCAGAGAGGUGGGCUCGGUGCACAUGAGCUUGUGCUUGAGGAGGGUGCCGUCUCGGCAACCGUCGAUGAAGUACUGGAUGGCUUGUACCUCAUGCACCCCCUCGCAGGAAUUACGGAGCUCAGUCCACCAGGUGACGUAGUCGCGAAGGGGUUCGUCGGCCUUUUGGAUGCACAUGGCUAGCUUGCGGGGCCGGCCAGGGCCCUUGUAGGUGCCAGUAAAGUUGCGGACGAAUGCCUCCUCGAAGUCCACCCAGGAGUUGACACUGCCGGCCGGGAGGCUGUUAAGCCAAGUCCGGGUGGAGCCGGUCAACAUGAGUGGCACGUAGCGGACUGCUAUGCGCUUGUUGCCCCUGGCAAUACCGACGGCCGUCGNNNNNNNNNNNNNNCCGUCGUGUAGUCAAUCAGCCAGUCCUCUGGCUUGGCCGUGCCAUUGUAUUUUGGCGUGUCCCGAGGUAGGGUGAAACCUCGGGGGAACGGCUCCCCUUGGAUCCGGGGGCCGAAGCAUGCCGGACCGACGGGACCGUCUUCCUCUAGGAGGGCUGACUGGGCCAGGACGAUGAGACGUCGGCGGGCGUCCCGCUCAUCCUGGGUGGCGUGAGCGCCAGCCCUCGUGGCGAGAGGGGAAGCGCCUCGUGAGCCAGAGACGUGAGUUCUUCACAGGGGAAGAAUCUCACACUACGAAUCGCCCUCGUCGCCUUCGCGACGCAAGCCCGAAGUGUGCUCGCUCUGGCGCUGAGAGCGCCGGUCUUGGCUUCCCUCGCCCCUCCGGCCGGAAGGGCGAUGUGAGGAAGAUCCUUCUGCAUGAUGCUGACCGCUAGGGUUACGGCGUGCCCCGGAGUUGGGUUUCGGGGACUCCGAUUGAGCCUGACUAGGUUCAAGCCAAGCGUGUUGCUGGUUGGCAGCAUCAAGGAGGUCAUUGACCCGCUUCUCCUAGAAAGCACGCUCCUCGCCUUCCAGGCUCGCCAUCUCCUCCAUGGUUGCCUGCGUCGCUCGCAUGUUGGCCGCAGGAGUCUCGUAGGUGGGCAGAUCGCCGCCUAGGACUUCGGCGAUGAACCGGCCGCGGCUGCGGACCGAUCCAAGCCGGCUAGGGGCCUCGGAAAUCGGAGUAAGGUCGUAUGUGAAGUUAUACUCGCGAUGCGUAGCCUCCAACCGACGUUUCGCCGAAGCUACGACGAUGCCCUCCUCCAGGAUACGCUUGCGAGCCUCCUCCAGCGAGGCCCGAGCGUCAGCAGGGUUUGCGGAAGCGGUGACGGGUGUCUUUAGGCCGGCGAUGGCGUCCCGAAGAGUAUCGGCGGCGGGCUCGCCAGCGCCUGCUGAGGCCUUGCCGGGAGUUGUGCUGGUGCCGGCGCCGAUAACCGUCACUUCCACGGUGUUGGAGACGGCAGCAACGUGGUAUGGGGUGAAGAACCCCACCGACGGUGGAGGUCCAUCGAAGAUGAGGACGUUGCUAGGAUAUACAUCGUGGGCAGGCAUCUCAGUGAUAGAGAGCCUGCUGAAGCUGGCGCAGAGCGCCUCAACGUCGAAGUCCUCGCCGAAGUAGCGCGGGCCAUCGUUGAGACGAAGUUCGCUGAAGAGAACGCUGAGGUUCUCCAUAGCAGUGACGACGAUGCUAGGGAGCGCCUCGUCAUCAUAAUCUUCGUCCGAAUCCGCAUGGCGGACGGGGACGUCGAUCAUCAUGGGUGUUGCCUCAUCGAAAGCGGGCUCCACGGGCAUGCAAACUAAUUCGGACGCGAUGCAUCCGGUGGUGUAGGUGCGGGGCCCCGCCCAACGCGUAAAGCCAGCCGAUGCCGCGAUCGGCCCCACAGUGGGCGCCAAAUGUCGGUGAAUACUCACAACAUAUGCCAUAGGUAGGCUAAAGUCGGUGAGAACUGAAGGGACAAAGGUGGACGCUGGGAACGAGGUUAGUACAUGCAUGGGACGCACGAUGUACCCUGGUUCAGGGCUCUCCGUAGAGAUAAUACCCCUAAUCCUGUCGGAGUGUUUGAUGUGUAUGAACAGAGUACAAUGCUGCUCCUGGAGCUGUGUUGGGAGGAGGAAGAGGGGAGCAGCCGGCUCGUCUCUACCUCUCUCUGUGGUUGGUGAAUGUGCUGUUGUUGUAUGACUGUUGAAUGAUCGGCCCCCCUGCAUGGAGGGCGACCGGGGGGUUUUAUAGACGAACCCGCCGGCCUACAAUAUGGAUAAAGGGUACAAGUGUGGGACCCGGCUGGCAGCCUCGCCGGCCGGCCAGGGGCCCACGAGAGUCUUGUCUUGUCGCCUGAGGGGCCCGCCGGCUGCAUGGUCUCGAUUGGCCGUGGGACCCGCCGGCUGGCCAAUGAGGCUCUCGCGUGAGGUUGACGCUGAGCACGCGGUGUACGUCAAGCGUCGCCCUGCGAGAUUCGUCAUGGGCAGGUAGUACGGCCGCCUCCACUGUUCCCCAUGCCGAGUGCGGUAAUGGAGUGGGAGUGUGACGGUCUGACACCAUGCUAGGUGAUGGAUCAGAGCCGGGGUAGGUCAGCGGCGUGGCCGCCGACGCUCGUACCUGCCGGGCACCCCGAUCCAGUACCUUUGCUGACGGGUAGCUACCUUUAAUCGUAAGGUCUUAUCCUGACCUACGAUCUGAUGUGACUUGUGAUCUUCGGCCGGCUAGCCUGCUUGGCUAGCCGGUUUGUGUGCGGCCGCCUCUUCCUGGCCGGGCUGGCAGGACCAGGCCGGCUCAACAGAAGUAGCCGCCUCGACUCUAGCCGGCGGGGGUUGCCGGGCCAGCCAGAGGGACGGCCGCCUCGUCUUUAGCCGGUAGGUGCAGCCUAGCCGGCCAGAAGACUUGGACCUUGGGAAUCUGUAUACAUUCAUGUCCUUUGGGCCGGAAAUGAAGGAACAUGCUUGAUGAGCCUACCCGGGGUUAUCCCCCCGACAGGAGAAGCGGGACAUGAACAAGCGAUCGACGGCUGACCGCGUGUAGAUCCAACAGCCAUCAAGGUGACGUAUGUAUAAGACACAUCUGUCGGUGGACGCCUAGCAGUCUCCUUAAAAUUAGUAUAAAACUGUGUCAUUUUGAAGUCAUUUGUUUUAGGACGGAGGGAGUAUAAAAUAACCGUCGGUUUACAGUUUUAGGCGUAAAAAUGAUUUAAGAGCAUCUCUAGUAGACCCCGUAUAAAUGGUUAAACCCGUAAAAAAAAUUCAUUUUGUAGUUUUGGUCGUAAAAAGUGUGCAGAACAAAAAUCGUAAAAGUGGUCCAACCCGUAAAUUCUUUAAGGGGUACCAAAAAGCCACACCCGGAAUCAAUAUUUUUAAAGGUUGGAAGGCUGAUUCUGGGGGGAGUAUACCGGUCAAACCACGGAAAAGCCGUCGUGGAGUUUGCCGGAAUCCGCCCUAAACUCAUCAAAAUUCAUCACCGCACGCCGAAAAAGGCCGCUGGACGCCACAACCGAUCGCCGUCGGUUUGAAUUGGACAAGCUCGACCACGCCAUGGCCUCCCAUGACCUCACCCAGGCCGCUGGAAUCCUCCGAGCGCGGCAGGCAAAUGGCACGGCUCGGCCGGCGCGCUUGCAACAGAGCAAGGCGUUGACGACAAGGCAUGGCCGGUGGGCGACAAGGCGUGGCCGACGAGGCUGGGCGCGGCCGGCGUGGUGAUGGGGCGCGGCCGACAGGGACGGGCCGCGGGGCAUGGCCGACGGGCGACAGAGCGCGUACGACGGGGUUGGACACGACCGACCUGGCCGGCACGGCGGGCUGGAGGAAGGGGUGGCGGCCGCCGGACAGGAGUAAUGAGCUCUUUAUCGCAGUUUUACAGUUUUUGUUCGGGCGUAGCUAAAAUGGACCCUUCAAAUGUGUUUUUUUAUCCUUAUCCCAGUUUUACAGUUUGCAUUUUUACGGGGUCGGCUAGAGAUACUCUAAAUAGACCCCAUAAACGACUUCGGUCUGUAAUUUUUUUAAGGGACAUAGUAAACAUCCCAUCAAAUCCAUGAAAAUAAGGAUUCCGCGACCGGAGUUAGCUAGCUAGCUAGCUCCUUGAUGGCUCCUGCAUGAAUUCCGCGGCGAACAUUUUGUGCGAGCUAUUGUGGACGUCGUCGGCUCCACAUUUGACCACUUCAUGCGCUCUCCAACAAUUUAAUGGGAGGGAAUUUAGCUGGUUAUGAACAUGCACGAGAGCAUUGUUAAGGAAAUCGAUAACUGAUAGCUGCUCGGUCGGCUUGGGAGUAGCGAUUAAUCGGUGAAUCGUCCUUUUAGCUGGAUUAAUCGGUAGAUAAAAUAGGAACAUGUGAACAUAUUCUAGUUUUUAUGUAUUAUACCCUCCUCUCAGCUAUGAGAUAUACCAUAAUAGGGUAUUGUGUGAUCAAAUCCUAGCUAUUGAGGAGCUAGAGGAGGAUUGGAGAGGUUACAUGCCAAAAAAAUUGGCCUUUUUGGGCCAUGAGUUUGUAGGCCAACUAAGAUUAAUCGGCCUCACAACCUAUUAAUCGGUCUGACAUGCCAUUUAAUCGGCCUGACAAGCCAUUUAAUCGGUCCGACAAGUUAACGAGAUGAAUAGAUGUUAUUCGAAUCGGACACCCAAUGAGUAGCGAUUAACUGGCCCAUUAACUGAUUAAUCGGAUGAAUUCUUAAACAGUGAACAAGUGGAAGAAAAAGAUGUGAAAAAAUAAAUAAACGAAUAUUCAAUUUUACAAUUUAAGUUUAAGGGGUGUGUUCGGCCACAGCUCAAACCGAUUUUUAAAACAAGUUUUAUGUGAAUUGAAAAUUACGCUUUCAGUUUUGCGUUUUAAAGGAUCUGCUAGAGAUGCUCUAAGAUAGUAAAGAAACAAGACGUGGACCAGAAGCUGAACCUUGCAUUUUCCUUUGUUUCAUUCUUUGAUUUUCUUUGUUUACUUUCCUUAGAUUUUUCUUUUCAUUUUUAUUUUUGAACACAUGUCGACAUUUUUUGUACAUAUUAUAUAUUUUUUACUAUACUUCGGAAAGAUUUCGUACACAUGUCUUUUCAAAUACAUGAUUAACAUUUUUUUCUAAAUAUUUUUUUUGAUGUCUAAUUGUUUUGAUACACAUUCUGCAUUUUUGGUAUACAUAAACAUUUGAGAUCUCUAAACAUCUUUAUGCAUGUGUAAAAAACUCAAGUACUUGAUUAACAUUUCUACCAAAAACAUAUUUUUGAAUAUUUUUUAAAUAAGUGUUAAAGAUGUUUCAUAUACACGUCGAAUCAUUCUUUUAAUGAUACAAAACUGUUUUUAAGGUGAACCGUUUUUACAUUGUAUAAAAAAUUGCUAAGUUUUCACAAACAUAUUUUUUAAAACUCGUGAACAUUUUUCAAAUGUAAAUUACUUUUUCUAAUUGUACAAAACAUUUCUUUUUAUUUAUCUGAAUUUGUUUUUUGCAUUGUAUAAUAUUUUGCAAAAAUGUCAUGUACAUUUUUUUGAAAUGGGUGAACAUUUUUCUAAUGUCACAGACAUUUUGUAGUGCUUAUCAUUUCUUUUUAAGUAACACUAACAAAAAAUUAACAUUGCGUUACAUUUUACAAAUUCACAGUAAUUCUUAUAAAGAAUUAAGUAUAGUAAUUUUCUCAAUAUAUGUACUACUCCCUUCAAUCCAAAAUAAGUGUCAUGAUUUUAAUUCAAAUUGAACUAAAACCAUGACAUUUAUUUUAGAUCAGAGAGAGUAUGAUAUUUUAAAAAAUAUAAUGAAAAAUAAAAUGAAAGGAAAACUAGUAACAAGUUGAUGCAUGUGUACCUGCAUGAUUACCGGGCAACCCAUUUCACGCGUCCUUGAGGCGAGACGUGCAUGUGUCUCGCCGCUUCCACCAAGCGUUGUGCAAAUAUUGGUGCCCUUAUGCAACCUGGGGCUUUGUGGGCUAACAAAUUGGUGUAGUACAUGGCCCAAAGCAUGCAUUCUCCGCAGGAUCCAACGGGCCAACUUUACAGGAAGCCCAAAAUCACUGUGAGUAGUUCGGUUAAUCCCUCCCUGCGGGGAUUGGAGGAGAUUUACAGGGAUUUUGAUUUGUAAGGGAUUUAAUCCCCCUCAUUCUUCUUUAAAUCCACCUCAACCGAACAAGUCUUUAAGAAAUUGAUGAUACACGCUGUUUUGCUGUGAAAAAAAACUACGCCGGUUGUUGCAUUUUGUAAUAUAUUUUUAAGAAAGAUUGGUUGUGUGAAACAUGCAUAUUUGGAGUAGUAUAAGACUAAAACCAAAAAUACAUAUAAUUAUCGUGUCUGAUUAUUUUAUUAUCAUAAAUAAUUGGAGUGACUGCCCAACAAUUUUCCUCAUUUUAUAUUUCCUUAGAUGGUUUGCCAGGUUUUGCUUUGAUUUCUAAUGCCAAUGCCAAACUAAUGUGAGGAGAAUGAUCGGAUCUCCGAGAAUACUUCAUUGGGCAUUUGUUAUUUAUAUUUUAUUUUUUUGUCAGGCAAUAUGGUUAGAGAAGUGAAAAAUGAAGGAAGAAAACAAUUGAUUUUCUAACGGACUAGCUAUAUGUUAGUCGGGUGAAAACAAAUUGGGUCAAUCAAUUUUUCCAACCAUUGGAUGUGAAAUGAAGGGUGAGAUAUCUUUCUUCAACCUUGUGUUGUCCUCAUAUUCAACUUCUUACUUAGAACCACCUAGCCGCCACCUGCAGCUGCCCCGCAGCGAGCAGCACUCUUGUGCAAGCCUCGUCCUCCCCUCAGCCGUCAGUACGACCCCUCGGCCAUCCCUCUAAGGCCAACGACCACCCUAAAAUCCCCAGCAAGCUUGCACCACCACCCUAAGAUAGAAGGUGGGGUUGCUUCUCCCGUGAACCUGUACCCGUCAUCCUAAAAUAGAUAGUGGGGCUCUUCUUUUCUGAUAUCGGCGGUCUUAUAGUCUCCUUCACUCGUCGGCGCUUCCUUCUUCCUUCUCAAAAUCGGCUGACCCAAAUUCGAAAUUCAGUCGACUCACAUUUAGCUAGCUAUUGUGUUGUCUUAAAAGAGGUUAUUUCAAAAUAUAGAAGAAAAGGAUAAAGGAGUAAACAAUAAAGAGCAAGACCAUAAAGUUGGUCGUAAUGGUAGUACCAUAGGUAGUAUUAUGCAUGCCAACUAAACAAUUUUGAUGAGGUGGUUUAGAAUUAAAUGAAGAAAGAGAGGGUUAAGUAUCAUAGCAUGAUACCGUAUCAUAUUAAAUAUUAAGCUACUACUCCCUCUGUUUUAAAAUAUAAGACCUUUUAUAGAUUUUACUAGGAGACUACAUACGAAGCAAAAUGAGUGAAUUUAUACUCUAAAAUAUGUCUAUAUACAUCCGUAUGUAGUUCAUAGUGCAAUCUUUAAAAUGUCUUAUAUUUAGGAAUGAAUGAAGUAUGUGUUAUGCAUGUCAAUAAAUAACCUAGUCUAUGAUACUAUGCAUUACGGGGUGUAGUAUAUCAUAUGCAUGAUAAUGUCCAUUACAACCAGCCUAAACAAGUCCUCCGGCUGCUGCCUUGGUGGAGAUGGCGUUCCCGGUCCCGGUGGCUGUUCCACACCCGAGACCCAUCCGCCGUCUGGGCCGUCUCCACGUCACCCCCAUCCUCGCCGCCGCGGCAAGAAACUCCGGUCCACAGCCCCUCCCCGACGAGCUCCAGCUCGUCGCCGACGUCCGCUCCCCGCACAACCACAUCCGCGUCGCCGACGUCUCCCCGCGCGCUGCCGGCCACCCCCUCGCCGGCGCACGCCUCCUCCUCCUCGACGGCCCGGGCAACAUCCACUCCGUCUCCUUCCCUCGUCGCCCCUACCGCCCCCUCACUUCCACCUACUUCGACGCCUUCGCCACCCUCCCGCCUCUCCUCCCGCGCCCAUCCCUCGCCGUCCUCGGCUUCGGCGCGGGCUCCGCCGCGCGCGCCCUCCUCCAUUUCUACCCAGACAUAUCCGUCCACGGCUGGGAGCUCGACCCCUCUGUCAUCGCCGUCGCCCGGGACUUCUUCAGCCUCGCCGAGCUCGAAAGGGACCACGCCGGCAGGCUGUUCAUCCACGUCGGCGACGCGCUGGAGGCCGAGGCCGUGCCGGGAGGCUUCGGCGGCGUGCUGGUGGAUCUGUUCGCCAACGGGAGCGUGCUGCCGGAGCUCCAGAAAGCGGACACCUGGCGCCAGAUAGGCGGGAUGGUGGCGCCGGGAGGGAGGGUGAUGGUGAACUGCGGCGGGGGCUGCGUGGAGGCGGAGGAGGAGGGGAGAGACGGCGAGGCGGUGAAGGAUGCGACGCUGCGGGCGAUGGCGGCAGCGUUCGGGGAGGGCAUGGUAGCUGUGCUGAGUGUGGAUGAAAGUUGGGUGGCGAUGACAGGGCCGGUGGCGUGGACGUCCGAGGCGGCGGCGGCGUGGAAGGCUAGGCUGCCGCCGGAGCUUGGCCACUAUGUUGAUAUGUGGAAGCCGUACAAUGGCAAUGGUGAUACAUGAAUACAUGGGGAUUAUGCGGUGGUUCUCGGUGCAAGAAUGCAGAGUGAUUUCUGUAAGUAAGCGCAGCACAUUACUGAAUUCUUCUUGUCCCAGUACAUUCUUGGAAGACAUUGACUAGUGACUAACAGGGCAUGACAACUAGAAUGAAAUGGAACUAUAUCUAAGCUACUCCCUCCGUCCCAAAAUAAUUGUCUUAACUUUGUACUAACUCUAGUACAAAAUUGUAUUAAGCUUAAGACACUUAUUUUGGGACGGAGGAAGUAUUUAAAAUGUAAUUAUCACAAAAUGAGUGGUCUAAAUCUAUGAUAAAUUGUUUUGUUCUGUGGUAUAUGGAUAAUGUCUCCUGAAAUAUCUGUUGACCAGAUGAUAAAUCGAUGUGUGAUCACAGAUGUAAAUUGGCAAAUAAGAAAGACUCUAAAGGCACACGAAGAUUUCAGAUCCGAUGGGCUGUCAGUUAGUAUUUUAAAACUUGUUCAAAUCACAAUUCAAUUCUUCCAAAUUUAGGUAUUAUCUCAAACGUGCAAGAAGAAAACAAAGUUGCUGUGUUCAGUUGUUUUGUUAAAUAUUUGGUAGUGAAGUUUGUGCAACUAAAUAUCCCUUCUUUAUUACCCCCUCCGUUCAUAAACAUAAGAUGUUUUGGAUAUUUCAAUAUGGAUUGAAAUGAAUGAACAAACACACCAAAAUGAAUGAACUCAGCCGGGAAUCCAUCUGGCCCCGGCGCUUUACCGUUUUUCAUACCCUGAAUCGCCUGUAGCACCUCUUUCUCUAGGAAUGGAGCGGAAUGACUUUAGAGUUGUAUGGAGUUUGGGUUCGCUUAUUGGUAAAACAGAGGAGGUGGAUAUGGUGUUCACUAGAGCCAAAGGCGUCGCGAGGAUGCUAGUGAGUGUGCUAGAUAUUCAGAUUAUUCCAGAUGAGGUCAUUUGGACUUUUGAGGGGAUGCGGUACACUCUCCAGUUGGAAAUAGAGAGCCCUACUCUUUUUGAUUCACCAGUCACAGAUAAAGAUACCAAUAUGACUGAUGGUGAUGAUGCAGAUGGUGCCAAGGAGAAUGACACUUCCUUUGAGUCAGGGCCCACUUUUUCUUCUCAGAAGAAUGCACAACCAACUCAAUCUAUGCAACACUCAGGCAUUGGUACAAAUCACGUGGUCUCUGCUUCUGAUCUCGAUUUGCGGUUUGGUUCUUGUCAACCUGCAUCUGCGCCGGCAAAAGUUUGUCGGUCCAUGCACAAGGCUUCGGACUUACAGGCGAGACUACCGAGGUUCACGGGAAAGACUCCUCGGAGCAACAUAGGUAUUCUGCAGUCUACUAAUAUGUUGCAACCGGUUUCUUUGGAGGCAUAUCUGGCAGAUGCAAAGCUUGUUAGUAACCGACCUGGGAUUAUGCAGUCGGCUAUGGAGGCUGAUCCAGAGCGGUGUGUCAGCGGAGUUGGAGAUGCUCCUGCGAGGGAGUUAGGAGCUGGGGAGGUUCCCACUCUAAAUUCUCCAGUACCUGCGACACAACCGGCACUUGGUACUGCACCAGUUUCUGUUGGCGCUAACUUGGGUAUAAAGUUUGCACCAGCACAGUCACCUAUUGCGGCUACUACGAUGAUGGAAGGUGGCGCUUGCAUGGGAGGGGAUCCUCACGGGCUUGAUCCGUCGUGCAUGGCUGCGCAUGUAGACCAUGCAGCCGACGUUUCUGCUUUUCUGAUGGAUGCUGCUGAACGCUCCACUGAUGUGGCCGACCGCCAAGUGCACGGUGAUGCAAAGGACUGCACGGCCGUCCCUAGGCCGUAGGAAUUUGGAGGCGAGCUGGGCGCUGCGUUGGGGGAUGCUAAAAAAGGAGAGGCGAGCACGGCCACGGAUGGUGAUUUGCCCGGGCCAGUUCGACAUUCACUGGGUGAGAUUGCUGAUUCUCUCACAGUUUCUGCACCACGGCCCGUUGAGAUCUCCGUUGAUGAAGUCAUAGCUUUUGGUGGAGUUCCAGAUCCGAUGGGUCCAGAUAGAAGGACUAGUCAUCGGGUACAAUCCCAGCCAGACGUGGAUGACUUGCAGAUUGGGCGGGCUAUGAGGGCGGCUAGAAUGAAGGAGGUUCAGAAUUCGACAGGUAUGUCCAUUAAUACUGAUCAUUCUAUUCUUCAUUUUUUCCCGCAAGACAUAAUAGAUAAUGCUACCUCUGUGGGGGUCAACUUGGGUAGUACUAGCAAAGAAAUUUCCAAAUCUAUUAACGACUUAUUGGGCUUAGAAGUUGAUAGGGCUUUGGAUAUUAUUCGAACCCUAGCUGCCAUUAAACCAAUGAAUGAUGAGGCAAUAUCUAACAUGGGAGGUCUGAAUUUACUGUGUGAAAAUUUAGUCUCACCUGAGGAUAGAGAGGAGCCUCAGGAGGUUUUGCAUAUCAAUCACCAACCCAAAGUUACACUAAAAGAGGGUGGCGAAAAUACGACUGGUUAUAUGGACCAGGAGUAUGCUUCUGAAAAGCCAAAACGCACUUAUAAAAGGAGGGUCUAUACUGUCUCUGCAAUACGUAGGAGCGCUAGAUUCAAGACUGCUAAAAAAUUCCACGAUGAAAUAUGAAUGGAAUGUUUUGAAACAGCAGAGGUCUGAGAGACUUGGCUAAAAUUCGGUUCCUUGCAGAAACUACGUUACACCAUAGUCUUGACUUCAUCGCGUUGAUGGAGACGGGACGUGACAACUUCACAUCGCAAUUUCUAAACUCUCUUUCGGGAGGUGUUGAAUUUGAUUGGCAUUGUCUCCCUCCAAGAGGAAGGUCCGGAGGGAUCUUAAUUGGUGUCAGGUGUCAUACACUUCAAGUUCGAGAAGUGGUGCUAGGGGAGUUCUCGGUCAAAUUUCGAAUUAGAAUCAAGGAAGAUGGGCUCCAAUGGGCUCUGGUUGCGGUUUAUGGGGCCGCACAAACAGAGCAAAAGCCAGCUUUUCUGGCUGAUUUGGUUCGAAUUUGCGAUCACACUUUACCACUAGUGGUAGGUGGUGAUUUUAAUAUCAUCAGGAGAGCUGAUGAGAAGAACAAUGAUAACUUUGAUGGCGGAUGGCCUUUUAUGUUCAACACAAUUAUAGAGAGUCUCAACCUACGGGAGAUUGAUCUCUCAGGUAGGAAAUAUACUUGGGCCAACUCUCUACCUAAUCAAACUUUUGAAAAAUUGGACAGGGUACUUACGAGUGUUGACUGGGAACAGAAAUUCCCGCUAGUCACAGUAUGUGCACUUCAAAGGGCUAUAUCUGACCAUACCCCACUCCUACUAGAUUCUGGCCAGGCCACUCACAAAGGGAAAAAUGAUGCUUUCUCUUUUGAAUCAAGCUGGUUCACACGUGAGGGGUUUGUGGACAUGAUUUCUAGGGAAUGGAACAAGUAUGCGGGUGGGAACUCUAGUGUUGAUGUCUGGCAAAAUAAAAUACGUCAUCUUAGACAAUUCUUGCGAGGUUGGGCUAAGAAUAUAUCUGGGGUCUAUAGAGAUGAGCAAGAUAGACUGCUCAAACUUAUAGAUACUCUAGAUCGUCAGGCAGAAACUCGCAUGCUGGAUGAACAAAAGAGGGCGUUAAAGAACGAGGCUGAACAAAGAGUUCGAAUCCUUCUUUGAGAAGAGGAAAUGAAAUGGGCUGUCAGAGCAAAAGUUAGGGCAAUUGUCCAGGGGGAUGACAACACUAAAUGUUUCCACUUGAUUGCAAAUGGCAAGCAUCGGAAAAAGAGGAUAAUACAACUUGAGCAAGACGAGGGUACAAUAGUAGGUCAUGAGAAUCUAAAGUUGUACAUCACAUACUAUUAUAAAAGGUUGUUUGGUGCUCCGACUCAUAGUUAUGUGUCUAUGGACAAGCAUCAGAUCGCGGAUAUUCCUCAGAUUGGACAAGCCGAUAAUGAGUGUCUAUCCGCUCCAUUCCUAGAGAAAGAGGUGCUACAGGCGAUUCAGGGUAUGAAAAACGGUAAAGCGCCGGGGCCAGAUGGGUUCCCAGCUGAGUUCUAUAAGAGAUGUUGGCAUAUUAUUAAGAAAGAUCUUAUGGCAAUGUUUCACGAUUUGUUCUCCGGGCACUUACAACUCUUUCAUCUUAAUUUUGGUACAAUAACGUUGCUACCAAAAAAAGAGGGUGCUUCGCGUAUUGAACAAUUUCGUCCCAUAUGUCUGCUCAAUGUUAGCUUCAAAAUUUUCACAAAGGUGGGAACAGAUAGGCUAACUAAGAUGGCACAUUCUGUGGUGCAAUCUUCGCAGACGACAUUCAUGCCUGGUCGGAAUAUUCUCGAAGGGGUGGUUGUUCUCCAUGAAACCCUUCACGAAUUACAUUCCAGGAAGCUUAAUGGAGUCUUAUUUAAGGUAGACUUCGAAAAGGCAUAUGAUAAAGUCAAAUGGUCGUUCUUGCAACAAACUCUGCGUAUGAAGGGGUUUUGUGAGAUUUGGCGAAAACAUAUCGAUCGUUUUAUACAAAAGGGCAGUGUCGGUAUUAAAGUGAAUGAUGAUGUAGGUCAUCUCUUUUAGACACUAAAGGGUCUUAGGCAGGGAGACCCUAUGUCACCUAUUUUAUUUAACAUCGUAGCAGAUAUGUUAGCGCUAAUGAUCAGGAGGGCUAAUGAAAAAGGGUUAGUAGGGGGACUAGUGCCACAUCUAGUAGAUGGGGGUGUCUCCAUCCUACAAUAUGCGGAUGACACAAUCCUUUUCAUGGAACACGAUCUCAAAAAAGCCAGAAACAUGAAGCUAAUAUUAUGCUUAUUCGAACAGCUAUCUGGGCUGAAAAUUAACUUCUUUAAAAGUGAACUCUUCUGCUUUGGGGACGCAAAGGAAGAACAACUCACUUAUAACCAACUAUUUGGUUGCGAGGGUGGUACGUUACCGUUUACGUACUUAGGGAUCCCUAUUCAUCACCGAAAAUUAUCUAUUAAAGAUUGGAAGUGCAUCGAGGAUCGGUUUGAGAAAAAAUUGAGCUGCUGGAAGGGCAAGCUACUAUCCUACGGAGGACGAUUGGUUUUAGUUAACUCAGUGUUGACAAGCAUGCCAAUGUUCCUUCUAUCCUUUUUUGAAGUACCAGUUGGGGUGCGAAAAAGGCUGGAUUUUUACCGAUCACGAGUUUUCUGGCAGAGUGAUGAGGUCAAGACCAAAUAUAGGCUGGCUAGAUGGGAUAUUAUUUGUAGGCCCAAAGAUCAGGAGGGUUGGGGAUUGAAAACUUAGAGGUUAAGAACAGGUGUCUGCUCAGCAAGUGGCUUUUCAGACUAUCUGUGGAAUCAGAAGGUAUGUGGCUACAAAUUCUGAAGAAUAAGUAUCUACAGCAAAAAACCUUAGCUCAGGUCACAGUGAGACCUCGAGAUUCACCUUUUUGGAAGGGUCUCAUGAAGACAAAAACGGCUUUUUUAACAGGACUAAAUUCAUCAUAGGCAAUGGUGAAUCUACUAGAUUCCGGGAGGAUAACUGGCUAGGUGACGAGCCUCUGGCCCUUCAAUAUCCGCAGUUGUAUAACAUUGCCCAGCGCAGACAAACGACUGUUGCGGCAGUGUUACGUGAGACGCCUCUCAACAUUCAGUUUCGCAUAUCCUUAGUAGGUAAUAGAUGGGUCAGAUGGCUACAUCUAGUCAGAAGGCUAAUGGAUGUUAGUCUUUCUGAUGAUCCGGAUAGGAUUGUUUGGAAACUGACCUCCAAUGGUACGUUCUCCGUGAAAUCAAUGUAUGACCAUGUUAUUGAUAGUGCACUUAUUCCAAAAUCUUCACAUAUUUGGAACGUUAAGGUUCCCCUUAAGUUAAAAAUCUUUUUGUGGUUUGUCCACAAAGGAGUUGUUUUAACUAAGGAUAACUUGGCCAAGCGAAAUUGGAAAGGAAAUCGAAGAUGUAGCUUCUGUCAGAUGUAUGAAACAAUCAAGCACCUCUUUCUGGACUGCCCCAUGGCUAAAAUAUUAUGGCGCUCAAUCCAUAUUGCUUUUAACAUUACCCCGCCUACUAGCAUUAACAUGUUAUUUGGGACGUGGCUUGACGGGGUUAAUGUCUCGUUCGCUAAGCUAAUUCGAGUUGGAACUUCUGCACUUUUGUGGGCUAUAUGGAACUGCAGAAAUGACCUAGUUUUUAACAGACAACAAUUUAUUAACUUUCUGCAGGUCACCUUCAGGGCUACCGUCUUGAUCUGCAUGUGGUCCUUACUCACUCCUGUGGAAACCAGGUAGCCUUUGGUUACUGGGUGUGCCCGAUGGGAGAUGGUAGCUCAGGCUAUCUUCAGCCGAUAUGGAUGGCGACAUGCUGAUAGAAUAGGGAAUUAGUCAACUACUCCUAUUCAUAUCCUCGGCUUAGGCGUUGAUCGCCUUGUAAUUUCUUUUUUUCUUUACUUUCGACUUUGUACCUAUUUUGGAUCUUUUCAGUUAUUAAAUAAAUGGCUGUAUGCAUCACUUGAUGCAGAGGCCAGGGCGAGACCUCCUUUUCGAAAAAAAAAAUAUAAAUCCGAUUCAGGAAAAAGUUAGAACAUCUUAUACUCCCUCCAUUCCAAAAUAAGUGUGUCAACUUUGUACUAACUUUAGUACAAAGUUGUACUAAAGUUGAGACACUUAUUUUGUGACGGAGGGAGUAUUUGUGAAUGGAUAGAGUAGUUUCUAGCUAUUCAUUAGAAUUAUAGCCACUGAUAAUAGCAUAAAAUCCAGAUCUCGUUUGUACAAACUGUGGUGAUUUGCUUGUUAGUAACUUCUGAUGUGCUGAUUUGGUAUUUGCUGUCUAAGGUGAAAAUUUCUAUAUUUUGACAGUACAAUUCUGAAAGUGGAGAAAUUUGGGAUUUUUCACCUGCUUUCUCAAUUAAGUCUCACAGCUGUUUCUGUACUCCUACUUAAGUUCAAUUUAAAGUAUAGUAACUAACCAAGUUUAAAACAACAAGGUUUGCAUCCUUUUUAAGCUCAAGGGAAAAAAUAUCAUUCAUUUAUAACAGUCUAAAAGGCUACAUUGAACUUCAUAUUUCAAAGCGUGAAGGCGAUUCCCUGCAAGAUGCAUCAAACUGCAGAUGAGUAUAUAUAGCAACUUCACCCUUCGGUUAUUCCUUUUUCUCCUUCAUCAUUUCCUUUUUUUUCAAGCAUGGACCAUUGCCUUCGAGAAACAUCAAACUACAAAUGAUUAUAACAAGCUUUCUAAAUUUAGCUUAGACACUAUAUGUUGGGUUUUUCCCGGCAAUUUUCACGUCUUCAGUAGCUAAAUUAUCUAGGUCAGACAUUAAGCCCCGACAAAACACUGCAGCGUAGACAUACUUCAUGUAAACAGUUGGUUUGCUAUCUACUACAAAGACAAAUUUGAUUUAAUGCUGGUUUCUACCUUUAAUAAACUCAACAAAGAACAGAAGAGAUGUGCUGCACCGAAAAGCUCCACCCAACAGCUUGUAAAGUUGCAUUUGGAAUUAGAGCAUGCAACAGCCGAUGCCCUCUAAAACGCAUCCGAACUAGUUGACCUUUACAUGCACAUUCCUUAUGCUAUUUUAUUCCCCUUUUUCAACAAAAGAAAAGAGACAAAGUUGCUCUUUACUCCCUCAUCUUUUCCCUUUGAGCGCUUUCCUUUUCCACACGCCUCAGUAAAAACUAAUUUUGCUCCCAAACCGAGCGCUUUGCCUUUGCAUCUUGCUAAUCAUAUCCUUCAGUCAGUGCUCUUGAAAGAAGGCAAAGCUUGCGCUAAUGGAUUGCUAAAAAGAGCUCCUCUCUCUUUUCAUCUCCCGUGCAACUUCCUCAGAUUCCUCUCCCGUGCACUGGCUGGCUGGCCGUCUCAGCGGCAUCUCUUUCUUUCUGUGCUUUUGCAAACAUCUUUUGCUGUUCCUUUUCGCUGGCUUAUAAACACGGGCAUUGCAUUGCACAGUCUGCCUGUCGUAUCAUCGAUCCGUUAUUGGUUGAAGUUUCGGGGCAUCUAGCUACCUGGUAGAGUAGUAGUACGUGCGGUCUUUGUUCUUUGAGUUGACACAUAGUAUAACUCUGUUUGUAUUCCUGUUUGCAGGGUGGUGCGGCAUGGGUUUUCAGAGGAAGAUUCUUCUGCCGGAGGGAGGCGACGUCCAGGUGGACGGCGCUGGAACUCUGCAGCCGCUGAAGAUGAAGCGGCCUCGUGAUGGCGAGGACGACGGGCCGCUGACGCCGACGGCGAACGGCGGCGCAGGGACCGCACCUCUGCGCUGCCCGCCGGAGCCGCCGAAGAAGCCGAGGCUCGUGCUGGGGUGCAGCCUGGACGGAUUCAAGGUUCUGAGCGUCAUGGACUUGCGUUGCUUCCUUCGUUGAGCCCAGCCACCUUGUUUUUCUGUGUUGUUCGUUUUUGUAGAGACAGGGGUGAUUUUUUUUUGGUGUUUUUGUGCUCUUCAACUGUUCUUUUUAACCGGAAUGCUAUGCUCAAGCUUCCGCGACCUUAUUACAAUAAUUAUCACUGAAACUAGAGCAGUUCAAGGCGGCAAAGGUAUUUUUAUUUAUUUAUUAUUAUCUGUCGAGGACGAAAGAUAACCCGGUCGGGGCAUCGGUGCUGAGCAGAUCUGCACUCUGAAUAGCUUGCGUCAACAACAAUGGAUUCAGCAUGCAGUCUCGUACCCAGGCUUGAGAAAUAGUAGAUCUUUUACAAUACCCAGCCAAUUAACGGCCGAGAUAAUACAAUCAACGGCCCAGAUAAUCUGUCCCAGCGGUUGUAUGAUGUACCUUAAAAAGUCUCUUGAGAAAUCCUUUCCUGUACUAAUUCUCAACCACGCUUCUCUGCUGAUUAUCUCAUUCCGCGCUAUCUUCCUUUCCGAAGCCCAAGCUGACACUCCCCCAUCAACGUAACCAGCAGUGGAGUAGUAUUUUUGAACACAGUGAGGUCUUGAUUUUUAAGACAUUAUAUACAUCAAGAAACGUAUGCAUUAUGGCACAAUACGAGAGCUUCUGGUCACCCGGUGGAUCCGUCUACGUGCAUCUACCGUCUCUCUGGCCGUCAGAUUUUUUUUAAUCGAACGAUUUUAGAGCAUCCUCUUUUUACAGCCUAAGUUUGCAACUGAUUCAUUGUUGCAAUAUUCUUUCCCGCAACUAGUAGUUUGUUACAAGAUUCUGUCAGGGCACAUCCUUUUUUUACAGCCUAAGUUUGCAACUGACCUAUUGUUGCAAUCUUCUUUCUUGUUACUAGUAGUUUGUUGUAAGAUUCCGACGGGGCACGCAGGCCACCAAACGUGACAGCAUCGGGACGAGCAAGCUUUCCUCCGUUGCCAGCCCUUCCUGCUCUCCAUCUUCUCUUCCUCAUCCGUCUUCGCCUCGUCGACUUGGCCCUUUCUCCUCCUCCAUCUCCUCUGUUGCAAAAAAAAGUACAACGCAACAUCUGUUACAAAUAUUUCUGCAACAAGAUUUAUGUUACAAAGAGUUCCACAACAAGACUUUUGUUGCAUAAAUAGAAAAGCACGCGUGAAUGCCAUAUAUGGCAGAUCCGGCAGCCUGUGAGGCAACGGAUCUUUUUAAAAGAUCUAUUAAAGGUGUUUUCGCAACACGGUCUUCGUUACAGAAAAUAUUCUAUAGCAAAGUCUGUUACAAAAAAAAUCUACAUGUGUUUCCGCAAUACGAUCUUUGUUGCAGAAAAUAUUCUAAAAAAAUAUGUUAAAAAAAUUUAUACAUGUGUUUCGCAACACUAUCUUUGUUGCGGAAAACAUUAUAUAACAAACUUUGUUGCAAAAAAAUUACACGGGUAUUUCCGCAACACGAUCUUUGUUGCAGAAAAUAUUCUAUAGCCGUUCACAGCUCUGUCAGAGCCGAAACAAAACAAUUGUUUCCGUAACUCGUUUGUUGUUUCAGGACUUAAUGUAUUCAGAAAGGCGGCCGAGCCGCGUGCCAAUAGUUAGUGCGGGCGGUUGCACGCGUAGAGAUCCAACGGUUAUCGUGGUGGUGGAUAUUUACUAAACAUCUACCGAUGGAUGCGUAGCGCUCCCCAUAUGAGAAGGAGGUUCCGCUUGCGCGUAUUUACGCACACACACACGUGUUUCUUUAGAGCAUUUCCAACCGCCGCGCUUCGCGCCGCGCCCAAAAAAUGUAUUUGCUGCGCGCGCUUCGGUUGGUUUAGCGCGGGGAUAGACGCUGGCUCCAACGGCCACCCUAUAAUGCAGCGCGCGCGCGUCGCUCCAGCAGUGCCCAAAAAUACAGCGCGCGCAGCACGCACAAACCACAUAUACAUUUCAAAAAAUAGAAGCAAAAAAUGAUCAAACAAACAAAAUAAAUCAACAAUAAAUAGGUUUACAGCUCGAACAAAUAAUUUAUCGUUCAGUACAACAAAUAAUGCAACAAACACAACCAAUAGUUCAUGAACAAUACAAUGUUGAAUGCAGAAAUCAUGCGCUUUCUCGUCCAUGCCAUGCCCACCACUCUUCAAUCAGAUCCUUCUGAAGUUCAUAGUGCGUUGCGGGACGCCGAAUGGCAUGAUAGGAGGCAACAAAACGGGCUACCCUUUCACCCCUCCGUCGCACUCGCACGGGAUGUCCCAAGAGCUCAUACUGUGAGUAGUCUAAAUCUUGGCCAUGCUCAUUCUCGAUGAUCAUGUUGUGCAUGAUCACACAAGCGUGCAUGAUGUACCAAAGCAUUUUUUGAUCACAAAAUCUAGCCGGUCCUCUCACAAUAGCAAAUUGGGCUUGCAAAAUCCCAAAUGCUCUCUCCACAUCUUUUCUAGCCGCCGCCUGAGCAUUGUGGAAAUCAAGAUUUUUCUUACCUUCCGGCUUUUUCAACGGCUUCACGAAGGUUUGCCACUUUGGAUAGAUGCCAUCCGCUAGAUAAUAGCCAUAGUUGUACGUACGGCCAUUUGCUACAAACUGCACCGGUGGCAACUCACCAUCUGCAAUCUUAUUCAUCAGUGGUGACCGGUUGACAACAUUGAUGUCAUUCAAAGAUCUAGGCAUUCCAAAGAAUGCAUGCCAAAUCCAAGUCUCCUGAUCGGUCACCCCUUCAAGGAUUAUAGUGGAACCCUUUUUUUGGCCGUGGAAUUGCCCAUGCCAUGCCUUUGGACAAUUCUUCCAACUCCAAUGCAUGCAAUCUAUUGAGCCAAGCAUGCCAGGAAAGCCGCAAGCCUUGUUCAUCGCCAAUAGCCUUGCGACGUCUUCAGCAGUGGGAGAUCUCAAAUACUCCUCGCCAAACACUUGCACAAUUUCCAGUGCAAAGCGCUUGACAUACAUGAUGGCUUGGCUCUCACCCAUAGCCAAGUGAUCAUCAACUAGAUCAGCCGGGAUACCGUAUGCCAACAUACGCAAAGCGGCUGUCACCUUCAGAAAGGUGCUAUGCCCGAGCUCUCCGGCGGCAUUCCUCCUUUCAUUGCAAGAUCCUCCUCCUCUUCCAUAUCAAAUUCUUCUUCGAAAGAAUCAUACGAUGAAUUCAUCUACAAUGUUCAAUACUAUACUAUAAAAACUACAAUUCACAACAUGCAUCAAAUUCAUAAGUUUGAGCAAUACAUACCUUGUAGGCGUUUUGUCGAACACCUUGCGGGCGCGGCGCGGCAGCGAGCGCUCGGGCGCUGUUCCUCAGAAGACGGAGGCGCGCGAGGGCCGGAGGGACUAGGAGGGGGUGGGGCGGAAGCGCGGCGGCGCGGGAGGCCGGGGAAGCGCCUGAACGGUCGCCGGGGGGCGCAGGCGGCGGCGGCAGCGGAGAUAGGCCGGGGAAGCGCCGGAACGGUCGCCGGGGGGCGCGGGCGGCGACGGCGGCGCGGGGAUAGGCCGGGGAAGCGCCUGAACGGUCGCCGGGGGGCGCGGGCGGCGACGGCGGCGCGGGGAUAGGCCGGGGAAGCGCCUGAACGGUCGCCGGGGGGCGCGGGCGGCGACGGCGGCGCGGGGAUAGGCCGGGGAAGCGCCUGAACGGUCGCCGGGGGGCGCGGGCGGCGACGGCGGCGUGGGGAUAGGCCGGGGAAGCGCCUGAACGGUUGCCGGGGGCGCGAGCUGCGGCGGCGGCGCGGUCGGAUGGGGAUGGAAGUGGAGAGCGAGCACGAGAGAGUGGAGGAGCGAGGCGCGAGAGUGAAGGAGCGAGCGCGGGAGAGUCCAGCGCGCGGGAGCUGGCGCAGCAAAUAAGCGGCGCGCGAUUGCGUUUCGGCCGGCGCGCUGAACUGCAUAUGCCACGCGCGCCGUUUUUGCGCACCCGCUGGAGCUACACGCCGCGUUGCGCGCGCGAUAGCUAUUUUAUGACGCGGUGCUAGUUUAGCGCGGCUGUUGGCUCUUGAGAUCUUUCCAUUAUAUUGCGCUAGAAACAAAGCCCGAAUUUCACACGGUGCUGCGCUUCUGGUCCGUGGGUGGGUGCUGGACAGGACUCCUCGAAUGUUUCGCAACUUUUCUGUCUGUUUGGCGUUUCCUGAUUCCUGAAGCUCUCCGCGCGUUGGCCUCCACGUCCGCCUAGUCGCUGCUUUGCUCCACGUAGAGGCUAUUCAUUUCACGGCCGGGAGCAGCUCGCGACGUGGGCACCGUCGCGGCCACCGCGCCCAGCUCGUCACGGGCUGGGUUGCGUAGAGCUCGGCCUAUAAAGUGUGCCCCCUCGCUCUGAACAAUACAUCAGCAAACACCUUCCGUCCAACGACAACGAUAGCAAUCAUCUUUGCCUGUUGCAGCAUCUGUAGCUUCUUUCUGCCCUUUCGUGCACCUUCCGUCCGCAGUUGAUCAAUGGCGACCAUGAUGGCCAUGAGCUCAUUAGCCGGUGCGGCCGUCCUGCCGCGCGGCCCGGCUGGCGGCUUCUGCGCCCGGUCUCUGCCAGCGCUGGGCCGACGCGCCCUCGUCGUCAGGGCACAGACCGAGGGCCCCAGCGAACCACCGCCAAACAAACCCAAGGCGACCACCUCGAUCUGGGACGCGAUGGCGUUCAGCGGCCCUGCGCCGGAGCGCAUCAACGGGCGCCUUGCCAUGGUGGGCUUCGUGACGGCGCUGGCGGUGGAGGCAGGCCGCGGCGACGGGCUCCUCUCGCAGCUCGGCAGCGGCACCGGGCAGGCGUGGUUCGCCUACACCGUGGCGGUGCUGUCCAUGGCGUCGCUGGUGCCGUUGCUUCAGGGCGAGAGCGCCGAGGGCAGAGCCGGCGCCAUCAUGAACGCCAACGCGGAGCUCUGGAACGGCCGCUUCGCCAUGCUCGGACUCGUCGCGCUCGCCGCCACCGAGAUCAUCACCGGCGCGCCCUUCAUCAACGUGUAGAAUAAAAUAGCUUCGCUGUCGACCGGAUAACACAACCUGUACUUAGCUAGUAGGACAUGUACGUAAAUGGUCAGAACUGAUCAUGCUCGUAUUCUUUGUAGUAUUGCUACUAAUUAAAGACGGAGUCCCGUUUCGGUACACCCCCCUCACAAAUACUAUAAGGGUAAUAUUGACCUUUCACAAGCUGUAUUUAAUUUGGUAUAUAUAUACACGCAUACGCUGUCCCUGAACGGCCGGCCUAUUCAGCAAACUAAGAGGUUAUUUGAUUCCUAGCCACACCUUGCCACACUUUGUCACAACUUAUCUUAGGUAAAUUUGACCAAGUUAAGUGGGUGUUUGGUUCUAGCCACACCUAAGAGAAGCAUUUUUUAAUGAGUACUAAACCCCACAUGUCAUAGACACAAAAAGUGUGACAAGAUUUCCUUAGGCAAGCCAAUGUGUGGCUAACAAUUUAAGCAACUCAAGUAAGGCAAGUGUGGCAAGUGUGGCAAAAAUAAUAUGGUAAGAUAUGGAAGAUAGUCACAAUCCAAACAGCCCCUAAAUAUACCUCCCGAUAGGUUCCACACCUUAUCACCAGCUGAGCUAACAACUGUUUGUGGACAAGUCGAAUCAAUAUAAUCAAAAUACUAAGUACUCCCUUCGUUCUAAAAUAGGUGUCUCAACUUUAUACAAGCUCUAGUACAAAAUUGUAUUAAGCUUAAGACAGUUAUUUUGGGACGGAGGGAGUACAUCGGAGGAUACGUUUUUUCCAAAUGCUUUGACAUUUGCUGAAAAAACUGUGAACACAUUUCAAGAAAGAAUGUGAAUAAUUUUUGAAAAUCGUGAACAAAGUAUGAAAUUGAAAAAACCUUUUAAACAUGAACAUUUUUUGUAAAGUGAAAAAAAUUGAAAAAAGUGUACACAGUUUUAAAAUUCUUAAAAAUUCUAAUUUUUUUAUAUACAAAGAAUAUUUCUUAAUAUACAAUAAAACUCCAGUAAUAUACAUUAAAAAGUAUUUUAAAACAUAGAAAAUUUUUGUAAUACAUGCAGAGCAAUAUUUAAAUACACAAUGAACAUUUUAUUUCCAUAUACGCUGAACAAUAUUUAAAUAUACAUUGAACACUUUUGUGACAAACGCUAUGCUGAAUUUAACUAUGCACGAAGACUUAAAAAUACAUUNNNNNNNNNNNNNNNNNNNNNNNNNNNNNNNNNNNNNNNNNNNNNNNNNNNNNNNNNNNNNNNNNNNNNNNNNNNNNNNNNNNNNNNNNNNNNNNNNNNNGAUUUCCCCUCUCCGGAGCCCAAAACGGACUCCAGAUCUGCCCACCAGAUGAAGAACAGGAGGUGAGGCGCAUCAUAAAACGCGAUGGACUCUUCUCCUUGAUUUUUUUUCGGGCGAGACAGACUAAAUAGAGCUGAGAUUGGAGGCGGUGGAGCAACGUGGGCCCCACAAGCCUGCCAGGCGCGGCCAAGGGGGCCCGCGCCUGGUGGGCUUGUGGGCUCACAGCUCCACCCUUCCGGUUGAUUCUUGCGCCAGUAUUUUUCAUUAAUUCCAGAAAAAUUCUCCGUAAAUUUUUAGGUCAUUCCGAGAACUUUUAUUUCUGCGCAAAAACAACACCAUGGCAAUUCUGCUGAAAACAACGUUAGUCCGGGUUAGUUCCAUUCAAAUCAUGCAAAUUAGAGUCCAAAACAAGGGCAAAAGAGUUCGGAAAAAGUAGAUACGACGAAGACGUAUCAACUGCCCCAAGCUUAAAACCUUGCUUGUCCUCAAGCAGUUCAGUUGACAAACUGAAAGAGACAAAAGAAAAACUUUGACGAACUCUAUUUGAUCUUGUUGUUGCAACUAUGUCUAACUCAUAUCGAGAGUUACAGCAAGAUCACAAGCAAACCACAUAAGCAAAUGACAUCUAGGUCUCACGGUAAACUCAUAUCAAUGGCAUAAUCAACUAACAAGCCAAUAAUAAUAAGUCUCAAACGUCAACACUUCAAUCAAAACAAUCAUGAAGAAGUACGAAUAGAUGGUAUGUCGCUAGCUCUUUGUGAGACCGCAAAACAUAAAUGGAGAGCACCUUCAAAGACCAAGAGCUGACAAAACAUUGUAAUUCAUGACAAAGAAGAUCCAGUCACAGUCAUACUCAAAAUAGUUAAAAACAAAGCAUAAAAAUGAGAGAUGUGCUCUCUAAUUGGUGCUUUUGUAAGGAGACGAUGACUCAACAGGAACAUAAAUAGACAGGCCCUUCGCAGAGGGAAGCAUUGAUUUGCAGAGGGUGGCAUGCUUUCAUUGUCAACGCAAUGACUAAGAGUUCUCAACAUCUUCCACGCUACACAUGCUAUAGGCGGUUCCCAAACAGAAAAGUACAGUUUUGACUCCCCCACCACCAAUCAAUCACACUCCACGGCUAGCCGAAUCCUCGGGUACUGUCCAUACCAACAUCAAUCCUGGGGGAGUUUUGUUUGCAAUUAUCUUUUCGAUUUGAGCAUGGAACUGACAAUUCCAAUUACCGGCACCUUUCUCGUGAAUGAUAGUGAAUAAACACAUAUCGAGGAUAACACGCCUAGCAUGUAAGAUACUGAUAGCCCCCUGUCACCACAUGAGCGGUUCGGGCAUGCAAAACAGAUUAUUUCUUGAAGGUUUAGAGAGUGGCACAUGCAAAUUUACUUGGAACGGCAGGUAGAUACCGCACAUAGGUAGGUAUGGUGGACUCAUAUGGAACAACUUUGGGUCUAUGGAAGUGGAUGCACAAGCAGUAUUCCUGCUUAGUACAAGUGAAGGCUAGCAAAAGACUGGGAAGCAACCAACUAGAGAGCGACAACAGUCAUCAAAAUGCAUUGAGAUUAACUAACAUGGAGUGCAAGCAUGAGUAGGACAUAAAUCACCAUGAACAUGAAUAUCAUAGAGGCUAUGUUGAUUUUGUUUCAACUACAUGCAUGAACAUGCGCCAAGUCAAGCCACUUGAAACAUUCAAAGGAGGAUACCAUCCUAUCAUACUACAUCGUAGUCAUCUCAAAUUUCAUGUUGGCAUCCAAGGCAAACAAUUAUAAGCUCCUAGCUAAUUAAACAUGGCAUCAGAAACUAUGAUUUCUAAGUUGUUAUUGCAAACAUGUUUCUCUCACAACAAAGUUGAACUAGGAACAAUGAGCUAGUCAUAUUUACAAAAACAAAACAGAUCGAGUUCAUACCAGCUUUUCCAGGCUCGGUCACUUCAUCAUAUAUCGUCAUUAUUGCCUUUCACUUGCACGACCGAACGAUGUGAACAAUAAUAAGAGUGCUCGUGCAUUGGACUAAAGCUGGAAUCUGCAGGCAAACACAAAGGAGAAGACAAAGUAAUAUGGCUCUUUGACAGCUAAACAGGUAUGCAUGCGAGAGCCACUCAACAUUGUAACCAUGGUCUUCUACCUUGACCCAAAUAAAAAAAGGAAACUAUUUACACGGAAAAGCUCCCAACAAGCAAAAGAAGAAAAAGAAAAUCUUUUUCGGUUUUCUCAAACUAGACAGACACACGAAAAGACAACGAGAAAAAGAAAAUAAACUAGCAUGGAUGAUAAAGUGGCAAAGUGUGAACACCGACAAACAAAGUGAAAGCAUAAGCAAGAAUGUAAAGUCGGUGAGAAACACGUACUCCCCCAAGCUUAGACUUUUGGCCUAAGUUGGUAUACUCCCAAGGAGGGAAAUAACCAGCUCCGGGGUACUCUGGAGUGGACCGAGGAUGCCACUGCUGUGUGAGCUCCUCUAGCUCCCAUUGAUAAAUUGGCGUCUGGUACUCGACUGGCGGCUCGGGCACGGGCGCCUGUGGUUGGGCCAAGCCCCAAUAUGCGUAGAUGUCAUAGGGCAUAAUAAUGUACCUUCCUGCAUGAAGAUUGAACAAAGAAGGAGCAGGCAAAGUAAUAUUCUCACGAGUACCCUGACUAAACACCAGGUUAUAAAUCAUCCUUCUAUUUAUAUCUCUAUCAAGAAAGUCAUGGCGAACCAUGCUAUCAUAAUGUAGAUAUCUCUUGGGAAGAAGAAUAUCUUCUUCCUCGUCCAGUCUAAUAGGUAUCUCAAAGUGUCUAGCAAGACGAGUAGCAUAGAUACCUCCAUAGACAACACCUUUAGAAUGGUUCAUGUUCAACCGUUGAGCUACUAUGACGCCCAAGCUAUAAGUUUUAUCAUUAUAAAGGGCUUCGCGCAAGACAGCAAGAUCUGGGGAACUAAGGGACCCAGCUUUCCCACGGCCAAUCAAACAUUUUCCCAUAAAUAGUGAGAAGUACCGAAGCACGAGAAAAUGUAUGCUAGCAGCUCUGGCGCAAGACACUCCUCUCUCCUCUCCUACAACAAUUGUAUCGAUGAAAGUCUCCAAAUCCCGUGGACGAGGUUCAUGAAUAUCCCCCAACGAAAGGCAAUUUGCAAACAUUGCAAAAAUCCUGGAGUGACAUGCGCUGGGGGAUAUCGUAUAAUUUGAACUCAACCAUAGGAGGAUUCUUCCUCGGAUAGAAGUUAAAGCUUUGUACGAAGAUAUUAGUGAGGAGGAGGAAUUGCGGACACUUAUCUUCAAUGAAGGCGGUAAGGCCUGCGUUCUCCACCAAGUGAUAAAAGUCCUCAUAAAGUCCGGCGGCGCGUAAGAACACAUCGCUUGGCCACUCGCACGCUCGAACUUCUGCGACUCGAGGGACCGGAUACUUGGGCUUCUUCUCACUUCCAUCCUCCUUGGGGUCACGGCUUGAAGAGCCUCUUAAGAACCUCCUCAUCUUUUCCCUUUUCUAUCUCUGAAAAUUUCUGAAAUUUUUAGUGACUCUAAGGAAAAGUGAACAAGGUUCAACAAAACUCAUAGCAACUACUCCCACAAGUGCCUAGAGGCCAUAUUACGCAACAAAACUACUUGGGACCAGCUAAAAUUAGCAUGUAAAGCUCAAGAACAGGGUCACCAAGGUAGCAAAAAUACGCGAAGUAUAAGGCACUAGAGCAAAAACUAAUUGGACCAAUGGAGGAGUCACUUACCAAGGAGUAAUUCCCCAAAACAGUUCGGAGAAUGGUUCUUUGAGCAAAGAGAUCAAAAAUCCCAGCAAGAAGAGCAAGAACACGGGUUUGAGCUGCGAAACAAUUUUUUUUGUGGAGGUACGAGAGCAGAUGGGAGCUAGAAUGAGUGAAGGGGGUACACGUGGGCCCCACAAGCCAGGUAGGCACGGCCAGGGGGUGCCCGCGCCUCCAGGGCUUGUGGCCCACUGGUGCAGCCCCCACACUAGCUCUUGCUCUUAGUAUUUUUCAAAAAUUCCAGAAAAAAUCAUACUUGAUUUUUAGGACGUCCGGAGAACUUUUAUUUCCGGGGUACUUUUCCACGGGAUGCUAAAAGCAGAAAACAGGGAAAACUAAACUAAACCUAUCAUUUUUCUUCUAAGCAACUGAAGGUGAAAGCUUGGAACAGAGGUUUGUGACUCCUCGAUUCAUCCAUCUCAUGGUCAUCGAAAGAAAUCUGCCAAUGAGGUUGAUCAAGUCUCCUCGACAAACCUUUUCGAAUCGCAAAAGAGAACGGAGAAUUUUCGAAUAGUCACUAGGUUACCUCAUUGGGGAUGUGUAUCUCCCCAACAAGCAAAUCAUACUUCAUCUUAACAGGAGCAAUAGGGCAUUCAAAGCUCCCAAUAAGAAUCGAUGAAGUUUUUUCGAUAGGAUUGAUGCAGUGUACUCAAUAUUGUUUCUUCGGAAAGUGCAUUGUAUGCUCAUUACCGUUGACAUGAAAAGUGACAUUGCCUUUGUUGCAAUCUAUAACAGCCCCUGCGGUGUUUAAAAAGGGUCUUCCGAGGAUGACCGCCAUGGCAUCGUCCUCGGGAAUAUCCAAGAUAACAAAGUUGUUAAGAUAGUGACGUUAGAAACCACAACAGGCACGUCCUCGCAAAUGCCGAUAGGUAAAGAAGUUGGUUUGUCGGCCAUUUGCAGAGAGAUUUCAGUGGGUGUCAACUUAUCCAGUUUAAGUCUACGAUAAAGAGAGAGAGGCAUAACACUAACACCGGCUCCAAGAUCGCAUAACGCAGUUCUAACGUAGUUGCCUUUAAUGGAGCAAGGUAUAGUGGGCACAUCGUGAUCACCUAGUUUCUUAGGAGUUCCACCCUUGAAGGUAUAGUUAGCAAGCAUGGUGGAAAUCUCAACCUCAGGUAUCCUCCUCUUAUUAGUCACAAUAUCUUUCAUGUACUUAGCAUAUGGAGACAUCUUGAGCAUAUAUGUCAAACGCAUUUGCAGAAAGACAGGUCUGAUCAUUUCAACAAAUCUCUCAAAAUCCUCAUCAUCCUUUUUCUUGGAUGGUUUGGGAGGAAAGGGCAUGGGUUUCUGAACCCAUGGUUCCCUUUCUUUACCAUGCCUCCUAUCAGCGAAAUCAUUCUUAUUGUAUCUCUUAUUCUUAGGCUGUGGGUUAUCAAGAUCAACAGGUUCAAUCUCCACAUCCUUUUCAUUGCUAGGUUGAGCAUCAUCAUGAACAUCACUAUUGAUAUUAUCAUUAGGCUCAUGUUCAUCACUAGAUUGUGUUUCAGCAUGAGAGGCAGAGACAUCGUUUGGACUCUCAGGUGUAGCAGCAACAGGGUUGUCAGCGUGCAGGUUCCUAUCAGCUCUCUUCUUCUCUCUAGGAUGACUAGGUGCAUCAGUGCUAUCUCCUUGAGAAUCUUGUUCAAUUCUCUUCGGAUGACCCUCAAGAUACAAAGGUUCUUGGGUCAUUCUACCACCUCUAGUGACGAUUCUGACGGAAUUGUCAUUCAACUCAUUGACCAAGUCAUUUUGAGCCUUAAGUACUUGUUCUACUUGAGUAGUAACCAUAGAGGCAUGUUUACUCAGAAGCUUAAGAUCAUUGACAUUUCUGUCCACACAAGCACUUAAAUGACUAAGCAUACGAGCAUUCUGUUCCAAUUGUCUGCUAACAUAAUCAAUGAAACUCUUUUGUUUGGCAACAAAGUUAUCAAAUUCAUCCAAGCAUAAGCUAGCAGGUUUAUCAAAAGGAAAAUCACUCUCAUCAAACCUACGCAGAGAAUUUACUUCUACUACCUGUAUCGGGUUAUCAAGACCAUGGAUCUCUUCGAUAGGUGGUAGAUUUUUGACAUCUUCAGAUUUAGUGCCUUUCUCUCGCAUAGAUUUCUUAGCUGCUUGCAUAUCUUCGGGACUGGGGAAUAGGAUACCUCUUUUCUUUGGAGUUUUCUUAGGAGGUGGUUCGGGAAUAGUCCUAGCAUUCUCAUUGCACAAGAUAUUAUUCAGUAGAAUCUCAGCUUGUUCUACAGUUUGUUCCCUAAAAACACUACCGGCACAACUAUCUAGGUGGUCUUUAGAAGCAUCGGUAAGUCCAUUAUAGAAAAUAUCAAGUAUUUCAUUCUUCUCGAGAGGGUGAUCAGGCAAAGCAUUUAGUAGCUGGACAAGCCUCCCCCAAGCUUGUGGGAGACUCUCUUCUUCCGCUUGAGCAAAGUUGUAUAUUUCCUGCAAGGCAGCUUGCUUAUUAUUGGCAGGGAAAUAUUUUUCAGAGAAGUAGUAGACCAUAUCCUGGGGGCUACGCACACAACCAGGAGCAAAGAGAAGUGAACCACGUCUUAGCAUCAUCCUUUAGCGAGAAAAGAAACAGCUUGAGGAUAUAGUAGUGGCGGAUCUUUUCCUCACUAGUGAAUAGGGUGGCUAUAUCGUGCAGUUUGGUAAGAUGGGCUACAACCGUUUCAGACUCAUAACCGUGAAAAGGAUCAGAUUCGACCAGAGUGAUUAACUCAGGGUCGACAGAGAAUUCAUAAUCCUUAUCAGUCACAAAGAUAGGGGAAGUGGCAAACUUCGGGUCGUAUUUCAUCCUAGCAUUCAGAGAUUUUUCUUUCCACUUGCGUAGUAAAUUCUCAACAUCAUAGCUAUCCUUACACGCAAGAAAGUCCUCCGCUAUCUCUCCCUCCAUAACAUAACGCGUAUCAGGCAUAUCAGGCAAAAUAGCAGGUUCUACUUCAAUAGUAUCAGCAGUUUCAGAAGUAUCAUCACGUCUAGCAGCAACUCUAGCAAUUUGUGCAUCAAGGAAUGCACCUAGAGGCAAAGCAGUAUCAAGCAAAGCAUCAUCAGGCAAAGCAGUAUCAAGCAUAGCAUCAUCAGGCAAAGCUGUCUCAAGCAUAGCAUCAUCAUAAGCAUCAUGGGCAGCAGAAGUAGCAUCAUCAAGCAUAGGUGACAUAUCAAGAUUUCUAGGAGGACGUGGUGUCGCAAACUUACUCAUAACUGAAGGUGAAUCAAGUGCAGAGCUAGAUGGCAGUUCUUACCUGUCCUCGUAGUUGAAAGCAAGACUUUAGUUCUUGGAUCUCUUAGAUUCCUCAUAGUGACCAGCAGACGUAAAUCCCAAGUGACUCAGAGAAUAUAGUUGUGCUUCCCCGGCAACAACGCCAGAAAAAUGUCUUCAUAACCCACAAGUAUAGGGGAUCACAACAGUUUUUGAGGGUAGAGUAUUCAACCCAAAUUUAUUGAUUUGACUCAAGGGGAAGCGAAAGAAUAUUCUCAAGUAUUAGCAUUUGAGUUGUCAAUUCAACCACACCUGAAAGAUUUAGUAUCUGCAGCAAAGUAUCAGUAGCAAAGUAGGGUGAUAGUAGCAGUAGCAACAGUAACCAGUAGCAGCAAAGUGACAGCAGUAGCGGCAAAGUAACGUAGCAAGGACCAGUAGUAAAAGACUCGUACGCAUUGGAUCGGUGAUGGAUGAUUAUGCCGGAUGUAAUUCAUCAUGCAACAGUUAUAACACGGAGAGAUAAGUAAUUAGCUCCAGUUCGUCAAUCUAAUGUAGGCAUGUAUUCCGUAUGUAGUCAUACGUGCUUAGGGAAAAGAACUUGCAUGACAUCUAUUGUCCAUCCCUCCCGUGGCAGCGGGGUCCUAAUGGAAACUACGGGAUAUUAAGGUUCUCCUUUUAAUAAAGAACUGGACCAACGCAUUAACACUUGGUGAAUACAUGAACUCAUCAUACUAUGGUCAUCUCCGGAAGUGGUUCCGGCUAUUAUCACUCCGGGGUUGCCGGGUCAUAACACAUAGUAGGUGACUACAACUUGCAAGAUAGGAUCUAAAACACACAUAUAUUGGCGACAACAUAAUAGGUUCAGAUCUAAAAUCAUGGCACUCGGGCCCUAGUGACAAGCAUUAAGCAUGGCAAAGUAGUAGCAACAUCAAUCUCAGAACAUAGUGGAUACUAGGGAUCAAUCCCCGUCAAAACUAACUCGAUUACAUGAUAGAGCUCAUCCAAGUCAUCACCAUCCAGCAAGCCUAUGAUGAGAUUACUCACGAACGGUGAAGAGCAUCAUGGAGUUGGCGAUGAAGGAAGGUUGAUGAUGACGAUGGCGAUGAUUUCCCUCUCCGGAGCCCAAAACGGACUCCAGAUCUGCCCUCCAGAUGAAGAAGAGGAGGUGGCGGCGCCUCCGUAUCGUAAAACGAGAUGAACUCUUCUCCUUGAUUUUUUUUCUGGGCGAGACGGGCUAAAUAGAGCUAAGAUUGGAGGCGGUGGAGCAACAUGGGCCCCACAAGCCUGCGAGGCGCGGCCAGGGGGCCCGUGCCUAGUGGGCUUGUGGGCUCACAGCUCCAGCCCUCCGGUUGAUUCUUGCGCCAGUAUUUUUGAUUAAUUCCAGAAAAAUUCUGCAUAAAUUUUCAGGUCAUUCCGAGAACUUUUAUUUCUACGCAAAAACAACACCAUGGCAAUUCUGCUGAAAACAACGUUAGUCGGGGUUAGUUCCAUUCAAAUUAUGCAAAUUAGAGUCCAAAACAAGGGCAAAAGAGUUCUGAAAAGUAGAUAUGACGGAGACGUAUCACAUAGCAUUGCAAAGAACAACUAGACUUGCCAUGGGAACACUAUUUAUUAACAAUACCAUGGCAAAUUUAGUUACCGCAUCACGACAAAUUUACAUUAUCUUUCAUGGCAAAAAUUACUUUUUUUGGACCAUGACAAUUUACUUUUAGUUGCCAUGUCAAAUUGAACUUUUUAGUGUAAACAUAAAUUUGAAGCAUGAAAUCUUUAAUAGGCAUUUGCCCUGGCAAAUUUUCAUCACUUUUUUAUUCUUUUUCGCAUACACGGCAAUUUAAUUACACAAAAAAUGACUAUUUUUGACAUGACAAGGAUGGCUAGUUUGAUAUGAAUACCAUGACAAACUUCUAUAUUCAUUUGCCAUGACUACUUUUUGGUCAUUUUUAUGUUAUUCCACAUAAUUUCUUAUACAAAAGCAUCACUAUUUGGAUAUAAAUACCAUGGCAAUUUUGUAUAUUCCUUUGACAUGGCAACCUUUUGUUCUUUUUUUGUGUAAUUUCACUUUUUUGCCAUGGCAUUGUAAUCCGCUUCUUUUUCUCUUUUUGACAUAUAUAGCCUUGAAAAUCGUACCCAAUUUUUUAAUCCAUAUUUUUUAGCCACCAUGAUACAGAUGCAAUUUGCCAUGAAGUUUUCCUGUUAGUUCAUUUUUUUAUUAAAAAAUAUCUUUUUUUACCAUGCCAAAUGUUGCUUGUACAUACGACGACAUUUUUUGGUUUGAACCAUUGGGAUUUUAUAGUAGUAGUUUGUUUGUCUCUCUUAUCUACCAUGACAAAUUCAUAUUUCGGUGUUUAUAGCGUGGUAAAUCUAGGCUUUAUUCUCGUAAAUAAAAUGGCAAUUUUUUUGGAAAUUUACAUGGUUUUUUUUUUGCAUCAUCGGUUUUUCUUUUGUCGCAAAAAAAUCUGGGUUUCUUUUUCUCUACCGAGCAUGUGGGGCCGACAUGAUGGGCGUCAAGGUGGGGGGAGCCAUCGCAUCGUACGAAAUUGUUUCGCUGACGAGGCGGAUCAUACCGAACGAGACGUUCGAUCCAGCUGCCUUCAUGCCACACGUGUGGCAGUAAUCCGGGUUUGAUCGUACAGAGACGUGCGGGUUGUCUUGCUCAAAUACCACACAGGUCGUGUGGUACGACCCUUUAUAGCCCACAUGUGUGGCAGAUAUCGCGAUCCUUUUUAAUUUGUAUAGCGUCCUUGAUUCGGAUUCUCAUGGACAUGCGUUAUAUUAUUUUUCUCCUGCCCUCCACACGUGGUUCAGUUGGCCGGAGCAUUACGACUUGUCCGAUGGGCGUGAGUUCGAUCCCAAGUCUGCUAACUAUUUUUACCAUGAUUUGAGACAAUUUAAUAUUGAACUCCUAUUAAUUUUUAUAAAGAGUAAAGCGUCUUUUUAUCAAUUAUCAUGACGGACUAAGAAUACCUAUUUCUUUUAAGAGAUUGAUAGGCGCCGGCACGCCAGCCUAAAGUUUCGGGCCGGUCACGCCCCAAUCGUUCGAUUGGCCGCCCACCAUCGUCGCGUCGCGCAGCGCGCGGCCACCCUCCCCCGUUUGUCGUCGUGCACAGCCGUCGUCGUGGUCGCCGCUGAUGCCCGCCGACGAUAUUUGCAACAAAGAAGUUGUUAAAAAGCAGCUCUCCGUCGCCACCCAUGUUGGAUCAUUUGAAAAGACUGGUUCCAGCAAAUUGAAACUAUGGUUGUAGCAAAAAUCAAUUGUAUAGAAAGAAAGAAUUUUGGUGGAAGCAUUUUUUUAUGCUGGUUCCAGCAAAUUGAAACUAUGGUUGUGGCAAAAGGUCGAUUGUACAGAAAGAACAAAUUCCAGUGCAAGCAUUUUUCGAUGCUAGUUCCAGCAAAUUAAAACUAUGGUUGUAGCAAAAAAAUUGAUUGUACAAAAAGAACGAAUUCCGGUGGAAGCAUUUUUGGAUGUUGGUUCGAGCAAAUUGAAACUAUGGUUGUAGCAAACCUGGUCAUGGUUGCAACACUUCGCUGCCCUUCUGCACAAACUCGUUGUGGUCACCUUGCAGCUCAUCGUCGCGGUCACCGUUUCCAACAAAAUCCGAGCAUGGUUGCAACUCUCGCCUCGAAUGGUUGUAGCAUCGCGUGUGCUCCACGGUCGCACCUCCUCGUGGAGGUAGUAGCAACUCCGUUGCCGGUUGCAGCUCACCCCGCAACGGUUGUAGCAUCCACACCAACCAGUGGUAGCUCGUCAUCUUGUGGUUGCAGCCCGGCUGUUCCAGCAUUGUGGCCGACCAUCACCAAACUCACCGACUGGCCUGUUGGAGCUCGCUGACCGCCGUCUCCCCAAUCUCCACACUCAUCUUCCUCGCCCCGACUCCCGUACCAGCACCCAUGUGUCCCUUCCUCCAAAAGGAACUGAUUUUCACCCAAUGGAGUGAGGGAUUUAGUUGCAUUGGAUAUCUACAGAGGAGCGGGAUUUGCAAAGGAGAGGAGCAUGAGUCAUGCAGAUGGGGAUGGACAAUGAGUGUUGGAGCUCACGGCAAAAGGAUAAGGCACGCACAUGCGUAGACGGUGCUAGCGAUGCAUGGAAAGGAUAAAAUAAAGAGGUGGCUGUGUGAGUGAGCCACGCGACCGGUCAAACGUUUUGGCCGGCGCCGGCGUAAAACGUUUCCGUUUCUUUUAUUAGUAGGUAUUGAUUGAGAUCCAGACACGGUGAUAUUCAAAAGAAAUGGAUACAACAUUACUUUACUAUCAAAAUUUAUAUAUCCUUUUAUUUUCAUCUAUUAAAGUGGAUACAAAUCCUUGAAGUACCUAGAAGGUAUGGUUAAAAUUGUAAGCAUUGUUGAGGAAAUCGUUAACUCGUAGUUGCUCGGUUGACUCGCGAGUAGGGGAUUAAUAGGCUAAUCGGCAAGUUAAUCGGUCAUUUAAUCAGUUAAUCGGCAACUCGGUGAUCCAACGAGUAGGGACACAAUAUCCGAUUAUGUAGUAAAUAGUAAAAUGAACAAAAAUAGAUAUACUAGGCAAGGGCCCAAAAAAUUCUCAAAUAGGAAUUCUUGGACUCUUUUUAUCGCAAUGGGUUGUUUUUAAUUCUUUAACAAACUAAUCUCAGCACGUUUGAUUCCAACAAAAUCAUCAGAUAGUGGUAUGAUGUCUACGCACACUUCUAUUCUUGUAGACUAUGUUGGGUCUUCAAGCGCAGAGGUUUGUAGGAUAGCAGCAAUUAUCCUCAAGUGGAUGACCUAAGGUUUAUCGAACUCAGGGAAGUAGAGCUUGAAGAUGGUCUCUCUCAAGCAACCCUGCAAUUAAGAUACAAGAAGUCUCUUGUGUCCCCAACACACCUAAUACAAUUUUCAGUUGUAUAGAUGCACUAGUUCGGCGAAGAGAUGUUAAAAGGCAAGUGAUAUGGAUGGUAAAACAUUUUAUUGCAAAUCUGAAAUAAAAAUGGCAGCAAGCAAACAUGAAACAAAACUGAAAGUAAACGGUGUCCAAUGGUGAAAAACAAGGCCUGGGCUUCAUACUUUCGCUAGUGGCAACUCCCAACAACAUUAACAUAGUCUAAUCACAUGAUAUUUCCACUAAAACAUGCAAUGGAGAUGUACUUGAGAACCCACAAGUAUAGGGGAUCGAAACAGUUUUCGAGGGUAGAGUAUUCAACCCAAAUUUAUUGAUUUGACUCAAGGGGAAGCGAAAGAAUAUUCUCAAGUAUUAGCAGCUGAGUUGUCAAUUCAACUGUUGGGGAACGUCGCAUGGGAAACAAAAUUUUCCUACGUGCAGGAAGACCUAUCAUGGUGAUGUCCAUCUACGAGAGGGGAUGUGUGAUCUACGUACCCUUGUAGACCGUACAGCAGAAGCGUUAGUGAACGCGGUUGAUGUAGUGGAACGUCCUCACGUCCCUCGAUCCGCCCCUCGAACCGUCCCGCGAUCAGUCCCACGAUCUAGUGCCGAACGGACGGCACCUCCGCGUUCAGCACACGUACAGCUCGACGAUGAUCUCGGCCUUCUUGAUCCAGCAAGAGAGACGGAGAGGUAGAAGAGUUCUCCGGCAGCGUGACGGCGCUCUGGAGGUUAGUGAUGAUCUUGUCUCAGCAGGGCUCCGCCCGAGCUCCGCAGAAACGCGAUCUAGAGGAAAAACCGUGGAGGUAUGUGGUCGGGCUGCCGUGGNNNNNNNNNNNNNNNNNNNNNNNNNNNNNNNNNNNNNNNNNNNNNNNNNNNNNNNNNNNNNNNNNNNNNNNNNNNNNNNNNNNNNNNNNNNNNNNNNNNNNNNNNNNNNNNNNNNNNNNNNNNNNNNNNNNNNNNNNNNNNNNNNNNNNNNNNNNNNNNNNNNNNNNNNNNNNNNNNNNNNNNNNNNNNNNNNNNNNNNNNNNNNNNNNNNNNNNNNNNNNNNNNNNNNNNNNNNNNNNNNNNNNNNNNNNNNNNNNNNNNNNNNNNNNNNNNNNNNNNNNNNNNNNNNNNNNNNNNNNNNNNNNNNNNNNNNNNNNNNNNNNNNNNNNNNNNNNNNNNNNNNNNNNNNNNNNNNNNNNNNNNNNNNNNNNNNNNNNNNNNNNNNNNNNNNNNNNNNNNNNNNNNNNNNNNNNNNNNGACUCCGAACAACAUUCGGUAACCAACCAUAUAACUCAAAUACGCAUAAAACAACGUCGAACCUUAAGUGUGCAGACCCUGCGGGUUCGAGAACUAUGUAGACAUGACCCGAGAGACUCCUCGGUCAAUAUCCAAUAGCGGGACCUGGAUGCCCAUAUUGGAUCCUACAUAUUCUACGAAGAUCUUAUCGUUUGAACCUCAGUGCCAAGGAUUCAUAUAAUCCCGUAUGUCAUUCCCUUUGUCCUUCGAUAUGUUACUUGCCCGAGAUUGGAUCGUCAGUAUCCGCAUACCUAUUUCAAUCUCGUUUACCGACAAGUCUCUUUACUCGUUCCGUAAUACAAGAUCCCGCAACUUACACUAAGUCACAUUGCUUGCAAGGCUUGUGUGUGAUGUUGUAUUACCGAGUGGGCCCCGAGAUACCUCUCCGUCACACGGAGUGACAAAUCCCAGUCUCGAUCCAUACUAACUCAACUAACACCUUCGGAGAUACCUGUAGAGCAUCUUUAUAGUCACCCAGUUACGUUGCGACAUUUGAUACACACAAAGCAUUUCUCCGGUGUCAGUGAGUUAUAUGAUCUCAUGGUCAUAGGAACAAAUACUUGACACACAGAAAACAGUAUUAACAAAAUGACACGAUCAACAUGCUACGUCUAUUAGUUUGGGUCUAGUCCAUCACAUGAUUCUCCUAAUGAUGUGAUCCCAUUAUCAAGUAACAACACUUGCCUAUGGCCAGGAAACCUUGGCCAUCUUUGAUCAACGAGCUAGUCAACUAGAGGCUUACUAGGGACAGUGUUUUGUCUAUGUAUCCACACAAGUAUUGUGUUUCCAAUCAAUACAAUUAUAGCAUGGAUAAUAAACGAUUAUCAUGAACAAAUAAAUAUAAUAAUAACUAAUUUAUUAUUGCCUCUAGGGCAUAUUUCCAACAGUCUCCCACUUGCACUAGAGUCAAUAAUCUAGUUCACAUCACCAUCUGGUUCCAACGAAUCCAACACCCAUAUAGUUAUGGGGUCUAAUCACGUCUUGCUCAUGAGAGAGGUUUUAGUCAACGGUUCUAAAAAAUUUCAGAUCCGUGUGUUUGUUACAAAUUUUUAUGUCAUCUUAUAGAUGUUGCUACUAUGUGCUAUUCGGAAAUACUCCAAAUAUCUACUCUACUAUACGAAUCUGUUUUACUACUCAUAGUUAUUCGGAUUAGUGUCAAAGCUUACAUCGACGUAACCCUUUACGACGAACUCUUUAACCACCUCCAUAAUCGAGAAAAACUCCUUAGUCCAUAAGUUACUAAGGAUAAAUUUUGACCGCUGCUAGUGAUUCAAUCAUGGAUCACUCUCUGUACCUCUCAACAGACUUGCUGCAAGGCACACAUCAGGUGCGGUACUCAGCAUGGCAUACUUUAGAGUCUACGGCUAAGGCAUAGAAGACGACCUUCGUCUAUUCUCUUUAUUCUGCCGUGGUCGGGUUUUGAGUUUUACUCAAAUUCACACCUUACAACGCAACCAAGAACUCCUUCUUUGCUGAUCCAUUUUGAACUCUUUCAAAAACUUGUCAAGGCAUGCAUCUUGUUGAAACUUCCAUUAAGCGCUUUCGAUCUAUCUCCAUAGAUCUUUGAUGCUCAACGUUCAAGUAGCGCAAUCCAGGUAUUCCUUUGAAAACUCCUUUCAAACAACCUUGUAUGCUUUACAGAAAUUCUACAUUACUUCUGAUCCACAAUAUGUCAACCACAUAUACUUAUCAGAAAUUCUAUAGUGCUCCCACUCACUUCUUUGGAAAUACAAGUUUCUCAUAAACCUUGCACAAACCCAAAAUCUUUGAUCAUCUCAUCAAAGUGUAUAUUCCAACUCCGAGAUGCAUGCACCAGUCCAAUGAAGGAUCGCUGGAGCUUGCAUACUUGCUAGUAUCUUUAGGAUCGAAAAAACCUCCUGGUUGUAUCACAUACAAUGUUUGCUCAAGGAAACCGUCGAGGAAACAAUGUUUUGACAUCCUACAUGCAAUAUUUCAUAAAUAAUGCAGCAACUACUAACAUAAUUCUAACAGACUUUUAGCAUCGCUACGAGUGAGAAAGUCUCAUCAUAGUCAACUGUUUGAUCUUGUCGGAAACAUGUUUGCGACAAGUCGAGCUUUUCUUAAUAGUGACUUAUCACUAUCAUCGUCUGUCUUCCUUUUAAAGAACCAUCUUUACUCAAUAGUCCUAUGACCAUCAAGUAGUUCUUCCAAAGUCUACACUUUGUUUUCAUACAUGGAUCCUCUCUCGGAUUUCAUGGCUUCCAGCCAUUUUUCGGAAUCUGGGCCCACCAUUGCUUUCUCCAUAACACGUAGGUUCACUGUUGCUCAACAACAUGACUUCCAAGACAGGGUUACCGUACCACUCUGUAGUAGUACGCGACCUUGUCAACCUACGAGGCUUGUAGUAAUUUAAUCCGAUGCUUGAUGAUCACCAUCAUCAGCUUUCACUUCAAUUGGUGUAGGCGCCACAGGAACAACUUCUUGCGCCCUGCUACACACUGGUCUAAGUAAUGGUUCAAUAACCUCAUCAAGUUCUACCACCCUCCCACUCAAUUCUUUCGAGAGAAACCUUUCCUCGAGAAAGGAUCCGUUUCUAGAAACAAACACUUUGCUUUCGGAUCUGAGAUAGGAGAUGUACCCAACUGUUUUGGAUAUCCUAUGAAGAUGCAUUUAUCCGCUUUGGGUUCGAGCUUAUCAGACUGAAACUUUUUCACAUAAGUGUCAAAACCCCAAACUUUCAAGAAACGACAGUUUAGAUUUCUCUAAACCUCAAUCUAUACUGUUUCAUCUCAACGGAAAUACGUAGUGCCCUAUUUAAAGUGAAUGCGGUUGUCUCUAAUGCUUAACCCAUAAACGAUAGUGGUAAUUCGAUAAGAGACAUCAUAGCAUGCACCAUACCAAAUAGUGUGUAGCUAUGACGUUCAGACACAUCAUCACACUAUGAUGUUCUAGGUGGCAUGAACCGCGAAACAAUUUCCACAUUGUCUUAACUGCGUACCAAAACUCGUAACUCAGAUAUUCAUUUCUAUGAUCAUAUCUUAGAUAGUUUAUCCUCUUGUUAUGACGAACUUCACUCCAAAACAGAAUUGAACUUUUCAAUAUUUCAGACUUGUGAUUCAUUAAGAAAAUACUCUAGUAUCUACUCAAAUCGUCAUUGAAGUAAGAACAUAAUGAUAUCCACUGCGUGCCUCAGCACCCAUUGGACUGCAUACAUCAAAAUAUAUCACUUCCAACAAGUUACUAUCUUAUUUCAUCUCAAUGAAAACAAGGCCUUGCUCAUGUGGUAUGAUUUGCAUGUCACUAGUGAUUCAAAAUCAAGUGAGUAUGAAGAUCCAUCAGCAUGGAGCCUCUUCAUGCAAUUUAUACCAACAUGACUCAAGCGGCAGUGCCACAAGUAAGUGGUACUAUCGUCAUUACCUCGUAUCUUUUGGCACCAAUAUCAUGAACAUGUGUAACACUAUGAUCGAGAUUCAAUAAACCAUUGAAGGUGAUUAUUCAAGAAAAUAGAGUAACCAUUAUUCUCUUUAAAUGAAUAAUCGUAUUGCAAUAAACACGAUCCAAUCAUGUUCAUGCUUAACGCAAGCACCAAAUAACAAUUAUUUAGGUUUAACACCAAUCCCGAUGGUAGAGGGAGCGUGCGACGUUUGAUCAUAUCAACCUUGGAAACACUUCCAACACGUAUCAUCACCUCGCCUUUAGCUAGUCUUCGUUUAUGCCGUAGCUUUCAUUUCGUGUUACUAAUCACUUAGCAACCGAACCGGUAUCCAAUACCCUCAUGCUACUAGGAGUACUAGUAAAGUACACAUCAACAUCAUGUAUAUCAAAUAUACUUCUUUGGACUUUUGCCAGCCUUCUUAUCUACCAAGUACCUAGAGUUGCUCCGCCUCAAUGACUGUUCCCCUCAUUACAGAAGCACUUAGUCUCGGGUUUGGGUUUAAUCUUGGGUCUCUUCAUUAGUGCAGCAACUGUUUUGCCGUUUCACGAAGUAUCCCUUUUAGCCCUUGCCUUUCUUGAAACUUAGUGGUUUUACAAACAAUCAACUAUUGAUGCUCCUUCUUGAUUUCUACUUUCGCAGUGUCAAACAUCACGAAUCGCUCAAGGAUCAUUGUAUCUAUCCUUGAUAUGUUAUAGUUCAUCACGAAGCUCUCACAGCUUGGUGGCAGUGACUUUGGAGAACCAUCACUAUCUCAUCUGGAAGAUUAACUCCCACUUGAUUCAAGUGAUUGUCGUACUCAGACAAUCUGAGCACACGCUCAACGAUUGAGCUUUUCUCCUUUACUUUGUGGACAAAGAAUCUCGUCGGAGGUCUCGUACGUCUCAACAAGGGCACGAGCAUGAAAUCACAAUUUCAUCUCUUUAGAACAUCACUUAUGUUCCGUGACGUUUCAAAACGUCUUCGGUGCCUUGUUUCUAAGCCAUUAAGUAUUUUUCACUGAACUAUCGUGUAGUCAUCAGAAACGUGUAUGUCGGAUGUUCACAGCAUCCACAGACGACGCUCGAGGUGCAGCACACCGAGUGGUGCAUUAAGGACAUAAGCCUUCUGCGCAGCAACGAGGACACCUCUCUUCAAUAGUUUCUACUAUCAACUUUCAACUAAAUUUUCUCUAGGAACAUAUAAAAACAGUAGAGCUAUAGCGCAAGCUACAUCGUAAUUCUCAAAGACCAUUAGACUAUGUUCAUGACAAUUAGUUCAAUUAAUCAUAUUACUUAAGAACUCCCACUCAAAAAGUACAUCUCUCUAGUCAUUUGAGUGGUACAUGAUCCAAAUCCACUAUCUCAAGUCCGAUCAUCACGUGAGUCGAGAAUAGUUUCAGUGGUAAGCAUCUCUAUGCUAAUCAUAUCGACUAUACGAUUGAUGCUCAACCUUUCGGUCUCAUGUGUUCCGAGGCCAUGUCUGCACAUGCUAGGCUUGUCAAGCUUAACCCGAGUGUUCUGCGUGUCCAACUGUUUUGCACCCGUUGUAUGUGAACGUUGAGUCUAUCACACCCGAUCAUCACGUGGUGUCUCGAAACGAAGAACUGUCGCAACGGUGCACAGUCGGGGAGAACACAAUUUCGUCUUGAAAUUUUAGUGAGAGAUCACCUCAUAAUUCUACCGUCGUUCUAAGCAAGAUAAGGUGCAAAAAAGGAUUAACAUCACAUGCAAUUCAUAAGUGACAUGAUAUGGCCAUCAUCAUGCGCUUCUUGAUCUCCAUCACCAAAGCACCGGCACGAUCUUCUUGUCACCGGCGCCACACCAUGAUCUCCAUCAAUGUGUCGCCAUCGGGGUUGUCGUGCUACUCAUGCUAUUACUACUAAAGCUACGUCCUAGAAAAAUAGUAAACGCAUCUGCAAGCACAAACAUUAGUAUAAAGACAACCCUAUGGCUCCUGCCGGUUGUCGUACCAUCGACGUGCAAGUCGAUAUUAACUAUUACAACAUGAUCAUCUCGUACAUCCAAUAUAUCACAUCACAUCGUUGGCCAUAUCACAUCACAAGCAUACCCUGCAAACACAAGUUAGACGUCCUUUAAUUUUGUUGUUGCAUGUUUUACGUGGUGACCAUGGGUAUCUAGUAGGAUCGCAUCUUACUUACGUAAACACCACAACGCAGAUAUAUGAAUUGUUAUUUAACCUCAUCCAAGGACCUCCUCGGUCAAUUCCGAUUCAACUAAAGUUGGAGAAACUGACACCCGCCAGUCAUCUUUGAGCAACGAAGUUACUCGUAGCGAUGAAACCAGUCUCUCGUAAGCGUACGAGUAAUGUCGGUCCGAGCCGCUUCGAUCCAACAAUACCGCGGAAUCAAGAAAGGACUAAGGAGGGCAGCAAAACGCACAUCACCACCCACAAAAACUUUUGUGUUCUACUCGAGAAGACAUCUACGCAUGAACCUAGCUCUGAUACCACUGUUGGGGAACGUCGCAUGGGAAACAAAAUUUUCCUACGCGCACGAAGACCUAUCAUGGUGAUGUCCAUCUACGAGAGGGGAUGUGUGAUCUACGUACCCUUUGUAGACCGUACAGCAGAAGCGUUAGUGAACGCGGUUGAUGUAGUGGAACGUCCUCACGUCCCUCGAUCCGCCCCGCGAACCGUCCCGCGAUCAGUCCCACGAUCUAGUGCCGAACGGACGGCACCUCCGCGUUCAGCACACGUACAGCUCGACGAUGAUCUCGGCCUUCUUGAUCCAGCAAGAGAGACGGAGAGUUAGAAGAGUUCUCCGGCAGCGUGACGGCGCUCCGGAGGUUGAUGAUGAUCUUGUCUCAGCAGGGCUCCGCCCGAGCUCCGCAGAAACGCGAUCUAGAGGAAAAACCGUGGAGGUAUGUGGUCGGGCUGCCGUGGAAAAGUCGUCCCAAAUCAGCCCUAAAACCUCCGUAUAUAUAGGGGGAAGAGGGGGAGCCUUGCCUUGGGGUCCAAGGACCCCUAAGGACUUCGGCCGAGCCAAGGGGGGAAGGUCUCCCCUUGCAAACCGAAUCCAACUUGGUUUGGAAGGUGGAGUCCUUCUUCCCUUUCCCACCUCCUCCUUUUUUUUCUUUUCUCUUUGAUUUUCUUCCUAUGGCGCAUAGGGCCUUCUUGGGCUGUCCCACCAGCCCACUAAGAGCUGGUGCGCCACCCCCAAGGCCUAUGGGCUUCCCCGGGGUGGGUUGCCCCUCCCUCCCCCCCCCGCGCCCCCCCCACCCCGCCCCCGCCCCCCCCUCAAAUGAGGUCAUCCUGUAUAUCAAUCUUCGUUUCCGGACUAUUCCGGAAACCCUCGUGACGUUCGUGAUCUCAUCCGAGACUCCGAACAACAUUCGGUAACCAACCAUAUAACUCAAAUACGCAUAAAACAACGUCGAACCUUAAGUGUGCAGACCCUGCGGGUUCGAGAACUAUGUAGACAUGACCCGAGAGACUCCUCGGUCAAUAUCCAAUAGCGGGACCUGGAUGCCCAUAUUGGAUCCUACAUAUUCUACGAAGAUCUUAUCGUUUGAACCUCAGUGCCAAGGAUUCAUAUAAUCCCGUAUGUCAUUCCUUUUGUCCUUCGGUAUGUUACUUGCCCGAGAUUCGAUCGUCACUAUCCGCAUACCUAUUUCAGUCUCGUUUACCGGCAACUCUCUUUACUCGUUCCGUAAUACAAGAUCCCGCAACUUACACUAAGUCACAUUGCUUGCAAGGCUUGUGUGUGAUGUUGUAUUACCGAGUGGGCCCCGAGAUACCUCUCCGUCACACGGAGUGACAAAUCCCAGUCUCGAUCCAUACUAACUCAACUAACACCUUCGGAGAUACCUGUAGAGCAUCUUUAUAGUCACCCAGUUACGUUGCGACGUUUGAUACACACAAAGCAUUCCUCCGGUGUCAGUGAGUUAUAUGAUCUCAUGGUCAUAGGAACAAAUACUUGACACGCAGAAAACAGUAUUAACAAAAUGACACGAUCAACAUGCUACGUCUAUUAGUUUGGGUCUAGUCCAUCACAUGAUUCUCCUAAUGAUGUGAUCCCGUUAUCAAGUAACAACACUUGCCUAUGGCCAGGAAACCUUGGCCAUCUUUGAUCAACGAGCUAGUCAACUAGAGGCUUACUAGGGACAGUGUUUUGUCUAUGUAUCCACACAAGUAUUGUGUUUCCAAUCAAUACAAUUAUAGCAUGGAUAAUAAAUGAUUAUCACGAACAAAGAAAUAUAAUAAUAACUAAUUUAUUAUUGCCUCUAGGGCAUAUUUCCAACAUCAACCACACCUGAAAGAUUAGUAUCUGCAAGCAAAGUAUCGGUAGCAAAGUGGUAUGAUAGCAACGGUGCCAGAAAAAGGGCUGUUGACGGCAGACUAUUCCUAACUUGUUGAAUCAAUGGCGCCAGAAAAUUCUUGCAGCAGGUAACAGCAAAGUAGCAAGUAACAGCAGUAGUGACAGCAGCAGCAAGUAACAGCAGUAGUGACAGCAGCAGCAAGGAACAGCAGUAGCAAUAGAGUAACAGUAGCAGCAAUGACAGCAGUGAAAGACUCGAAGGCAUUGGAUCGGUGAUGGAUGAUUAUGUCGGAUGUGAUUCAUCAUGUAACAGCAAUAACACGGAGAGAUGUGUAGCUAGCUCCCAUUCGUCAAUCUAAUGUAGGCAUGUAGUCCGUAUGUAGUCAUACGUGCUUAGGGAAAAGAACUUACAUGACAUCUAUUGUCCAUCCCUGCCGUGGCAGUGGGGUCCUAAUGGAAACUACGGGAUAUUAAGGUUCUCCUUUUAAUAAAGAACCGGACCAACGCAUUAACACUUGGUGAAUACAUGAACUCCUCAUACUAUGGUCAUCUCCGGGAGUGGUUCCGGCUAUUGUCACUCCGGGGUUGCCGGGUCAUAACACAUAGUAGGUGACUACAACUUGCUAGAUAGGAUCUAAAACACACAUAUAUUGGCGACAACAUAAUAGGUUCAGAUCUGAAAUCAUGGCACUCGGGCCCUAGUGACAAGCAUUAAGCAUGCCAAAGUAGUAGCAACAUCAAUCUCACAACAUAGUGGAUACUACGGAUCAAUCCCCGUCAAAACUAACUCGAUUACAUGAUAGCUCUCAUCCAACUCAUCACCGUCCAGCAAGCCUACGACGAGAUUACUCACGAACGGUGAAGAGCAUCAGGGAAUUGGUGAUGGAGGAAGGUUGAUGAUGACAAUGGCGACAAUUUCCCCUCUCAGGAGCCCGGAACAGACUCCAGAUCUGCCCUCCAGAUGAAGAACAGGAGGUGGUGGCGCCUCCUUAUCGUUAAACGCGAUGAAUCCUUCUCUCUGAUUUUUUUUCGGGCGAAACGGAAUAAAUAGAGCUGAGUUUGGAGCCGGUGGCGCCACGUGGGCCCCACAAGCCUGGUUGGUGCGGCCUGGGGAGUGGUCGCGCCUCCUGGGCUUGUGGCCCACUCGCUCACCUAAUCCGGUGGAUCUUUGCGCAGGUAUUUUUCAUUUAUUCCAUAAAAAUUCUUCGUAAAUUAUCAGGUCAUUCCGAGAAUUUAAUUUGUGCACAAAAACAACACCAUGGCAAUUCUGCUAAAAACAGCGUUAGUCUAGGUUAGUUCCAUUCAAAUCAUGCAAAUUAGAGUCCAAAACAAGGGCAAAAGAGUUCGGAAAAGUAGAUACAACGGAGGCGUAUCAACUCCCACAAUCUUAAAGCCUUGCUUAUCCUCAAGCAAUUCAGUUGACAAACUGAAAGAGACAAAAGAAAAACUUUGACGAACUCCUAGUGUACUAAUAAAAACUUUCGCAACAAGUAUGUGAGUUCUUCAUGACUAAUGUGAGUCCAUGGUAUAGAUGCACUUUCACCUUCCACCAUUGCUAGCCUCUCUAGUGCCGCACAAUUCUCGCCGGUGCACAAACCCACCAUAUGCCUUUCCUCGAAACAUCCAUCAUACCUACCUACUAUGGCAUUUUCAUAGCCAUUCCGAGAUAUAUUGCCAUGCAACUCGCACCGUUCCGUCUCAUGACUUGUGCCGUCACUCUCAUAUUGCCAUUGCAUGAUCGUAAGAUAGCUAGCGAGAUGUUUCAACAUCAUACUCCAUGCUAGAUCAUUGCACAUCCCGAUACACUGCUGGAGGCAUUUCCUAUAGAGUCAUCAUCAUUUUGAGUUGUGAGUAAAUAAAAGUGUGAUGAUCAUCAUUAUUAGAGCAUUGUCCCAUGUGAGGAAAUAAAAAAAGAGGCCAAAGAGCCCAAAAACAAAAAAGGGAGAAAAUAAAAGAAAAGAAAAAAAAAGAGGCCUAAGAGCCCCCAAAAAAAAGAGAAGAGAGAGAAAAAGAGAGAAGGGACAAUGCUACUAUCUUUUUCAACACUUGUGCUUCAUAAUAGCACCAUGUUCUUCAUGAUUGAGAGCUUCUUGCUUUGUCACUACCAUAUGCUAGUGGGAAUCUUUAUUAUAUAACUUGGCUUGUAUAUUCCAAUGAUGGGUUUCCUCAAAAUUGCCCUAGGUCUUCCUGAGCAAGCAAGUUGCAUGCACACCCACUAGUUCUACUUUUGAGCUUUCAUAUACUUAUAGCUCUAGUGCAUCUCUUGUAUGGCAAUCCCUACUCAUUCACAUUGAUAUCUAUUAAUGGGCAUCUCCAUAGCCUUUUUAAUACACCGAGUCAAUGUGACCAUCUCCUCCUUUUUGUCUCACAACCACCACCAAACUCUAGUCCACCUAUAGUGCUAUAUCCAUGGCUCACGCUCAUGUAUUGCGUGAUAGUUAUAAAAAGUUUGAGAAAGUAAGAGUGCGAAAACAAUUACUUGCCAAUACCAGGGUUGUGCAUGAUUUACAUUAGUUGUGUGAGGAUUAUGGAGCAUAGCCAGACUAUAUGAUUUUGUAGGGAUAACUUUCUUUGGCCUUGUUAUUUCAAAAGUUUAUGAUUACCUUGCUAGUUUGCUUGAAGUAUUAUUCUUUUCAUGUCAAUAGAAAACUAUUGCUUUGAAUCUUACGGAUCUGAACAUUCAUGUCACAUAAGAGAAGUUACAAAGGACAACUAUGCUAGGUAGCAUUCCACAUCAAAAAUCCAUUCUUUAUCACUUCCCUACUCGAGGACGAGCAGGAGUUAAGCUUGGGGAUGCUUGAUACGUCUCCGACAUAUCUAUAAUUUUUGAUGGUUUCAUGCUAUUAUCUUGUCAAACUUUGGAUGUUAUGCAUACCUUUUAUAUAUUUUUUGUGACUAACUUAUUAACUCAGUGCCAAGUGCCAGUUCCUGUUUUUUCCAUGUUUUCGACCCCUUUGAGAGGAGAUUUUGAAACGGAGUCCAAACUGAAGAAAAUCCCCGAAAAGAUUUUUUCUGGAAAAUAUCAAAAAUAUCGGAAGAAAAAGAUACCGGAGAAGAGUCCCGAGGAAGCCACAAGCCUGGGGGGCGCCCCACCCCCCUGGCCGCGCCCCAAGGGCUUGUGACCUCCUCGUGUAUCCCCCUGACUUGUUCUCGAUGCCAUCUCGUCUUAUAAAUAGGGAAACCUCCAAAAAGAAACCUAGAUUGGGAGUUCCGCCACUGCAAGCCUGUGUAGCCACCAAAAACCAGUCUGGAGCCCGUUCCGGCACCCUGCCGAAGGGGGGAUCCAUCUCCGGUGGCCAUCUUCGUCAUCCCGGCGAUCUCCAUGAUGAGGAGGGAGUAGUUCUCCCUCGGGGCUGAGGGUAUGUACCAGUAGCUAUGUGUUUGAUCUCUCUCUCUCUCUCUCUCUCGUGUUCUUGAGAUGUCUUGAUCUCGAUGUACCAUGGGCUUUGAUACUAUAGUUGGAUCUUAUGAUGUUCUUCCCCCUCUCCCUUCUUGUAAUGAAUUGAGUUUCCCCUUUGAAGUUAUCUUAUCGUAUUGAGUCUUUGAGAACACUUGAUAUAUGUCUUGCACGUGUCUAUCUGCUGUGAUCAACUUGCGGGUUUGUGACAUUGGGAACCUAUGCAUAUGGGUUGGCACACGUGGAUUCAUGUGUGUACUCGAUGUAUGUUUUGGUGAUCAACUUGCGGGUUCGUGACAUUGGGAACCUAUGCAUAGGGGUUGGCACACGUUUUGACUCUCCGGUAGAAACUUUGGGCACUCUUUGAAGUUCUAUGUGUUGGUUGAAUAGAUGAUUCUGAGAUUUUGUGAUGCAUAUCGUAUAAUCAUGCCCACGGAUACUUGAGGUGACAAUGGAGUAUCUAGGUGACAUUAGGGUCUUGGUUGAUAUGUAUCUUAAGGUGUUAUUCUAGUACGAACUCUUGAAUAGAUUGUUCAGAAAGAAUAAUCUUGUGGUGGUUUCUGUUGGAAUUAUGCCCUAGAGGCAAUAAUAAAUAUAGUUAUUAUUAUAAUUCCUGUAUCAAGAUAAUCGUUUAUUAUCCAUGCUAUAAUUGUAUUGAAUGAAGACUUAUAUACAUGUGUGGAUACAUAGACAAAACACUACCCCUAGCAAGCCUCUAGUUGGCUAGCCAGUUGAUCAAAGAUAGUUAGGGUCUUCUGAUUAUAUACAAGGUGUUGUUGCUUGAUAACUGGAUCACGUCAUUAGAAGAAUCACGUGAUGGACUAGACCGAAACUGAUAGACGUAGCAUGUUGAUCGUGUCAUUGUGUUGCUACUAUUUUCUGCGUGUCAAGUAUUUGUUCCUAUGACCAUGAGAUCGUAUAACUCACUGACACCAGAGGAAUGCUUUAUGUGUAUCAAACGUCGCAACGUAACUGGGUGACUAUAAAGAUGCUCUACAGGUAUCUCCGAAGGUGUUCGUUGAGUUAGUAUGGAUCGAGACUGGGAUUUGUCACUCCUUGUGAUGGAGAGGUAUCUCGGGGCCCACUCAGUAAUACAACAUCACACACAAGCCUUGCAAGCAAUGUGACUUAGUGUAAGUUGUGGGAUCUUGUAUUACAGAACGAGUAAAGAGACUUGCGGUAAACGAGAUUCAAAUAGGUAUGCGGAUACUGACGAUCGAAUCUUGGGCAAGUAACAUACCGAAGGACAAAGGGAAUGACAUACGGGAUUAUAUGAAUCCUUGGCACUGAGGUUCAAACGAUAAGAUCUUCGUAGAAUAUGUGGGAUCCAAUAUGGGCAUCCAGGUCCCGCUAUUGGAUAUUGACCGAGGAGUCUCUCGGGUCAUGUCUACAUAGUUCUCGAACCCGCAGGGUCUGCACACUUAAGGUUCGACGUUGUUUUAUGCGUAUUUGAGUUAUAUGGUUGGUUACCGAAUGUUGUUCGGAGUCCCGGAUGAGAUCACAGACGUCACGAGGGUUUCCGGAAUGGUACGGAAAUAAAGAUUGAUAUAUAUAUGAUGACCUCAUUUGAUUACCGGAAGGUUUUCGGAGUUACCGGGAAUGUACCGGGAAUGACGAAUGGGUUCUGGGUGUUCAUCGGGGGGGGGGGGCAACCCACCCCGGGGAAGCCCAUAGGCCUUGGGGGUGGCGCNNNNNNNNNNNNNNNNNNNNNNNNNNNNNNNNNNNNNNNNNNNNNNNNNNNNNNNNNNNNNNNNNNNNNNNNNNNNNNNNNNNNNNNNNNNNNNNNNNNNGGGUACUCAAACCGUCUAGCUGAGCUGGGGAUUGAACUCCCGCAAGAGGCUAUCACUGACAGAAUUCUUCAAUCACUGCCGCCAAGCUAUAAGGGCUUUGUGUUGAACUACAACAUGCAAGGGAUGAACAAGUCACCCGGCAAGUUGUUUGCGAUGCUGAAAGUCGCAGAGUCUGAACUCCGUAAAGAGCAUCAAGUGUUGAUGGUGAAUAAGACCACUAGUUUCAAGAGAAACGACAAAGGCAAGAAGGGCAAUUCAAAGAAGAGCGGCAAGCCUGUUGCCAAUCCGAUGAAGAAACCAAAAGCUGGACCUAAGCCUGAAACAGAGUGCUACUAUUGCAAGGGUAUGGGUCACUGGAAGCGCAACUGCCCCAAGUAUCUGGCUGAUAAGAAGGCGGCCAAAGAAAAAUCAGGUAUAUUUGAUAUACAUGUUAUUGAUGUGUACUUAACCGGCUCUCGUAGUAGUGCCUGGGUAUUCGAUACCGGUUCUGUUGCUCAUAUUUGCAACUCGAAACAGGAACCGCGGAAUAGGCGAAGGCUGGCGAAAGAUGAAGUGACGAUGCGCAUAGGAAAUGGUUCCAAGGUUGAUGCAAUCACCGUCGGCACAGUUUCACUUCAGUUACCAUCGAGAUUAGUUAUGAACUUGAAUAAUUGUUAUUUAGUGCCUGCAUUGAGCAUGACCAUUAUAUCUGGAUCUUGUUUAUUGCGAGACGGUUACUCUUUUAAGUCAGAGAAUAAUGGUUGUUCUAUUUCUAUGAGUAACAUCUUUUAUGGUCAUGCACCCAAUGUGAGAGGAUUGUUCAUAUUGAAUUUUGAUAGUGAUACACAUAUACAUAACAUUGAGACCAAAAGAGUUAGAGUUAACAAUGAUAGUGCCAUAUUUUUGUGGCACUGCCGCUUAGGUCAUAUUGGUGUAAAGCGCAUGAAGAAACUCCAUACCGAUGGACUUUUGGAGUCACUUGACUUUGAUUCACUUGACACGUGCGAACCAUGCCUCAUGGGAAAGAUGACUAAAACUCCGUUCUCCGGAACAAUGGAGCGUGCCAGUGACUUAUUGGAAAUCAUACAUACCGAUGUGUGCGGUCCGAUGAGCGUGGAGGCACGCGGCGGAUAUCGUUAUUUUCUCACCUUCACUGACGAUUUAAGUCGAUAUGGUUAUGUCUACUUGAUGAAGCACAAGUCUGAAACAUUUGAAAAGUUCAAGCAAUUUCAGAGUGAAGUNNNNNNNNNNNNNNNNNNNNNNNNNNNNNNNNNNNNNNNNNNNNNNNNNNNNNNNNNNNNNNNNNNNNNNNNNNNNNNNNNNNNNNNNNNNNNNNNNNNNAUACCUAGAAAACUUCAUGAUGAGUGGGAACCUACUAUCAAAAUCAAAAUCAAAAACUACAAAUGCAAUGCUUUGUGUGAUUUGGGUGCUAGUGUUUCCGCAAUUCCAAAGUCUUUAUGUGAUAUUCUUGGUUUUCAUGAGAUUGAAGAGUGUUCUCUUAAUUUGCAUCUUGCGGAUUCUACUGGCAAGAAACCCAUGGGGAGGAUCGAUGAUGUUCUUAUUGUUGCAAAUAAGAACUAUGUACCCGUGGAUUUCAUUGUACUUGACAUAGAUUGCAAUCCUUCAUGUCCCAUUAUUCUUGGUGGACCUUUCCUAAGGACUAUUAGUGCUAUCAUCGAUAUGAAGGAAGGGAAUAUUAGAUUUCAAUUUCCUUUAAAGAAGGGCAUGGAGCACUUUCCUAGAAAGAAAAUAAGAUUGCCUUAUGAAUCUAUGAUGAGGGCUACUUAUGGUUUGAGCACCAAAGAUGACUAUACGUGAUUCCAUCACCUUUUGCCUACCUAAGGGCGUUAAACAAUAGCGCUUGUUGGGAGCCAACCCAACGAAUCUAUCCUUUUUCUUUCUGUUUUGUGUUUUCCACACUUUCAUAAUUCUUUUAUCAUUGUGUUUUUUGUGUUUCUUUUUGCGUUUGUGCCAAAUAAAACCGUUAUGAUUAGUCUUGGGGAUGAUCGUUUGGUCAUGCUGGAAAAGACAGAGACUUUCUACUCACGAAAAGAAUUUUCCUUUUUUUCUGUAAUAGCUUUUGAGUUGAUUCUUUUUUCUGUUGAUUCCUACGCAAAUUCUUCACAUUGUCGUAAUUUUUCAGAAUUUUUGAAGUAUCAUAAGUAUACGAAGUAUACAGAUUACUACAGACUGGUCUGCUGUUAACAAAUUAUGUUUUUGUUGAGUUGGUUGCUUAUUUUGAUGAAACUAUGGAUAGUAUCAGGGGGUAUUAGCCAUGGAAGAUUGAAAAUACAGUAACCCAACAUCAAGAUAAGUAGAAUUUAAGUUUUCUACAGUACCUAAGGAAGUGGUGGUUUGCUUUCUUAUACUAAUGAUAUCACGAGUUUCCGUUUAAGUUUCGUGUUGUGAAGUUUUCAAGUUUUGGGUGAAGUUCUUAUGGACAAAGAGAUAAAGAGCGGCAAGAGCUCAAGCUUGGGGCUGCCCAAGGCACCCCAAGUUUAUUCAAGGAUGUCAUAAAAGCCUAAGAUUGGGGAUGCCUUCUUACUUGGGGCUAUAUUUUUAUUCACCACAUGUUAUGUGUUUUGCUUGGAGCGUCUUGUAUUGUAGGAGUCUUUUAUUUUUGUUGUGUCACAAUCUUCCUUGCUGCACACCUAGAGAGAGAGGCAUGCACUCACCGUGAUUUUGUCGAGCUUCACCUAUAUCCUUUGGUUAGACAAUUCAGCUCACAUGUGCUUCACUUAUAUCUUUUGAGCUAGUUGAUUUUGCUCUAUGUGCUUCACUUAUAUCUUUUAGAGCACGGAAGCGUGUGGCUUGGUAGUUGAUCUAUGCUAUGAUAGUAGUCUCAAAAGGGGUAGUUAUCCAAAGGGAUAUUAAAAUUUCCACCUUCAUGUGCAUUGAAUAGUUAGAGAAGUUUGAUUCCUCUCAAUUAGUUUUGAGUUGUGGUUGUGGUAAUAUUUAAGUCAUGUUAGUAUGGUGUUGUGCAUCUAGAAAUACUUGUGUUGAAGUUAGUGAUUCCCAUAGCAUGCACGUAUGGUGAACCGCUAUGUGAUGAACUCUGAGCAUGAUUAGUCUAUUGAUUGUCAUCCUUUGUGUGGCGGUCAGGAUCGCGCGAUGGUUUAUACCUACCAACCCUUCCCCUAGGAGUAUGCGUUGAAUGCUUUGUUUCGGUUACUACUAAAACUUUUGCAACAAGUAUAUGAGUUCUUCAUGACUAAUGUUGAGUCCAUGGUUUAGAUGCACUUUCACCUUCCACCAUCACUAUCUUCUUUAGUGCCAUGGAACUUUCGCCGGUGCACAAAACCCACCGUUAGAAUCCCUCAAAAUAGCCACCAUACCUACCUACUAUGGCUUUUUCAAAGCUAUUCCGAGAUAUAUUGCCAUGCAACUACCACCAUGACAUGUGCCACAGCUUCUACAUUGACAUUGCAUGAUUGUAAGAUAGCUAGCAUGAUGUUUCCAUUAAUGUCUAUGCCAUGCUAGAUCAUUGUCACGGUACACUACCGAAGGCAUUCCAUAUAGAGUCAUCAUUGCUCUAAGUUUUGAGUUGUAAGUGUGAUGAUCAUCAUUGAUGGAGCAUUGUCCCAUGUGAAUAAAUAAAAGAGGCCAAAGAUGCCCAUCAAUAUAUAUAUAUAUAUAUANNNNNNNNNNNNNNNNNNNNNNNNNNNNNNNNNNNNNNNNNNNNNNNNNNNNNNNNNNNNNNNNNNNNNNNNNNNNNNNNNNNNNNNNNNNNNNNNNNNNUUCGAUUAUGAAAUCUGGCAAAUGGAUGUCAAAACGGCGUUCCUUAAGGAAGAGUUGUAUAUGAUACAACCCGAAGGUUUUGUCGAUCCUAAGAAUGCUAACAAGGUGUGCAAGCUCCAGCGAUCCAUUUAUGGACUGGUGCAAGCAUCUUGGAGUUGGAACAAACGCUUUGAUGAGGUGAUCAAAGCAUUUGGGUUUAUACAAGUGGUUGGAGAAUCUUGUAUUUACAAGAAAGUGAGUGGGAGCUCUGUGGCGUUUCUAAUAUUAUAUGUAGAUGACAUAUUGCUGAUUGGAAACAAUGUAGAGUUUUUGGAGAGCAUAAAGGAUUACUUGAAUAAAAGUUUCUAUUUUGGAGAGCAUAAAAGGUUACUUGAAUAAAAGUUUCUCUAUGAAGGACCUAGGAGAAGCUGCUUACAUUCUAGGCAUUAAGAUCUAUAGGGAUAGAUCAAAACGCUUGAUAGGACCUCCACAAAGCACAUACCUUGACAAAGUUUUGAAGAGGUUUAAAAUGGAACAAUCCAAGAAAGGGUUCUUGCCAGUUCUACAAGGUACGAGAUUGAGUAAGACUCAGUGCCCAGCAACUGAUGAAGAUAGAGAGCAUAUGCGCUCCGUCCCCUAUGCUUCAGCCAUAGGUUCUAUCAUGUAUGCGAUGCUGUGCACUAGACCGGAUGUUAGCCUGGCCAUAAGUAUGGCAGGUAGGUUCCAGAGUAAUCCAGGAGUGGAUCACUGGAUGGCGGUCAAGAAUAUCCUGAAGUACCUGAAAAGGACUAAGGAGAUGUUUCUCGUGUAUGGAGGUGACGAAGAGCUCGCCGUAAAAGGUUACGUCGAUGCAAGCUUUGACACAGAUCCGGACGACUCUAAGUCGCAAACCGGAUACAUAUUUAUUCUUAAUGGGGGUGCGGUAAGCUGGUGUAGUUCCAAGCAAAGCGUCGUAGCAGAUUCUACAUGUGAAGCGGAGUACAUGGCUACCUCGGAGGCGGCUAAGGAGGGUGUCUGGAUGAAGCAGUUCAUGAGGAUCUUGGAGUGGUGCCAAGCGCAUUGAAUCCAAUAACCUUGUUUUGUGAUAACACGGGUGCCAUUACCUUAGCAAAGGAACCACGGUUUCACAAGAAGACCAGACACAUCAAANNNNNNNNNNNNNNNNNNNNNNNNNNNNNNNNNNNNNNNNNNNNNNNNNNNNNNNNNNNNNNNNNNNNNNNNNNNNNNNNNNNNNNNNNNNNNNNNNNNNNNNNNNNNNNNNNNNNNNNNNNNNNNNNNNNNNNNNNNNNNNNNNNNNNNNNNNNNNNNNNNNNNNNNNNNNNNNNNNNNNNNNNNNNNNNNNNNNNNNNNNNNNNNNNNNNNNNNNNNNNNNNNNNNNNNNNNNNNNNNNNNNNNNNNNNNNNNNNNNNNNNNNNNNNNNNNNNNNNNNNNNNNNNNNNNNNNNNNNNNNNNNNNNNNNNNNNNNNNNNNNNNNNNNNNNNNNNNNNNNNNNNNNNNNNNNNNNNNNNNNNNNNNNNNNNNNNNNNNNNNNNNNNNNNNNNNNNNNNNNNNNNNNNNNNNNNNNNNNNNNNNNNNNNNNNNNNNNNNNNNNNNNNNNNNNNNNNNNNNNNNNNNNNNNNNNNNNNNNNNNNNNNNNNNNNNNNNNNNNNNNNNNNNNNNNNNNNNNNNNNNNNNNNNNNNNNNNNNNNNNNNNNNNNNNNNNNNNNNNNNNNNNNNNNNNNNNNNNNNNNNNNNNNNNNNNNNNNNNNNNNNNNNNNNNNNNNNNNNNNNNNNNNNNNNNNNNNNNNNNNNNNNNNNNNNNNNNNNNNNNNNNNNNNNNNNNNUUCCUAUGACCAUGAGAUCAUAUAACUCACUGACACCGGAGGAAUGCUUUGUGUGUAUCAAACGUCGCAACGUAACUGGGUGACUCUAAAGAUGCUCUACAGGUAUCUCCGAAGGUGUUAGUUGAGUUAGUAUGGAUCAAGACUGGGAUUUGUCACUCCGUGUGACGGAGAGGUAUCUCGGGGCCCACUCGGUAAUACAACAUCACACACAAGCCUUGCAAGCAAUGUAACUUAGUGUAAGUUGCGGGAUCUUGUAUUACGGAACGAGUUAAAGAGACUUGCCAGUAAACGAGAUUGAAAUAGGUAUGCAGAUACUGACGAUCGAAUCUUGGGCAAGUAACAUACCGAAGGACAAAGGGAAUGACAUACGGGAUUAUAUGAAUCCUUGGCACUGAGGUUCAAACGAUAAGAUCUUCGUAGAAUAUGUAGGAUCCAAUAUGGGCAUCCAGGUCCCGCUAUUGGAUAUUGACCGAGGAGUCUCUCGGGUCAUGUCUACAUAGUUCUCGAACCCGCAGGGUCUGCACACUUAAGGUUCGACGUUGUUUUAUGCGUAUUUGAGUUAUAUGGUUGGUUACCGAAUGUUGUUCGGAAUCCCGGAUGAGAUCACAGACGUCACGAGGGUUUCCGGAAUAGUCCGGAAACGAAGAUUGAUAUAUAGGAUGACCUCAUUUGAUUACCGGAAGGUUUUCGGAGUUACCGGGAAUGUACCGGGAAUGACGAAUGGGUUCCGGGAGUUCACCGGGGGGGGGGCAACCCACCCCGGGGAAGCCCAUAGGCCAUAAGGGUGGCGCACCAGCCCUUAGUGAGCUGGUGGGACAGCCCAAAAGGGCCCUAUGCGCCAUAGAGAUAAAAAUCAAAGAGAAAGAAAAAAAAGGGAGGUGGGAAGGAAGGGAAGGACUCCCACCCACCAAACCAAGUCCAACUCAGUUUGGGGGGGGGGAGCCUUCCCCCCUUGGACUCGGCCGACCCCCUUGGGGCUCCUUGAGCCCCAAGGCAAGGUCCCCUCCCUCCCAACUAUAUAUACAGAGGUUUUAGGGCUGAUUUGAGACGACUUUCCCACGGCAGCCCGACCACAUACCUCCACGGUUUUUCCUCUAGAUCGCGUUUCUGCGGAGCUCGGGCGGAGCCCUGUUGAGACAAGGUCAUCACCAACCUCCGUAGCGCCGUCACGCUGCCGGAGAACUCUUCUACCUCUCCGUCUCUCUUGGUGGAUCAAGAAGGCCGAGAUCAUCGUCGAGCUGUACGUGUGCUGAACGCGGAGGUGCCGUCCGUUCGGUACUAGAUCGUGGGACUGAUCGCGGGAUUGUUCGCGGGGCGGAUCGAGGGACGUGAGGACGUUCCACUACAUCAACCGCAUUCACUAACGCUUCUGCUGUACGAUCUACAAGGGUACGUAGAUCACUCAUCCCCUCUCGUCGAUGGACAUCACCAUGAUAGGUCUUCGUGCGCGUAGGAAAAUUGUUGUUUCCCAUGCGACGUUCCCCAACACGCGGAUGCGGGGCAAGGAGGGUGAAUGGCCUCCUCGGAACCCCCGCAUCCCAUUUAAACCCCCACGAAGCAUCGUGGGGAGGGGAUCUGGUGCGCUCCGGACCCCCAUUAAUCUCGUGUAUUACGGGCGGUAACGCUUCCCUAAGCCCAACCGCCGCGGAGUAAAUCCACAGAGGAUCCCCCGCGCCGAGGCCGAGUGGGCGUCGUGGCGGGACUCAGGGCCCAGGCCCGGUCCCGUCAUCAGUAAUCACCAUCAUUACGCCAGGCGGGGCCUGGCACGUGGCGUUCUUCGGGCGAAUUACGACGAGGCCGAUGCGUCGCUUCGAAGCCGCGAUGCUGGCCCCCUUCGUCGCGAGUAGCGGCAAAAAUAUCAAGACAAAUUGACAAGCCGGUGAGGCCGCCCGCCCGCAGGCGACAGGCCUCGCCAGCUUCGGGGACUACUGUCGGGAGGAUAACCCCGGGGUAGGCUCAUCAAGCAUGUUCCUUCAUUUCCGGCCCAAAGGACAUGAAUGUAUACAGAUCCCUAAGGCCCAAGUUUUCUGGCCGGCUAGGCUGCACCUAUCGGCUAGAAGACGAGGCGGCCGUCCCUCUGGCCGGUCCGGCAACCCCCGCCGGCUAGAGUCGAGGCGGCUACUUCUUUUGAGCUGGCCUGGUCCCACCAGCCCGACCAGGAAGAGGCGGCAACACACAAACCGGCUAGCCAAGCAGGCUAGCCGGCCGAAGAUCACAAGUCACAUCAGAUCGUAGGUCAGGAUAAGACCUUACGAUUAAAGGUAGCUACAUGUCAGCAAAGGUACUGGAUCGGGGCGCCCGACAGGUACGAGCGUCGGCGGCCACGCCGCUGACCUACCCCGGCUCUGACCCAUCACCUAGCAUAGUGUCGGACCGUCACACUUCCACUCUAUUACUGCACUCGGCGUGGGGAACAGUGGAGGCGGCCGUACUACCCGCCCAUGACGAAUCUCGCGGGGCAACGCUUGACGUACACCUCGUGCUCAGCGUCAACCUCACGCGAGAGCCUCAUUGGCCAGUCGGCGGGUCCCACGGCCAAUCGAGACCAUGCAGCCGGCGGGCCCCUCAGGCGACAAGACAAGACUCUCGUGGACCCCUGGCCGGCCGGCGAGGCUGCCAGCCGGGUCCCACACUUAUACCCUUUAUCCAUAUUGUAGGCCGGCGGGUUCGUCUAUAAAACCGCCCGGUCGCCCUCAAUGCAGGGGGACCGAUCAUUCAAUAGUCAUACAACACAACACAUUCACCAACCACAGAGAGAGAAGCAGAGACGAGCCAGCUACUCUCCUCUUCCUCCUCCCAACACAGCUCCAGGAGCAGUAUUGUACUCUGUUCAUACACAUCAAACACUCCGGCAGGAUUAGGGGUAUUAUCUCUACGGAGAGCCCCGAACCUGGUUACAUCGUGCGUCCCAUGCGUGUACUAACCUCGUUCCCAGCGUCCACCUUUGUCCCUUCGGUUCUCACCGACUUUAGCCUACCUAUGGCAUAUGUUGUGAGUAUUCACCGACACCUCCCCUCCUCACUCAUUAAUUCCUAAAACAACCGCCGUGUUGCCGAAACAACGGUCGUGUUGCAGAAACAACGGCCGUGUUGCAAAAACUAUUCCUGAAACAACGACCACGUUGAAGAAACAAUUACUGAAACAACGGUCGUAUUUCGGAAACAAUGACCAUGUUGCAGAAAUUUCUUUUUGUCGGAAGGCGUUUGGCGGCGGAGAUCCAACAUGGAUGCACUCAAGCCGACGAUCUAUAGGCGAUGUCGCUCGGUGUGUGUGUGUGGGGGGGGGGGNNNNNNNNNNNNNGGGGGGGGGAGGGGGAUGGAGGCGGACGGGGCAAGGGAUGAACAUGUAUACCUGCUGGAGUCGACGCCGGCCACCGCAAGAGAUCGAGCAGCAAGAGAGAGCAACGCCGCUGCGGGAAACGAUUCUGAAACAAUCACUCUGUUUCAGAAAAACGGUCGUCCUCCUAGAUCGAGCAGCAAGAGAGAGCAAUGUGAAGCGGCUCUCAGCUGCGGGAGACGAUCCUGAAACAAUCGCCCUGUUUUAGAAAAACGGCCGCGACUGACGCAGAAGCGGGUUCGUUUGGUCCGUCCGUUCAACGUCCGAUCCGACGGUUGCCGAGCCGGCGGACAAGGGAGCGCGAACAACCGGUUGAAGGUAAGCUUUUUCUUAAUUUUAAUAUAAAGUAAAAUAAUUUUUGAGUCAUUUAUCCUAAAAUGAAGGAAGUAGUUUUGUGCCGUUUUAAGGAGUGUGUUAGAGAUGUUCUUAGAUUAGCUCCCGCCGGAAACAAAGCCCGAGUUUCACAUAUUGCUGUGCGUGGACACAAGCUUCUGGUCCGUACUUGUCUGUCUGUUUCGUCGUUGCCCUCCGCAUGGUGGCCUGCAUGUCCGCGUACUCACUGCUUCGCUCCAAGUAGAGGAUAAUUCGCGGCCGAGAGGCGCUCGCGACGUGGGCACCGUCGCGGCCACCGCGCUCCGCCCGCCAUGGGUCGGCUUGCCUCGAGCAUGGCCUAUAAAUUGUGCGCCACUCUCUCGGAACAAAACAUCAGUAAACACUCGGCGACACAGCAGCAAGUAGCACUGCACUAGCAAUCAUCUAGCAGAUUCUUUCCCUGUUGCAGCAUCUGUAGCUUCCUUCUGUCCUUUCGUCCACCUUCCGUCCGCGGCUGAUCAAUGGCAACCAUGACGGCCAUGAGCUCCUUCGCCGGCGCGGCCGUCCUGCCGCGCGGCUCGUCCGGCGGCUUCGGCGCCCGGUCUCUGCCAGCGCUGGGCCGACGCGCCCUCGUCGUCAAGGCACAGACCGAGGGCCCGAGUGCACCACCGCCAAACAAACCCAAGGUAUGCAUCAUGCCAUAUAUAGGCAGCAACACGGCGCCGUAGCGAAACUUGGCAAGUUUGUGAUGUUUGUUUCUGGCACAGGCGAAGGCGAGCCCCUCGAUCUGGGACGCGAUGGCGUUCAGCGGCCCUGCGCCGGAGCGCAUCAACGGGCGGCUAGCCAUGGUGGGCUUCGUGACGGCGCUGGCGGUGGAGGCAGGGCGCGGCGACGGGCUCCUCUCGCAGCUCGGCAGCGGCACCGGGCAGGCGUGGUUCGCCUACACCGUGGCGGUGCUGUCCAUGGCGUCGCUGGUGCCGCUGCUCCAGGGAGAGAGCGCCGAGGGCAGAGCCGGCACCAUCAUGAACGCCAACGCAGAGCUCUGGAACGGCCGCUUCGCCAUGCUCGGACUCGUCGCUCUGGCAGCCACCGAGAUCAUCACCGGCGCACCCUUCAUCAACGUGUAAAACCAGCUUUGUUGUCGUUGUCGACCGGAUAACACAACCUGUACCUACCUAAGUAGGGAAUGUAAAUGAUGAGAGCUGAUCAUCCUCGUAUUCUUUGUAGUACUACUAAUUAAUGAUAGUUCAUACUACCGGGAGGCGGGAGCUGCUUUGUUUUGUCGUUCGAAAUCAUCUUUAAAAUGAGAGAUCGGUUGGGAUAUAAUAUGCGUACGAAGAUACCGCGAAGUCUCGGUCGAUAAUAUAAUUCGUUGAUUUUGCAUUAAAAUUUGUGUAAAUAAUUCUUUUUAAUUUUUCUUCUUCUUGCAUACUAUACUACUUGACUAAGAUUUCGCCAAGUCUCAGUCGACUGAGACCUAGACACACCUAAAUAACCAUUGCUCUUGUAUCAUUGACACAAACUUGAUGUUACAAUUCACUAUUAGAGCAUCUACACUCGGACUUGGUAAAUCCAACCUCUCAAACGCACACGGACACGUCCGUAGACACCGACGGGUCAAGUCACAAAUAAUGCAUUCUACAACCGGAUACCUCAAAUUAGAAACCUCAAAUUCAUAUUAUUAAAUGCAACAUAAACCUAAUACAAGCAGAGCUCGUCCGGCUCCGUCGUACCCAUGUCCGACAGCUGGCUACACCCCUCUUAGUGUCGGUCCGGUCGACGACGAGGUACAAUAGGACAUGGGACACUAGCCGGCUCACGGGAGUCGAGCUCCCGCUGUCUCCCAUGCACUACUCUUCCUCGUCCGAGCCUGUAACCCGGACGGUGCCGAUGUAUGUUAGGUCAAUGACGGACCCUUCCUCAAAGGAGAUGACGUCCACCACGACGCGAUUGGGGCACCCGCACCCAUGCAACAUAAAGGGCACCAGGGAGUUUGACUCCGCCUCUCCAACGUCCACCGUCGCGAGGGCAUGUGCCACCUCCCGCACCUGUUGCCUGUCAUGGCGGGCACGUCGCACCAUGUUAGAGUCCAAGGACGCCAACGUCCUCGAUGCGCCAACGGAGGGGUUGUGUGUUUGCCACGGCGUUCGGACGCCAGACGGGCCGCGCCACGUCCGAUGAGGCAGCGGCGCCGAAUCCAAGCACCGGUUGUGCCGACGCAAUGGAUUCCCGACAUUGUGAGUCCGAGU
rnacentral:lncRNA from 1 species